rnacentral:lncRNA from 1 species
UCAGGAAAAAGUUGAUGACGAUGACUCGAUGAGACAUUAGUAACAAAAGUAUUAAAUUCCAAAUUUCCAAAGUAGAGUAAUCACAAAACAACAGUCACACAGAAGGUUCAUAAAACAGGUGACUUCCUCGAAUCAAAAAGAAGCUAUCAACAACAUACAUCACAACUGUUAGAAGAAGGAACAAUAUCUUGAAGCUUCUUGCUGGUGAAGAUGUCAAUAGUGUUGUGACAGACCAGAUGCAUUCUUGGGCCAGAUGUUCUACCAGAGCCAGACCAGAUGUCCGUGAUGGAGGCCAAACGCUCAACUAGAGCAAAUAUCCGUCACCAGAUGUCUAAUCCCUCGCUUAGUAUGAUAUUGUCCGCUUUGGGUCUAAGCCCUCACGGAUUUGUUUUUGGGUCGUUACUCUCAAAAGACCUCAAACUAAGUGGGAUUAGACAAGCUAUAUAUACUAGACUUUAUUCUGUCUAAUAUCCGAUGAGGGACUUGGAUAGCCUUUUUAUUUAUUCUGACAAUCCUCCCCUCAAACCAAGAACCACAAAAACUUGGCUCUGAUACCAAUCUGUUGUGACGGACCAGAUGCACUCCUGGGCCAGAUGCUCUACUAGAGCCAGACCGGAUGCCUGUGCUGGAGGCCAGACGCUCAACUAGAGCAGAUGUCCGUCACCAGAUGUCCAAUCCCUCGUUUAGUAUGAUAUUGUCCGCUUUGGGCCUAGCCCUCACGAAUUUGUUUUUGGGUCGUUACUCCCAAAAGGCCUCAUAGUAAGUGGAAUUGGACCAGCUAUAUAUAUUAGACUUUAUUCUGUCUAAUAUCCGAUGUGGGACUUGGAUUGCGUUUUUAUUUAUUCUGACAAUCCUCCCCUCAAACCAAGAACCGCAGAACCUUGGCUUUGAUACCAAUCUGUUGUGACGGACCAGAUGCACUCCUGGGCCAGAUGCUCUACUAGAGCCAGACCGGAUGCCCGUGCUGGAGGCCAGACGCUCAACUAGAGCAAAUGUCUGCCACCAGAUGUCCAAUCCCUUGUUUAGUAUGAUAUUUUCCGCUUUGGGAGUAAGCCCUCACGGAUUUGUUUUUGGGUCGUUACUCCCAAAAAAACUUUAAAUUAAGUGAGAUUGGACCAGUUAUAUAUAUUAGACUUGUCUAAUAUCCGAUGUGGGACUUCGAUAGCUUUUUCAUUUAUUCUGACAAAUAGCAACAAAGCGACAUUUCACAUGACCAUGCUUCCCAGUCUUUGACGUUGAAACCUCAACAACCUGCAACACAAUCGAAACGGAUCCAAGUUAGUUACUAGUUACUACGAUCAAGAAGGCUCGAGGGUGGCGGCGCGCUUUCUUCUGGGCUUUUAUAACGAAGGCCUUUAUAGAGAUUGAGAUGGGCUUAAAGCCUUAGAGAUAACAGAGCUCUUUUUCUACCGUUGGAUUACAUGAUCUGACUUGAUUAAUUACUUCUUCUAGUAAAUCUAAAUUUAAUCUAAUCCUAAUACUUUUGAUAUUAUAAUAAGUCUUCUCUGUCAAUACGCAUACGUUAUAAGAAAAGAUAUUGUAUGUUAAUUAUUAACGGAUUUUUGUAUCAAAAGCAUAUAACCUAAGGUUUGCUACCAUGUAGAAACCAUACACUUCAAGCUUUUCAUUCCGGUUUAGAUGGUUUUUUUCUACGAGAUUUUGCUCUUAUACCGACUCUGAACAUAGCUCGCAAGUCGCAACCGAACACACACGUUGAAGUUGAAAAAAACUUUGACGCAUCCACCGUUCAUGUCUUUUCAUAUCAUACUAACAAUCUAGGGUUCCGUCUCCCACUUUCAAAUCUUCAAUACAUGUGUGAUGUGGAAUAAACCACGUACUUACACGUUAAUUACAUCAUCUGAUAUUUAAGUGAUCGAAAUUAUCUUUCCUCAUGGUUACUGAGAGAAUGAGAGCAUCUUUUCCACUUUUCACUCGUCUUUGUCGACAACAUUCGGUGAUUGGUCCUUUCAAUUUCGAAAUAAUAGCAUCACGAAUAAGCCGUACACGAGCCAGUGAAAACGAUGGAAUAUAAUAAUCAGAACUAGCCUAUUUCAAACAGAAUGAACCCAAAUGAAUAUCACGUUUAUUAUAAAAUGAUCAAAAUGAACUUUGGUUCUAAAUAUAUAUUUUAGACUAUCGAAACAUAUUUUUGUUUUCAUGACAAAACCUUGUGCCGUUAAGAAUAUUUAGGGAAAAAACUAAUUAAAUAUAGUAAAAAUUCUAUAAAUUAAUAUUCGAUAAAUAAAUAAAGACUAUAAAUUAAUAAAUUUGUCGGUCUCGAGUUGGGCUGGUUCAAAAUAUGAUACAAAUCGAUAAAAUACUAAAAUAAUAUUUUUUUGAAAUUUUUAUGCAAAUAUAUGGUCCCAAUAAAAUCAUAAAUUAAUAAUAUAUCUAGAUAUACAUUUUAUUUAAAUACAAACUAAACAUUAUAUUAUUAGUUUUAUAUUCACAAUGAAAAUAUCUCUAUUUUUUUUAAUAUUUCAAUAUAUUUUGAUAAUAUUUAGUAAAAUUAAAUCGAAAACCACAUUUAGAUUCUAUGAAACAUAAAAAUCUACACCAAAUAAUAUAUUAAAGCAAAAAUUCAAAUUCUUAAAUUUUAAUUAAUGUAUAAAUGGUAAAAUAAAUAUUUUUCUAUUUUAUAAACAAAAUAUUCAAAAAUAUUAAAAUUUAAAUAAUUUUUUUUUAUAAACUAAUAACUCUAUAAAUUAAUAAAAUAUAUAGUUCCAAUAUUAUUAAUUUAUAAAAAAAUUACUGUAUAUAAUAUGAUUUCGCGUUGCAUAUAGCAUAAAUAAAUCACCAGCACCAUGCAUCAUCGUCUCUGGUUAUUCCUUAAACAACGUCUCUUUGGUUUAUGUAUGAACAUUUUGUAUCUAUAUAAUUAUGCGAACAUUUGAAGAUGUUCGAUUUAGUUGGAUAUCAAGAGAAGCAAACAAGGUGGCUGAUAAGCUUGCAAAGACAAGCUCACAAACAAUUUCUUUUAUUUUUCAUAAUUAUGUUCCUGUAACAAUAACAAAUCUUCUACAUGAAGAUUAUGUAAACGUACAUUUAUGAUUAAUAAAGUAUGAUGUUAUAAAAAAAAAAAAUAAUUAUGCGAACAUUAUCAAAAAAUCGAAAGCUAAAAAAGCAAAUGUUUUUUCGGUGAUCAAGGCCGAAUAUAUAUUAGGCAAUGGGCUUAUUAUCAUCAAUCUUACUACAAAUGAGAAAAAGAAAAAGGAAAAAAAAAAGUCAAGGAAAGAAACACACAGAAUCAUGUGGAUUGUAUGCUAAGAAGUUUACCAAGAAUCCAUCAAUAAUAAAAUUGUUAUAUAACCAUCUACAUAAUCAAUAAAACAAUAACUCACUCUACAUUUCAUGGGAUUGGAAAGCAUUCAAGAUGAUUUUUAGAUUGGAUUUAUUUUUGUUGUUGUUUGUAAACAACGCUUUUCAUAUCAAUUAAAAUUUUACACUAAUUCCACAAUAAUAUGUAAGAAACAUUGAUUAUUAUUAGUUUUGUAUAACACAUCCACAAUACUAAAAUACGGUUGGAAAACUCGAACACUGGUCACUAGCCUACAUGUUUUACCAAAAAAAAAAAAAAAGACUACAUGUACAGUUGUUAUUUAUGUCCAGUUUAAUUGCAUAUUUUUGUUCUACUGAAUACUAAUGGUUCGCAUAACAUUCUGAGAUGGAUCACCUUGAAUCAGUUCACCCUUAAUAUAGGCUUUUGUGAAAACGUUUGUAUAUCAACUAUCAAUUGCACAACCCAUUUUGAUUGACUCAUGUUUGAUUUUCUCAAAUAUUUGGCCUAUAAUAAAAGAAGAAAAAACAAAUUGUUACGGAUCUCGAUUAGCUAUAGAUUUUAUUGGAAUUUACUUUUUCAGGCUAUAAUAGGAUAAUUAAUUGUUUAGGUCAUUGCUUUGUGUGGACAAGCAUGGUUUGUCUACGUUCUAGAUGCUUUUCAAAAAUUGAUGCAAACUUUUCGAAAGGGACUAUCUUUAUGUAACUAAGGAAUUAUUUAACCAGCGUCUAAUAAAAUAAUGUAGACUAAAAAAUAUCCCACUCUUUUGAAUAUAUUGAGCUAAUUUGCUUUUUUUUUUUGUAAAAGGAAAUGCAGAGGAGCUAGUGGGAGACGAGUGGCAAAUAAUUUACCUUUCAAACACCUUUUUUUUUUAAUAUUCAAGUGAUCAAAUAUUUUCCGAUUAAUGAUAUGCGUAAUGACCAACGAUAAAGUAACAUGGAGUAUAAUUUUAUAGUUUCAAGUUUCAAAAACCAUAUUUCUGUAAAUCAUAUUUUAUGAAUUAUUUUUGUAUUUUAAAAAUAAAGGUUCAUAUCACUUUAUAUUAAAUUUCGAUUCACCAGUGUUCUCACUUAAAUUUAAUUCAAAGACUUCUAUAGUAAGAAAUUUAUUUUGACAGGAAAAUAUAAUUUAGUUUAAUAGAAAUAUGUAUUUUUUUUAAUGGAAUUUUGUUUUCUCUCUGAUUCUUAGUGAGAUCAAUUUAGUGGGACACACCAGAAGAACUAUGAUAGGACCCUUGACUAAUACUCAGCUAAUAAAUCUUAAUUUAUUUUUCUGAUGAGAGUGACAUUUCCGAAAGCAUACUUUGGACCACUUUUAAGGUCUAUUCCCAACUUAUCUUGAAUCCAAUAAAAGCAUUAUAACUAUAUAUAUGUAUAUAUAUCUUACAAAUAAAAUAAUACAUUGCCUUGGUCUACUAUUUGAGUCUUCGAAUUAUUAUUAAGAGUUUAAAAAAAAAAAUUAAUCUAGUAACUUUUUUUUUUUGAAAGACUCCUAGUAACUUUAUAUAUAUAGAUAUUUUGUAUCGUGUUGUUGAAUCUUUAACAAUCCACUAAUUAUCAUGCUAUUUAAAUUCGUUUAUUCUUUCGUAAUUCUUUAAUUAUGCGUUUAAGAUUUAUUUAAAGUAAUAAAAAAUAUAGCAAAAAGUUAAAAGAACAAUUUUAAAAAAAAACUAUAAUAGAAGAAUUAUACUGAUAUCAUCAAGUAAUACUUAAUUAACUUGUUGAGAAAAAAUAUAGUUAACUUUUUUCUUUUCUUUUCAUAAAUAUAUAGUUAAUUUUUUGUUUGACUAUAUAUUGUUAACUUAAACAGAUAGAUCUAGCAUAUGAUAUUGUAUCCCUGUAUUUAUUUUAUUUUUUUGCGUUUGGUAUUGUUCUUGGAUUCCAAAACUUUUAAUUGAGAGGAAAAUAUGCAAUUGUUUGUCAAAAAAAAAGAAAAUAUGCAAUUAACCAUGUGAUUUUGUGACAUAAGAGACAGAACAAAAUGAUGCCAUGCCUCAGACACAAGAGCCCAAGAGGGUAGCUUAGUUUUUUUUUUUGCCGAACACAAAUGAACUUUUUUCGGAAGAGAUAUUUUUGAAGAUUUUCAUUUUUUUUUUGUAAGAGAGGAAGAAAAUUAUAAGGAAUUUAUACUGUCUUGCAUAUAUUUACACCCUUUUUAAAAGAGGUUCGGUCACGUCGAUCGUAAAAGUGUAAUGAUUUUGUCACUCAAAAUUAGCUAAUUUAUAUGCAACAACAUCACAAGACCUUUUAACUAAAGAUAAACCUUGUUGUAUAUUUUCUAAAAGAAAUUUAAGAAUAAAAUAAUAUCAAUCCCGCCGGCUUCCUCCUUUGUGAAGGUGAUUGAGCAGUUAUGAUCAUCUUGGGUAGGGGAGAUAUUUUUGAAGAUUUUCAUUUUUUUUUUGUAAGAGAGGAAGAAAAUUAUAAGGAAUUUAUACUGUCUUGCAUAUAUUUACACCCUUUUUAAAAGAGGUUCGGUCACGUCGAUCGUAAAAGUGUAAUGAUUUUGUCACUCAAAAUUAGCUAAUUUAUAUGCAACAACAUCACAAGACCUUUUAACUAAAGAUAAACCUUGUUGUAUAUUUUCUAAAAGAAAUUUAAGAAUAAAAUAAUAAAAAGGAAAAGAAUGAGAAAAUAUAAAAACAUGUUCUCGUAAAAAAAAACUAAAAAGGUUAAGAUAACACCAAUGGACCCGUAAAUCAUGUAUCUUUUUUUAGGUAGUCCAAAAAUUCAAGUUUAAAUACAUAGCUAAAUGGUGUUACAAAAAAAAAAAUACAUAGCUAAAUAAUUCUUAAAUAUUAAUAUAAUAAUUAUGGAAACCCCCCAGAAUUCCAUGGAAAUUAAUGCUCGAAGGGCCUCAUGAUUAAAAACAUGUUUUUGCUUAAUCACUAUAUGAUGAGUUAAGAAUUAAGAUGGAUAACAAAAUAUAAUUGUAAAAAUAUUAUGAAUAAUUUAUGUAUUUAUUUUGAGUUUUUUUAUCAAAGCUUUGUGUUUUAAUUUUGAGUAGAUAACAUGACAUUAUAAAAAUAGCUUAUAAUGGAGUAAAAAUAAAAUGACACUCCUAUAUGUUAAAAUACACAAGAAUCUAUGCUAUAAAUUCAAUAUGUGAGAGCAACAUAAUUUUGAUAUCUCUAUUCUGUAAAUAUAUAAACUAAUGUAUGGGUAUUCGUUGCAAUAUUACUCUAGAAAUAAAAUAAACAAAUCUUUAUUCCCUUAUAAUUCUUUGAAACUCCAGAGCGAUGCUCCUGGAUUCCAUCAGUAUCCCGGCCUCCCUUUCGAAUUCUUAUAAUCAAAAAUUAAUUCCGAUCACCAAUAAAACUUCUUCUUUUGGUAAAAAAAAAACUUCUGAUAAUCUAAUAAAACUUCUGAUAAUCUAAUAAAACUUCUGGUAUGUAAAUCAAAAAUUGAUUCCACAGUAGCCAACGCGAGUAGAGGUACAGAUUUUAGGUGGGACCUACGAUUUGUUUGCUGUCAAUAGUAUAGUAUUAAUUACAGCUUUUUAUAUUAGCAUAUAUUUGAAAAAUAUUGACGCUAACAACAAAAUAGAAAAACAAAGGAUUGCGUAAUUAAUGGACCAAGGAUUUAGAAAAUUUAUCCACGACGACAUGUCCGUUUUGGAUUUACAAUUUAGUAUUUACCUAUUUUAUUAUACCAUAUGGUAAACAGCAUUUAAAUACAACAUACAUAAAAAUAUAAAAUUUAUAUAGUUUUCAAAAGUCGAAACCAACUAGAUCACUUAUUCUAGACAUAUGUCACCAUAAACCCAUUUCUUUUUUAUUUCCUUAAAUGUAUAGAUUAUGUUAAAAAAGGACGAGAGUUAUUACAUAUUAUAAUUUAUAAACAAAGUAUACAAGAAAAAUAAAAAUAAAAAGGAGAACGAAAAAGCAGAGAGAAUAAAAAGGUAAGGGAAGAGAAGAGAAGAGGGGGAUGUUGACAAAUAAAUUCAGGUCUCGUUUGUUUAUGUGAUUUUUCGGAUCUUUCCUUUUCUCUCUAUAAACACAACCAAAAGAAGCAGACGAAGAAGAAGAAGAAGAAAAACAAAGGAGAGUUCUUUUUUUUUUUUUUGUUUGGUGAGACAGGGAGAGAGAGAAGAGUGGCCCAGUAGAUCGAAGAUGACGAUGAUCUAUUUUAUUUUCUUCCAUUAAUAGUGUUUUCGCUAUAACCAUUAUAUACACAGAGAAUAUAUAGACUCCAAAAUUUUCUUACUUUGCCUUUUGAUUCAGAGUCUUUAUUUUCCUUCUAAUUUCACUUUGUUGAAACCUCGUAAAGUCUUCAUUUUUUGAUCUUCUGAAGACGAGUUGGCGAUAAGAGGAUGUGCGUUUGAGGUAAAAAAAAAAAUACUCUUUUUUUUUUUUUUACUUUUGUCUGAUGAUUUGGAGAUGUUCAAUUUAGAAUCUGCUCAAUUCUCAAUUUAGUACAAUCAAUGUCCUUAUAUUUUUUUUUUUGCAGAUUCUUUGUCUUGGUUAUUUUUGUUUUAUUUGUUUCGAGAUCCUAUAAUUGACUCGUCUGCGUAAGAACUAUCUAUCAACGACCUUUAGUUAUCACCGAGUCAAGACCCUUGUCUGAAAAGUCUCAUCAUCACUUGUUUCUUCUGAUGUAUAUGUGUUUGACUUUUGAGCUACUGUCUGAAAAAGGCUAAUCUGAUUGAGCUCAUGGAGUUGUAAAGUUUUUGUUUUUACUGAGUAAAAUGUGGUGGUUAAUGCUAGUUGUGAUGAUUUUGGAUUUGGGGAUGUUUCAAUGCUAAAAGUUUAUUUUUAAUUGUUUUGUGUGUGAGUAGUAAUGGGAACAAAGAUUCACUGUGAAGGCUUAUUCCCUGGACAUCAUCACUCUAUGAGAGAUCCCAACAACGAAUCCAACGGUUGUAGAUGGCCAUUGUUCUAUGCUGACAAUAAAGCCUCUGCGAAUGAUCAAUUCUACAAUGACAAAGAUGUGGUGAGAAGGACAAUGCUCGAACACGAAGCUGUUUUUAAGGCUCAGGUUAGCUAUUUAGUAGAUGAUUAAUUUUCUCUAGACUUUUGAGCUUUUGGUUGAUUUAAUAUGUUUGUGAAUUUUUCAUCUUUAAACUACAGGUUAUGGAACUUCACCGGGUAUACAGGAUACAGAGAGAUAUGAUGGAUGAACUGAAAAGGAAACAGUUUAACAAAGAAUUCGAGGCAUCAUGCUCAUCUCAACCUACCAAUGAUGAUCUCCGUAAAUGGAAAAUGCCUAGUUUCCCUUUGGCAAACUCGGUUUACGAUAGACCAUCCAUGUCGGUAGUGGAUGAUAAUGGCCAUUCUCCCAUGAAAGGAAGCUAUUCUCAAGGUGUUGUUGGUCCGGUUCCAUGGCAAAACGGAGCUAGUUCUAAAAAUGUUGAAACGUUGGAGGUUAGACCGACGAAAAUCAGGAGAAGGAUGUGAUAGAUCUUUGACUUCCUGCUGACGACAAUGAGGAAGUUGUUGAGUUGAAAGAUCAUAGAGUUUGUGGAAAGCUUCCUAAUGGAGAUGUGAGGACUGAAACUCGUGGAGAGAGUUUGAGAGUUGGGUAUGGGUCAAGUAGUAGAAGCAAUGGCUUGGCUGAUUUGAAUGAACCAUUUAAGCAGGCUCAAGAAACAAAUGAUCAUUACAGUGACACACAUAAGUUUGCUACUCCAUCCCUUCAACCGUCCAAGCCAUUUGUUUCAUCAUCUCAGGCUAUGCAAGUGUUUGCGAACAGUUCACAAAGAGGAAUGGGUUUACCUAACUCUGGUCCUCCUCCAAGCAAGGCAGUCUUGUGGAGAGAAAGGACGUUUAUUGACCUAGAAGCUGAUACUGAUACUAACACUAGCCAUGAAGUUGCUUCUCAUCAACCGCAACGCCACUUGUAUCCAUAUAACACUCCAGCUUCUGCUGUCCCUUGGAACCAUAUGCAUUCCUCUUGGCAAAACCCUGGCUUUGGCUUCCCUCAGAGAGUUGUUGCUUCAGAGCAGAAACAAGGGUGUCUGGGAGAUAGAUUACAGUUUGAAAGCAACGCUAGAUAUAGCAACCACAACAUGGUUUACAAUGAGUGUUCUUCUUCUUCGUCGAAAUCGAAAUUCUCUGGGAGUGGAUAUAGUUAUCCUAACGGAGGAAGAAGUGAUUACAAGCCGGGGAAUAGAUUAUUGGAUUCAAAUGGCUCAGAGGUGAAGUUUGUGAGAGAUUUGAACUUGAAUGUGACACUUCCAUCAAACACUUGUGUUGUUGAAGUUAGAAAGGAUGAAGCUACUUUACCAUGGCUUGUUAAACCCCCCAAGUCUGCUUCUAACACUGAUGUGGCUGAUGGGAGAUGGAAUCUGAAGAGUAAUGAUGCUGUGGAGACUGAGAAGAUCAACAUUAACUCCAACAUUCCUAGAGAUGAAUGCAAUGCAGAAAGAGAUAAAGUCCAUAACGUUAGGAUGAUGCUAGACAUCAACGAACCUUGUGAGCCACUUUCAGAUGAAGAUCAGCAAACGGAGGAGGAACAAACAGGGACAAAGGUUUCGGUUAGUAACAAGUGUCAUAUUGAUUUGAACAUGUCGGUCAGCGAAGAAGAUGAAAACUGGUCUGUUCCUCCCACCAGUUCAAGACUGAGCUCAAAGAGAAUCAUGAUAGAUUUGGAAACUGUUCCUGCGUCUGAUGUUGAAGAAGACGACAAUGUCUCUGGAGAAAAACCUCCAGAAGAGUCAGAAACAGAAACAACAGCAGCAGAAACAAUAGUUGCCAUCUCUUUAGCUUGCCUAGAUAGAGAGGUUGAAGUUGUUGUUGCUCCAGAAACAAUGAUCCUUCACUGGUUUGCAGAAACAGUAGAGAACCUGGACCAAAAGCUCGCUUCUGUCUCAAGGAACCAAGCGCGUUCUAUAGAAGAGAUAGAUUACUUCGAGUCAAUGAUCCUGCAACUACCUGAGACCACAGAAGAAGAGUACACGCCUAAGCCAUUAGUCCCUGAAGACCUCAUAUUAGAGGAAACCUCUACGGUCAUCACGAGCCAAAGACCAAGAAGAGGAAACGCUAGAAAGGGAAAGCAAAGACGAGACUUCCAAAGAGACAUCCUCCCCGGACUCGUGUCUCUUUCGAAACACGAAGUGACAGAAGACAUUCACAUGUUUGACGGGUUCAUGAGAGCAGCAACGGGAAGCUCCUGGACUCCAGCCGGUUUAGCGAGGAAGAAAACCGGGUCAAGAGGUAGACCGAGACGGGUCGUUACAAUCCCCGAACCGGUUUAUUAUCCUUCGGUUCAACAGCAUGUGGGGAACAACAAUGGUGAGAUUGAAGAUAGAAGCUUUGCAGGUUGGGGUAAAAUGACAAGAAGGCCGAGGAGACAACGUUGUCCUUCUUCUACUGUAACUACUACUAGUAACCAACGUCACGCGCCUUUCACGUGAUGUAUUUGUAACCAUAAUAUAUCAUUCCUGUCCCAUUUUUUUUUUUUUUCCUAUAGAGAGAUAUAAUAUCUAAGACUGUGAUUUUCAUAGGGGAGUUUUUUAAUUUCCGGUUGGUGAUAUUAGAUGAAGAUAUUUUAUUCAAAUAAUCACUUUUUUAUUAUUUUUAAGGUCAAACCAAGUUCUAAAUUGGUUUAUAUACAAAAAAAUUUCCAAUUCGGUUUGGUUCGGUUCACGUAUAUAAUGUAUGGGCCAAUGUAAACAAACAAUGUAUAGGCCUAUUUGGAUAACUUUGCAAAUAGAAGGCCCAACGUUGUUGCGUCGCGUAGCAUAGGGUCAAGUCAUCUCUUAGUUACCUUUUUGCUUUUGCGUCCUCCAAUUGAUCAAUAAUAGUAAUAAGUGCCUGUAAAUUCUCAGUCGCUUCGAAAACCCCUAAACCGUAGGCAUCGUCCUCCGUCUCCUUUCGUUCCGGAACAACCAUGUUUCGUCGUACCCCCUGCAGGCGGCUUUCACGGUCAAAUUUUCAGUCUCACCUUUCUUCUAACUUUAAUUCGUAAAGAUUUUAAUUUUCGAAAUUUCUUAAUUGAAUUAAUCAAAUUUGCAGUUGGGGAAAAAGAAGAUUCAGCAGCAAGUUGGAGGAGACGAUGAGCACGAGCUCGAGCUAUUCAUUUACAGAGGCGUCUUGUAUGCAACAUUGGCGUAAAAACUGGGACCCCCAAAGAAAGAACCGAUUAACAUCGAGCACCUUCGCUCAAGCCAUCGGGUUCUGGCCAAACCGUAGAGUCCAGCUCUGGUUAGAGAAAAUCGGAGCGAUAGAGCCGUUCUCAGGCAACGCAGCCACGUGCUGGACCAAGAUCAAAGAGCUAGAAGCGCUCAAUCGAUACCACGUUCUAACGGGACACGACUUCGUCUUUCCCGAGUUCGUUACUUUAACAGAAGACGAAAACUGGUUAGGAGCUUCUCCCGACGGAGACAUGUACGGUUUGGUCAGCGAGGGGUCGAAAGGUAUGCUCGAAGUGAAGUGUCCGUACGAAGAGGGUUGUCCGUGGAAGAAAGUGCCGUGGCAUUACGUGCCGCAGGCUCAGGGUUUGAUGGAGAUUGUGGGGAGAGAUUGGUUGGAUUUGUAUUGUUGGACUGUUAACGGGAGUAGUCUGUUUAGGAUCGAGAGAGAUUCUGUGUUUUGGGGGGAGAUGAAACCGACGCUUGUUGAUUUUUGGGAGAGGCAUGUUGUUCCUGGGAGAGACAGGUUUUGUGAUAGCUCUCUUGUGAUAACAGAUCCUUUGGUGGAGCUGGUGGAGUUUGUGCCUGAAUCUAGACAUGAGCGGUGUAAUCAGAUUUUGCGUGGUACUGAGAGGGUUAUGGAUAACUCUUGUAAGCGUCUGUUUUAUGAAAUUAAUGGUCAAAUAUUAGAUUGAUACUAACCAAACUCUCUCUGAACUGUUUUCGUGUAUUUCAUUCACUAAUCAUUUUAAUUUGUUUUAUAAACACUUAAAUGUUUAGCAUAAUCAGACACAAAAAAAAUAGAUUCUUUUAUUUUGUUGACAGUAUAAAGACACAUGAUCUUUGAAAGUUGUUACAGUCACUGCUCAUACUUAACCGAUACGACAUAGUUUCUAACAUACCUACUUAUUAUUAUUAUUUUCCUACAUGUAUAUGUGGUUGAAUGGGAAAGAUGAAUUUUGAGAUUUUAUCAUCGCUAUGGCAAAAAAAAAGUAAGCAAAGCUCAGCAUGAACAAAAUCAGUUAAACUUCCUCUAAAACUUAUUUAUCCUAUUUAAAUUAAUCUUUAAAUAGGCUGAAUAAGCCCAUUUGUAUGGGCUUAAGUUAGUUGAACAGGCCCAUAUAGAGAGAAGGUGAUACGUCAUUAAUCCUAUCCAACAAACACAUCGAACGAUAAAACGCUGUCGUACUAUAGUGUUUAUAUCUUCGUCUCCGACUCUCCGGCGACAAUAUUUUUAAACUUUCCUCCGUCGCCGUCGCAUCUAAUCGCCAUGAUCGUCGACUUCUCUAUCUUUAUCCUCUUCCUCUCUAUCUUCGUUUCCUCAGCUAACGCCAAAGCAACCUUAUCAAUCUCCCCCAAAAAUCUAAACCGAUCCGGCGAUUCCGUCGUCAUCAAAUGGUCCCACGUCGACUCUCCCUCCGAUCUCGACUGGCUAGGCAUCUACUCACCCCCAGACUCUCCCCACGACCACUUCAUCGGCUACAAGUUCCUCAACGCCUCCCCCACGUGGCAAUCCGGCUCCGGCGCGAUCUCCCUCCCCCUCACCAACCUCCGAUCGAACUACACGUUCCGUAUCUUCCGAUGGACGCAGUCCGAGAUCAAUCCGAAGCACAAGGACCACGACCAGAAUCCAUUACCGGGAACGAAGCACCUCCUGUCGGAAUCGGAGCAGGUGGGGUUCGGAUCCGCCGGCGUGGGGAGGCCGGAGCAGAUCCAUCUGGCGUUCGAGGAUAAGGUUAACAGGAUGCAGGUCACGUUCGUGGCUGGGGACGGGGAAGAAAGGUUCGUGAGAUACGGAGAGGGGAAGGAUGCGUUGGCGAACUCCGCGGCGGCGCGCGGGAUUAGGUACGAGAGGGAGCAUAUGUGUAAUGCUCCGGCUAAUUCCACUAUAGGAUGGAGAGAUCCCGGGUGGAUUUUUCAUACCGUUAUGAAGAAUUUGAACGGUGGCGUUAGGUACUUUUAUCAGGUAAAAGCUAAAUCUGAAUCAAAAGGUUAUGUCUUUAAUUUAAUUUAAAGUAGUUGUAAGAACAUCAAAAGGUUAUGUCUUUAUUUUAAAGUAGUUGUAAGAACUAAGAACAUCAAAGGUUAUGUCUUUAUGACAGAUGAACAUCAAAGGUUAUAUCCAAGGUUUAGGAAAUUGCUACGCGGUAGCUAGGCACUGGACUGGUCGGAUUAUUUGUUUCUAGGCAGAGUUUAGUUUAGGUGUUAAGGAAUUAUUGAUUUAUUUUAUAUCUAUUUUGCAUUUAUAUUAGAUAUUUUAGUUUUUGGGUUUAAUUAUAACUAUUAGAUAUACUAAACAAUUUGACCCAAAAAAAAAAUAUACUAAACAAAAGAAAUUAGAUAAAUUUGUUGUUUUUACUAUUAUUAUUGUUUAGGUUAACAAAGCUAAGACAAAUUUAGAUUGAUUUAAUCCGAUUCUGAUGUUAAGAAAAUUGUUUUGGCUAUGAUCGAGUUACCGCUUAGACAGAGCUAAGUGUUUCUGUCUAGACCGAUUUUUAGAACAUUGGUUAUGUCUUUAUGACAUUUUAUGUUAUGUCUUUGUAACAGGUUGGGAGUGAUUCAAAGGGAUGGAGUGAGAUCCACAGCUUCAUCGCUCGAGAUAUCUACUCCGAAGAAACCAUAGCUUUCAUGUUCGGAGACAUGGGCUGCGCCACACCUUACAAUACCUUUAUCCGGACGCAGGACGAGAGUAUAUCCACAGUGAAGUGGAUACUCCGCGACAUCGAAGCUCUUGGUGACAAGCCAGCUCUCGUUUCACACAUUGGUGAUAUAAGCUACGCUCGGGGUUACUCGUGGGUGUGGGAUGAGUUCUUCGCUCAGAUCGAGCCUAUUGCCUCGAGAGUUCCUUACCACGUCUGCAUUGGUAACCACGAGUAUGACUUCCCUACUCAGCCUUGGAAACCUGAUUGGGGAACUUAUGGUAAUGACGGUGGGGGCGAGUGCGGUGUGCCGUAUAGUCUCAAGUUCAACAUGCCUGGAAACUCGUCAGAACCAACGGGAACGAAAGCUCCUCCGACGAGGAAUCUGUACUAUUCUUACGACAUGGGGUCGGUUCAUUUUCUUUAUAUCUCCACUGAGACGAACUUUCUCAAAGGAGGGAGUCAGCACGAGUUUAUAAAGCGUGAUCUUGAGUCUGUGAACAGGGAGAAAACUCCGUUUGUUGUAGUGCAAGGACACAGGCCGAUGUACACCACGAGCAACGAGGUGAGAGACGCGAUGAUUAGGCAAAAGAUGGUGGAGCAUUUGGAGCCGCUGUUUGUGGAGAACAACGUGACGCUUGCUCUGUGGGGACAUGUUCAUAGAUACGAGAGGUUUUGUCCGAUAAGCAACAACACUUGUGGCAAACAGUGGAGAGGAAGCCCGGUUCAUCUUGUGAUCGGUAUGGGCGGUCAAGAUUGGCAACCGAUUUGGCAGCCGAGACCGAACCAUCCGGGUCUUCCUAUAUUCCCUCAGCCUGAACAGUCGAUGUACAGGACGGGUGAGUUUGGGUACACUCGUUUGGUUGCGAACAAAGAGAAGCUCACUGUUUCGUUUGUGGGUAACCAUGAUGGAGAAGUUCAUGAUACUGUUGAGAUGUUAGCAUCUGGGGAAGUAAUCAGUGGGAGCAAAGAGGAUAGUGUUAAGACAGUUCCUGUAUCUGCAACACUUGUGGGGAAACCUGAGUCUAAUGUCUUAUGGUAUGUUAAAGGAGCAGGCUUGAUGAUUAUGGGUGUGCUUUUAGGGUUCGUUAUAGGUUUUUUUACAAGGGGGAAGAAAGGAUCUGCAUCUGAUAACCGUUGGAUCCCAGUGAAGAACGAGGAGACAUGAUAUUAAAGAAGUGAGUCUAUUAAGGUGUAUGAUUUGUAUAGUAUUGUAUCUUCUUUCCUACAGUAAGAACCAUGUUUUGUACACUGUAAUAAAUAAUAAUUCCAUCUGAAGAGUUUGUCUGAAAAUCUCUUUACUAUGUUUCGUGUAAAUACAUACUGUAUGUAUUAAUAUUUUACAUUGGUUUAUCUUGAUUGGGUUGGUUAUAGUAUAUGAUUUGGAUUAACAACAGAAAACUGCUUUUAUUGAAUAAAAUUAGAUAAUAUUUACAACUUAUAUAGCAAACAAUGACGCAAAGAAUAUAGUUUCAGAGCUGUACGAACGUAAAGAGAAAAAAAUACGUAUAGGAGAAUAGUACGUUUUUGUUUUGUUUGGGAAGGUGUUUAUUUGGAAAGCAAGUGACGUGCCCGUUGAUUAGCUCCUUGAACACGGUUGUUAAGCUCAUCAAUAUCGCCGUCCAGAUGAUCCAGAGCCUUGUUUUGCCUGCAAUAAUAAUGACAAUAAGUACUCAUAAGUAUAAAAAAUGUGUGAAAAUACGUAUGUAUGCAAGUGUGUUAUCUGACUUGUCGAGCUCAGAUCCCAUGUCAAGGGCCAUGCCCUUAAGAUCACCCAAAAUGUCACUUAAAUCUGAAAGUCCAUCGUCUUGCUUUGCCUUUUCUUGCUGCACACAUCAAAACAUACCAUUUUUUUGAGAUUCUCAAAUUAAUACCAAGUUAAGAAUUUGAAGAAUAAGAAGAAGACAAACACCUCCACUUUCUGCAUAGCGUUUGUUGGUUGGUCUGAUGGUAUCGGUUGGCUGCUUGAUCGUCCUUUCGCAGCCAAACCGAGUUUCUCUCGCUCUUCCUUGUUAUUCGCGCUCUUCUUCGACGCUUUAUCUUAACCAUUCAACCAAACACAUGAUCUUAAUCAAGAAUCAAGAAUCAAUUAUCAAUGAUCAAGAAUCAUCUAUACUAUUAUUUGAGAAUGUCCGGAAAAGUUAACGCAAUAAACAGCAUAUAUUUCGAUAAACAGCAUAUAUACAAAAAAAUUUUAUGUUCAGUUAAACAUUUUGAAAGCAUAAACAUUAACUGUUCAAAAUUAAUAAUGCAAAUAACUAAUGAUUAUUCCCGCAUUUGCGGAUUGAACAGCUAGUUAAAUAAUUUGAAGAUUGAGAUGAUACAGCUUUGUAGAUUGUAUAGUCUCUAACUCUCUACCUGGUGUGAUCAUAGGUCCUGCGAUCUCUUUACCCUUCUUAGGUUUCCACGGCUUAGAAAACAUUCCUCCUAAACUGUUCAAAAGCUUCUCUCCCUGCUCUCCCAAAAUAAAUUAUCAACAAUCAUUUAAAAAAAAACAGAACAUCUAUGUAAGAAAAACAUAAGCCCGGCAGGUUAAACCAAAAAAAAAAUGUAAGAAACAAAAAGAAUCAUUACCCGACCGAGAUCUUUAUCCAUUUCAACAGCCAUAACAUGAGUCCUGUUGAUCUGUUCACCUUGCGCGUGCAACAUAUCAAGCGUCCUCGUAGCAUCCGAUCUUAUAUCUUCAGCGAUCUUAAGACAGUUGUUGACACCUUUGGUUGUUUCUUCGGCUUUAUAAACCGCGUACUUCUCUAAAUCCUCCGUCGUCUGGCUCUGCAGAUCACCAGAGUUGCUGAAACCCUUCUUGUACUUGUCGUCAUCUUCGUCGAAGUCUGGUGUUAUGAGGACUGGUUCCGAAGAAGUUCUUCUUCCUGCAUUGAUCGUUCCUCCUCCUUUGUUGUUUGAUGAUUCGUUGGGAACUUUGUUGUUCCCCGGAGAUUUUAAGAAUCCAAACAUUUAUUCGACAAUGAGAGAAAGACUAUUGAUUGAGAUGUCGUCUCCAAAGAGAAGAUUUAGAUUAAAGAAGAAUCUAGAGAAAGGAAAAGGAAAAUAGUUAUCCAAAAAUAGAAACAUGUGAAUUUCAAGAACGGAUCAAAAGAAUUGUUUAGAUUCUCUCUCUGUUUGUAAGCCAAUGAAAGGAACCAGAGAUGAAGGGGAGACAUCACGACAAGUCCUUUGUUUCUCCCCUACUUUCAGACCGUUAAGAGUGUAUCUGUUCUGUUAAUGACCAAAACAAUCUGUUUUAGAGGUGGUCGCAAGAUCUGAGUUUAUUAAACAGUUUCUGAAGAUUUUUUUUUUCUUCUUCUUGCAAGAAACUCUAAUUCUGAUUUACAAAAAAGGUAAUUAUAAAAUACAAAAAAAAAAGACUCGAGGUCUUGAACUAUACAGAGAACUCUCUUACAACAUCCCCAGCUUUGUUAAAUAAUGCAUUUACAUAUACAGAAGAUUCUAGAGCAGAGUAACAAUGUGAGAUUGGAGAUCAUUCUUCAUUUACUUUCUCCUAGAGAAAUCAUCCCAUGGGUCUUCUUGACCAAAGAUCUCGUCGAUGAUGUUGGAAGUUGGAAGAAAAUCAAUGUUCUUACUCCAACAAUGAUCAAAUGAAUAAAAAUGAUCCUCCACAAGAUCAUUGCAAUGGCUCCAGUGAUUCCCAACAUCGGAUUCCUCUCUGUUUACAUUGGACUGGAAGUCAUCGGACAUGCACGAAUCUUCUUCUACAAUCACCUCUUCUUCUUCAUCAUCUCUUGAGAGGCUUUUUCCGGUUUUAUCAACUGGAGUUUCAGGACCAUAAAACGUGUUGUCAUACUCUACUUGCCACUCAUCAUCGUCACUAUCGAUGUCCAGGCUUUUAGAACGAUUCUGAACAGCUCUUCUUCGCAGGAUGAAGACGUUGAAAUAAUAGCUCACAAUCUCCUUCAUGGUUCGUGAAGGAAACGCAGACUUUAGGUGUUUCCAGAAAUCACGGUUCAGUGAAACAGGGUUGGAGUAAACAACCUCGUGGAAUAGAUCUUCCUCGUCCUCGGUUAGUUUACCAGCGACUUCCUCUCCCAUUUCACCGAGACCUAUGUUCAAACAUCUUUCGUAUCCGAUAGUCUCAAACAAGCCUUCUCGGUUUUCAAUGAUGUGCUGCUGCACGCAUCUGAUGGAACCUUUAUCCACGCAAAUGCAUUCUUUUCUUCCUUUACCAAUUUCGAAGAACUCGGUUUCAUGGUCAGGCAUUGGAAUCACGCACUUGCCGAUCAGUUGUUCUUCGUUGUGAUCAACAACAUCACGGACUUCUUCCUUGACACAAUCAGGAAUAUUAGCCUGGUAAUCAGACCCGAUUCGAACUUGUUUUCUAGGAGAACUCUGACACCAAUCUGACUCGGGAGAUUCGUGAGAAAGGGUAGACUGAGUCGUAGCAUCCUCCUCAGAUGAGAUCCAGGAGAAAGGUGCCUUGGUCUCAGACCCCUUCUCAACACUAUCCUCACAUUCAAGCCCGUAGAUAUCACUCAGAUCCUCUCCUGCUAAUAGCACAAAGCGCAAGACAAACAAGAAUUAAGCAAGAUGCUUAAUGUUAACCCAUCUGCAACUGCUGCAUACUAUUAUUACCUAUGACAAGACCAGACUUCUCCAGUGAAACAUGAUAUGGAACUCCUUCGUCUAGCUUGGCCAGCUUAUUGCAAUAACUAAUCUCUCUUGCAUGCUUCAUGUUGAGCUCUUGCACAUCCUCAGCUUCAAAAGUGCGCUUAACACCCAUAUUUUUUUGUACCUGUAAAAUGAAAAACCAAAAGCAAAUUUAGUUACUUGGCGUGGAGGUUAUCUUAUGUCAACUGCUAUUUAUAUAACAUCCACACACUAACAAGUAACAAACAACAAGUCUAUAACGCUGAGAGCUCUAAGUCCCAUGUUAAGUUAAGUACUGAGGGGAAUUUAAUUAAAAGUACAAAACCCCCAAUUGAAUAUGAGUAAAUUAAAAAAUCCCCAAAUCUGAACGAAACCCUAGCCCUAGAUUUCAAUUCACGGCGUAGAUCAACAAAUCAGGAAUCAAAAAUCAAAGAAUUGGCUAAUUAUCGGAAUAACAGACACAAGCCCUCUGUUAAUUAACAGAUUUGACAAACCCUAGAAAAUCGAAAUCUAAAACAAUUGGGGAAAACUAGAAAUUAAGAAUGAAUCCGAUAAGAAUAACAAAUGAAUUAAACACCUAAACGAAAAAUUGAUCAGAUCUGUUGUUUACAGAUCUAGAUCUAGCUCAAACCCUAGAUUUGACCACAACCAAUGGAUGAUAUCAAAACAGGUAUCAAUCGAAAGAUGGAAUCAAGAGGAAAACGAAAAUUACAAUUGAUUCGAAGAUAGAUCUGGAAGAAGGAAGAGAUCUGAACACGAAUUCAAGAAAAAAUAAAUUUGGGGGAAAUUUCGUGCUUUUCGAUUUGGGGAAGACCCGGCCCGGAUUAAAUUCGGAUACCGAGACAACACCGAAUGAGCUGUACCUUAUAAAAACACUUUAAACGAUUUGAAACUACAAAAUUAUCCUCGCCGUUUACCAGCACGUGCCCAACUUGCUUUGGCAUAUCCGCGUCUCUCUUUGUAAACCGAAACGUAAUUCGUAUUCAAUUUGAACAAACCGGACCAAGCAAACUCAACCGGUUAUAAUCCAAUCCUCUCUCAUAAACCCUAAAUUCCCAAAUCAGAUUCUCACGCGACCUUUCUCUCGACAACACUCUCGACUUUUUGCUUCCGGUUUCGAUCUUUCGCUGAUUCUAUACAGAUUCCGUACAUCUACAGUUCGUUGCAUCUGCUCGUGAUCUGAGUAAGUAUAGCUUAUCUCUUUUGAUUCAUGAAAAGCCCACUUUCGUGGAUCAAUUUACUCGAAUUAUACUUUUACUUGCUUGAUUUCUUAAUGAUCCAUUGAUCCCUAAUGUUACUUAUUGAUAUAGCUAUAGAAAGUUGGAUGCUUUGAAUCUGGGGUCUUUGCCUAUCCCUUAGUUAUGUGUUUGAUGUCCUUUAGCUGUUAGAAACGAUUGUUAUCAUCAUAUUAGCUUUGGAUCUCAAGUUCUAUGUUGUUCCAUUUUGUAGGUAGUGUGACAAGUUCAGACCAAUGGCGCUUGUUGUGAUUUGUGGGCAACCUUGCAGUGGGAAGUCAACAGCUGCAGUAGCCUUAUCCGAAGCACUGAAAGAAUCUGAAACGAAGCAGAACGUUAGAAUCAUCGACGAGGAUUCGUUUCAUCUAGACCGCAACCAGAACUACGCCAACAUGCCUGCAGAGAAGAUGCUUAGAGGAAAGCUCAGGUCGGAUGUCGAUAGAUCUGUUUCGAGAGGAGACAUUGUUAUUGUAGAUUCCUUGAACAGCAUCAAAGGUUACAGAUACGAGCUGUGGUGCAUUGCGCGUGCCGCUGGGAUUAGGUACUGUGUUCUCUUCUGUGAUGUGGAUGAAGAUCGUUGCAGGGAGUGGAAUAAGGAACGUGAGGGUAGAGGCGAGGCUUCGUAUGACGAUGGUAUAUUCGAGGAUCUUGUGAGAAGGUUUGAGAAACCUGAGAGGAGGAACCGAUGGGAUUCGCCUCUCUUUGAGCUGUACCCUUCUAGAGAUGGGAUAGAGAAAUCAUCUCCUGUGGUUUUAGAGGCUGUGACCUAUCUGACCAAGACUGUUGAUUCCAAAACUCAAGACGUGAGGAUACUCCAACCGAGUAUCGCGACUCAGUCUGCGAGAUUCUCAGAAGCGAAUUCUCUUUACGAGUUGGACAGAGCGACACAAGAAGUUAUUAAUGCGAUCGUGGAACAACAAGCGCUUGGUGGGGCUAUAAGCAGAGUUACUCUUGGUAAUGACCUGCCUCCGAUCGAAAUAUCCAGACCUACUGGACUACCGGAGCUGGGGAGGCUUCGGAGAACGUUUGUUAAGUUGAUGGGUCAGACGAGUCUGAGCGGGCCACCGUUACCAACCGACGCAAACAGUGGAAAGAGACGGUUUGUGGAUUACUUGAACAGAGAGUUUGGAGGUAAUAACGGUUGAAAUUGGUGGGUGAAGAAACAUGUUACAGUUUGUUUUUUCAUCUUCUCAACACAAGUCAAGUUUACACUCUGUGCUCUUCAGUGAAAAGUUGUGGACAAAUUGAUGUAUUUUUCUUAUGCAAACAUAUAAUUAUCAUUUAUCAAGUUUAAACAGUUUUUUUUUUGUGUAAUAAUAUCUUUCCAGUUCUUGAAAGACUCUGUCUUUGAACAUGAGUACGACUAAAAGGGGCUAAAAGGUAUAUUUUAUUGGCUCAUAAAGUUAUAAAGUUACGCAGUUUCAGCUAGUGUUGUACCAUACCAGCAUGUCUACUCAAAAACUAUCUUCAGUUCAGGCUAAUGUUGUUAGAAGAGAAACAAAUUACGUUUCACUUCACUCUGAAGAUAUCUUGAAACUGUCUUUUGUUUAGUGUCAGCUAGUGUUGUACCAGUUCGGUUUUACAUUGUCUUUGGCAUCUUGCAGAUACUGUGUUAGACAUCGCUUGCGCUCUAAGUAGAUAAAAGUAUCUCCAAAAAUAAUUUGACUGUACAUUAAAACGAAAAAGGCAAACAAAUUUUGGAGAUGCGGGGUAUCGAACCCCGUGCCUCUCGCAUGCAAAGCGAGCGCUCUACCAUUUGAGCUACAUCCCCAUAUGACUAAAGCUUCAAUUACGUUAAAUAAAUACGGUUUUCGACUAAAAAGUCUAUCAUAACAACAAACUACGAAGAAGUAGAAAGUACAACUAACAAAACUGAAAUAGCUACGAAUAAGUAGUAAGUACAACUAACAAAACUGAAAUGAUUAAUGAGAUAACAGGUUAACCACACAAUUAUCUUAGAUGCUGCGUGCAACAACCCGAGAGGGCCCCCGCAUAGUUUGUCAGUUUCUUUUUCUUAUUGUACGUUACAAGUCCAACUUACUAAAUAUACUUUUAUUUCUCUCUAAAAAUGUUCACACUUAAAUACAAUCAGUUUUUAUUCACACUACAAACCAUAUAUCGUAUUUGGAACUUUGUAACCAACUGAUUGGCUUACAAGUUUCUUUACACUAUAUAUAUAUUUAUCAAAUCAACUUUCAUUUUCCAAGUUCUCUACAUCAUAUCCUGUCUAUUUCGUGCUUCUCCUAAAAGAGUGAUCUUAAGACCCAAUCAUCAUGAGAAUGUUUCUAGCUCUCUUCCUUCUCUUGGCCUUGACCACAUCUUCAAGUAAGUACCUUUCUUCUCUUCUUGGUAUACGGUCCAAUAACAGUAUUUAAGAUUUUAUUGCUGUGUCUCUCUUUCUCUAUAGGUGCAACUUACUGUCUCUGCAAAGAAGGGGCAGGAGACGACGCACUUCAAGCAUCAAUAGACUAUGCUUGUGGAAAAUUAGCAGAUUGUAACCCAAUCCAUGACAAGGGUGCUUGUUAUCAACCAAACACCAUCAAAAGCCACUGUGAUUGGGCUGUUAACAGCUACUUCCAGAAUCAAGAUCAAGCCCCUGGAAGCUGCAACUUCACUGGAACUGCCACUACCAGUCAAAACCCACCUUCAAGUAAGUAAAAAAAUCUACAUUUUGAUGAGAAAAGUUGUGGUCUUGAUGACGUUCUUUUGUGCAGAUUUGGUUACCGGAUGUGUCUAUCCUUCAAGCCCUAGGUAACUAAUGAUCACUAACACAAACCUAAGCCUGUCUCAUUUACAUGGAUAUGACUUAUAAAAAGUUUGGUGUGUGUAUUAACAGCUCUCCAGGGUGUUCUCCUUCAACACCGGGAACAAAUCAGACAAACGGAACCGUUACUCCAACCAACGGUGCUUCCAGUUUGGUCAUUUCCCCUGCUUUCGCAAUCUGUUUAUCAACACUUGCGUUUCUGAUGUAACGUUCGUGUGGAGACAAAGACAUCCACAUGGGUCCGUCUUUGGUUCCCUUUUGGGUGGAAAAGGAAGCUUCAGUCGUCCUUGUGGUUUAUAUUUCUGUUGUUGCAUUUAUGUGAAAGUUGCUCUAAUUAGAAUCUUGAGUAAAUAAAUAAAAUAAAAACAGAGCAUCAUGAUAAAGACUUGUCAAUAAAAAGAUACCAUAUUUUUAUAAUUUCUAAUGAUUAAUCAUAGACUAAAGCAAAAUUUAUUCACCAUUUUAGUAGCUUCAACAUCCAAUUUAGAUUAUUGUUCUACAACUUCAGCAACGCAAGUGCCACCAGAGAUCAUUUGUAGUAAUCUACCAGUUGUUAUUCAGUUAAAACUAAGGUUUCUCUCUUUAGGUGUGGUGUUAUUCAGUUAAAAAAAUAUACUCUGUGGCAAAGAAAGAGAAACCUAUGUUCCUCGUUAUAACAUGCCAGAGAGUAUACUUGCUAAUACUGAGAAUAAGUAUCUUGAGAAAUCAUUCGACUGUAACAUUAAAAGGAAAAAGGUAAAAACAAUGUGGAGAUGCGGGGAAUCGAACCCCGUGCCUCUCGCAUGCAAAGCGAGCGCUCUACCAUUUGAGCUACAUCCCCAAUUGUUAAUACACGCACUACAAUAAAUAAAAAUAAAAUGUCAGACCAAAAGUUCUAACAACAAUCUACGAAUAAGUACAAUUAACAGAACAUUAAUUGUAUGAUAAUGAAACAAACAAGCCAAAGAGAAAUGCGUGAAGCAUAUAAUUAAUCAAUUAUCAAAGAUGCGUUAUGCAACAACCCGAGUGGGCCCCGAAUAGUUUGUCAAUUUCUGUUUCUUAUUCAACGUUAUAAAUCAACUUACCAAAAUAUAUACAUAAUAAUCGUAGUUAGACUUGGAACUUUGUUACCAAAAGACUGACUCACAAGUUAUAUAUAUAUAUACUAAAUCAACAAGUAUCAUUUUCCAAUGCUCUAAACUUCUCUACAUCUUCUCUCUCUAAAGCCAUCAUCUUGGUUUUGGUGUGUGCCUUGCUGUCUAUUUUGGUGCUUCCCCUAGAUAAGUGACCUUAAGACUAAUCAUCAUGAGAAUGUUUCUAGGUGUCUUGCUUCUCUUGGCCUUGACCACAUCUUCAAGUAAGUCUUUCUUCUCUUCUUCCAAAAGGGUCCAUAACAUUUACUUAAAAUUUUCUUGCUCUGUUUCUCUUUCUCUCUAGGUGCUAUUUACUGUCUCUGCAAAGAUGGGAUAGGAGACAACCAGCUUCAAACAUCGAUAGACUAUGCUUGUGGAACCUUAGCAGAUUGUAACCCAAUCCAUGACAAGGGUGCUUGUUAUCAACCAAACACCAUAAAAAACCACUGCGAUUGGGCUGUUAACAGCUACUUCCAGAAAGCAGCUCAGGCCCCUGGAAGCUGUAAUUUCUCUGGAACUGCCACUACCAGUCAAAACCCACCUUCAAGUAAGUCAAUCAACUUAUAGAUUUGAUGAGAAAAGUUAUGAUCUUGAUGAUGUUCUUUUGUUGUAGAUUUGGUUACUGGAUGUAUAUAUCCUUCAAGCGCUAGGUGAUGAUCACUUCCAUUAACCUUAACCUGUCUCAUAUUCAUAAACAUGACUUAGAGAAAGUUUGGUGUGUGUGUGUGUGUAUUAACAGCUCUGCAGGGUCGCCUCCUUCAACUACACCACCAACGGGAACAACUCCAACAACAAACGGAACCGGAGGCUUUACUCCAUUUCCGGGAACUCCACCUGCGUUUGGUCCAACUGGAACCGGAGGCUUUAGCCCAAGCAAAGCUGCUUCAAGUUUGGUCAUUUCCUCUGUUUUCACGCUCUGUUUCUCAUCACUAGCGCUUCUGAUGUAAGGUUCGUGUAGAGACAAAAGACAUCCACAUGGGUCCGUCUUUUGAUUCCCUUUUGGGUAGAAAAGGAAGCUUCAGUGGUCAUUGUGGUUUAUAUUUCUGUUUUUUCCCAUUUAUGUGAAAGAUGCUCUAAUUAGAAUCUUGAGUAAAUAAUUGCCAAAAAAAAAACAGAACAUCAUGAUAAAGACUUGUCAACAACAACGUUAGGAACUCGUGGGUUGUGUAAGAAGAUACCAUUUUUAAUUUCUAAUGACCAAUCAUAGACUCACAGAAAAUUUAUUCAACUAAAAAGACCAACCAACAAUAACACCAAGUGAAGUGCCAACUACUUACUUAAGGUAAGAUUCACACCUUCAAUAAUGGAAUAAGCCUCUCUAAUACACACAAAGGCAAGUCUCUCCACACUCUGUGAUCUGGCAAUAAACAAGAAUCACAUCCCCAUAUUAUUCAGAACAAGAAACAGAUAAGUACACAAUGUAAACACUGAACUUAAAAAGUAACAAAAAGAUGAAAAAAAAAUCAAUCUACAAGAUUCCCAUCGAUUUCAUAGAACAAACGGUUACAACUCUCACUAAGAAUCUCAGCUCUACGCAUAAUCUUCUUGCAAUCUCCAUGCCUUCGCUUAGGGCUAAACUCUCUCAGCCUCACAUGAGGAUCCUUGAUACCCACGUCAUUGUAUAUCUCCCUAGCAGGCACCACAUGCUUCUCCCAAAACUCAACGAGCGCCGGCCUCAUCUCCUCCCAAAAAGCAUUGUCUCUCCAAACUCUAAAGAGACUGCUCCCGUUACGAGUCCAGCAGUAAAGAUCCAACCACUCCGUAUCCACAAUCUCCAUCAAACCCUGAAGCUGCGGAAUACAAUGAUAAGGAACCUUCUUCCACGGAUACGCUCCUCUCGGCUUCUCCCCAUCACCACCUCCUUUGUAAAACGGACACUUCACUUCUACAACAGAAGUCGAACUCGCUCCAUUGAUCAAUCCAUCAGGAGAAGCUCCUAGCCAGUUUGUCUCUUCGCCGUUCUUGUUAUAGACAACGAAUCCAGGUCUAGCGAUGACUUCGUUCCCUGUUAACAGUUUAUAUCUCUCGAGCGCUUCGGUUUCGUUAUCAGCGUCCCAGAACGUGGCUUCGUUUCCGGAGAACUGUUUGGCUACACCGACUUUCUCUAGCCAAAGCUCGCGUCUACCUUCGGGCCAGAACCCGAUGGCGCGUGAGAAGUUGCUAGCUGUCAACCUGUUCUUCCUCAGAUCUUGCCAGUCUUUGGUCUCGUUCUGAGGCUCUGGUGCUUCUUUCUUACUAAUGAUCUCAGAGUCGGGUUCUGCUUGAACGUGCAAGAAGCGACGACAGAAAGCUAUCUCAUCACUGCCAAAGAAACAUCGAAACAUGUGUAAGAAUAAGAAUCAAAAGUAAUAUUAGAGAACUAAUGAGCUUGAUCAGAUAGAGACAAGACUGACCGUGCGCGUUUGUAAAAGGUACGACGAAGCAUAUCGGCGGCGACUCGACGACGGCGGUAAGUAGAUAAGAUCGAUUCUGAAUUUUGACUUUUGAGGGUUUAAGGAAGCGACUCUGGUAGGACUCGUAACCAAUGGGCCUUAUCUAAACUCGGAACUAAUGGGCCUCAGAGUUAUAAAACAUAAUCCGGUUGGGGUUUUUAGUUGAUUGAAUCGGUUUGGUUCGGUGAAGCAAGAGUAACGAGGAUUCUGAACUCGGCACUGAAAACGAACCUUUCAUGAUCUGGUUUUGGGGCGGUUUAGUGAGAUGCUAAAAGUUGGUAUAUUGAUUUCUCAUUAUUUCUAUAUAACAAACCGGUUUUUGGUCUGGUUCAACCUAAAUGAACCGAUAUAUGAUUAUCGAACCGAGUCUUCUAUUGUUGUCUCCUCCGAAGCAGCGAUCGACGCAGAGAAAGGGAAAGAUCGUAUGCCCUAAGGAAAAAGGAAUGAUUCAUCUGAAGAAGAAGAAGAAGAUGAUGAUACGAAGAACAUGUAUUCCUCUCCAUCGGAAAGCUUUGGCAUUGGUUCAGCCUCGUUUCUCUGGAACAGGUACUUCGAUUGGUUCUAGCAGCGACAGAAAUCUCUCUUAUAGAGAGAAACUGAGGAGUGGACUCGUUGAUAUCAAGAAGGACGAUGCUGUUGAUCUGUUUCAAUCUAUGAUUAUGUCUCGUCCACUCCCUAUGGUCAUAGAUUUCAACAGAUUGUUUGGUUUAGUUGCCAAAACAAAACAGCACGAUCUCGUGUUAGGUCUCUGCAAGCAAAUGGAAAUGCAAGGGAUUGCUUAUGAUCUCUACACUCUCAACAUUAUGAUCAAUUGCUUCUGCCGUCGUCAGAAACUCGGGUUUGCUUUUUCUGUGAUGGGAAAGAUGUUGAAGCUUGGGUACGAGCCCGACGCAGUCACAUUCUCUACUUUGAUAAAUGGUUUAUGUCUCAAGGGUCUAUUUUCCCAAGCUGUGGAGUUAGUUGAUCUUAUGGUGGAAAUGAAGGUUAUUCCAAAUCUCAUCAUACUUAACACUCUUGUCAAUGGCCUUUGUCUCCAAGAUAGACUCUCUGAAGCAGUGGCUUUGAUUGAUCGAAUGAUGGAAAACGGAUGUCAACCCGAUCAGUUUACCUAUGGUCCGAUUUUGAACAGAAUGUGCAAGUCAGGUAACACUGCCUCGGCCUUGGAUCUCCUCAGGAAGAUGGAACAUAGAAAGAUCAAGCCUCACGUUGUCACAUACAAUAUUAUUAUUGACACUCUUUGCAAAGAUGGGAACCUUGACGAUGCCCUCAACCUUUUCAAUGAAAUGGAAACCAAAGGGAUCAAAGCACAUGUCUUUACCUACAACUCUCUCAUAGGGGGCUUCUGUAGUGCCGGCAGAUGGGAUAACGGCGCACAGUGGCUGAGUGAUAUGAUCAGUAGGGACAUCACCCCGAACAUCGUCACUUUCAAUGCGUUGAUUGAUUGUUUUGUGAAAGAGGGAAAGCUUAGCGAGGCUCAAGAAUUGUACAAUGAGAUGAUCACAAGAGGCAUAGAUCCUGAUACAAUUACAUAUAGUACUUUGAUAUAUGGGUUGUGCAACGAAAAGCGCUUAGAUGAAGCCAACCAGAUGAUGGACCUGAUGGUUAGCAAGGGUUGCGAUCCGAGUAUCGUGACUUAUAGUAUCCUUAUAAACGGCUAUUGCAAGGCUAAACGGGUUGAUGAAGGUAUGAGACUUUUCCGUAAUAUGUCUGUGAGGGGAGUGAUUGCCAAUACAGUCACUUAUAGCACUCUCAUCCAAGGCUUUUGUCAAUCUGGGCAACUUAAUGUGGCCAAGGAACUCUUCCAAGAGAUGGUUUCUGAAGGUGUUCACCCUAAUAUUAUGACUUACGGUAUUUUGCUGGAUGGGUUGUGUGACAAUGGAGAACUAGAAGAGGCUUUGGGAAUACUUGAUCAAAUGCACAAGUGUAAGAUGGAACUUGAUAUUGGUAUUUAUAGUAUCAUCAUUCACGGGAUGUGCAAUGCUAGUAAGAUCGAUGAUGCUUGGGAUCUAUUCUGUAGCCUCUCUCUCAAAGGAGUGAAGCCUGAUGUUAAGAUGUACACCGUAAUGAUUUCGGGAUUGUGUAAGAAAGGCUCAUUGUCCGAAGCUGAUGCAUUGUUUAGAAAACUGAAGGAAGAUAGGUGUGAGCCAGGUGAUUGUACGUACAACACACUAAUCCGAGCACAUCUUCGAGGCAGAGACAUAAGCACGUCAGCUAAACUCAUUGAAGAAAUGAAGAGGUGUCGGUUCUCUGCUGAUGCUUCCACUAUAAAGUUGGUUAUGGAUAUGUUAGUGGAUGGUAGCUUGGACAAAAGCUUUUUGGAUAUGCUUUCUGGUCCUUUUCGAGACAUAUCAUAAAUCGUUGGGUUGAAUCACCAAGAUUCUGACGCUGGUUGCUCCUCUUUCCUCCGUGGCUGGUUCGUCCCGCUUCGCUUCCCGCCAUUACUUUACAUUGAGAAUCUAUGUUUCCUGAAAACUUGCUUGUUUCUGGUCAAUAUUGGUUGACUCAUUGUGUCGGUAUAAAACUAUCAUUAAGAGUUUGAGCUUUAUGUCUUCUUUUUCGAUUCUCUUGGCCAAUUGAUUGAUCUGUGACACUUUUGGAGCUAACUGUCUGUGGGUUUAAAGGGUCACUAACUAAUCUUUUUGGGUUCAUUGAACCAACCAGUGUUUUUGUUUUCUGAUAUUUGGGAAUCUUAGGAUCAAAACCAGAUGCCUUGAGUUGAUGUUUGGAUAAGUGAGUUGACUUCGUAUUGAUCCUUAGUUUUGAGUUCUUUGAGUGCUCUUUUGAUCUUCUAAGGAAGGUUCUUGGCAUCUAUGAGGACUGAUGGUUUUAGAGCUAUUUCAUAAUAGCCCCGCUCUUUUGGACAUGAUCUUUCAUCUACAACUUCUGUUAUGUUCACUCUAUUGAAAACCUUAUGUAGUAAAAGAGUAAUGAUACUCAAAUCUUCUGUUGGUGCAAUUCAUAUUUUUAUUGUUAAUCCAAGAUACAACCUUAAGCAUAUUGUUCCUUCUACUUAUUUAUUCUCGUGUUCCGACUAGCUAAUCGUGUCUUUUUUUGCCGGUGGGUUGCAAUUUGCAAAUUCCAGUCUUGCUGCUCUCUGCCGUUGCUGCGUGUUGGAGGAAGGCUGCUUCUGAGCCUUUUUUCUCUGCGGAUCUCUUGUUUUUUUUUUUUUUUCAGUCAUUAUAUGUUCAACCCAAGACAUACGCUUAUAGCUCAUGUCUCCUGUACUGUGAAAUGUUUCAUUGUCUGUUAAUGCUGUGUCCUCUUUGUUUGAGAGUGGACUAAUCCACACAUGGAUGAGAAAGAAAAAAACAGGUUUCUCGUGUAUCUUCUUUGUAAUUUCUAUGAAAUAUCGAUUCUGAAUUUUGAGGGUUUAAGGAAGCGACUGUUGUCUAAACGAGUAAUAUGUAAUUCAGGGGAAUGAAGUCAUAAACUAAGCACAUAGAUUAAAUAUCUGCGUCCAAGAUCUCACUUUAACAACUGUCUCUCACUCUCUACUCUUGUGGAAUAUAAAUCAUAAAAACUCACUUAUAAGUCUUAAUAUACGAGUAUCAACUUAUUAGCUAGCAACAAACUCGGUUUCAGAUUCUUUUUUGCUUGUUACUUACGCUUGGGCUUUGGCUUGAGGUGCGUCCACAACUUCAUCAGAUAAACCACACCUUCUUUGAGAGUAGCUUUUCUUCCUUCUUUGAAGUUCCAUAGCUCAGGCACUAUGUACCUUCCACUUCCGUUAUACUCGUUCCUCUCCAUCAGCGCUUGUGUCACAGCUUCAAACACUUCGUCACCCAGCUCUUUCUUAAGUUCCUGCAGCUUCUCAUCCUCUUCAUUCAGCACCUCCUGCCAAAAAUAAAUUGUAUACAUUCUAAGAGCAUUGUUUAAGAGAGAAGAGAAGAAAAGAAGAGGUGUAUCGAAUUGUAUUGUUGUUACCUUGUGGAUUCCGUCUAUUUGGAUAACCUUAAUCGGAUGCCAAGCCGAGUCUCUCAAGUGGUUGUCCCACAAGGAACAGAGCGUUGCUGCUUCAACAUCAGCUUCUUCAGCUGGAUAUCUCUCUUUAGCUAGUUUCUGGAACGGUUUCUCAUCCAAUGCUCCCAUUCUCUUCACAGAUAUCUGACCACGUAAUGUCAACUCUUGCAUUGACUGCACAAAGCUUAACCAUGGUUAGUAUCAUAACAUCAAAUGGAGAGAGGGAAGAGGGAGAGGGAGAGACUGUUGCUUACUCUGAUCAAAGCCUUGCGAGCAUCCUGAAGCUCAUCGUUAGUGUAGCCAUGUUUAACAACAAGAGCUUGAUAGAGUGACUCUUGGUAUUCAGACUCCUCCUCUUUCUCCUUGAGUUUUUCUUUAGUCUUUUCUAUCUCUUCCUUCAUAUCAGGAUCUUCCAUGUGUCCCAUCACCUGCAGCCCACCCCUCAUUCUCUCUAUCUCCAGCUCCCGUGCCAGCUCAUCAUCCAGUUUCUUCUCCAGCUUUUUGACUCUCUCACGUAACUCAUCUUUCUCCCUCUGUAAAACAACACAUCCAGCAAAUCAAAACAGACACUGCAACUUCAACAUUAUCCAUGCAAUAAAAGAUACCUGUUGCUGUUUAGCCAAUCUCGUCAUUUCUUCAUCAGCUUUGUUUUGCUCUUCGGUAGCCAUUAAGUUCUGACAAACAAAUUAAAAGAUUUCAUCACAAAUCAUUGCGCAAACUUUUAACAAAAAAAAAGGAUUUGUACAAAGGAUGUUGAACAUUACCUUCUGUUUUUGCCAUUGAAGCUUUCGUCGCUCAGUUUUGUUCAGCGAUUGACAUUUAUCAAGAUAUCUCUCCCUCUCUUCAAACUCUUUCCUUUGAGCUUCCAGAUGCUGAGCUGCCUUCUCAUGUUCAUUUUUCACACUCGCCAAAUAAUCACGCGCCUUUUGCUGCAUGCUACUCAUCUCUAAACAUUGACAAAGUUAAAACAAAUUAAGCUUCAGAAUACUAAUUUAAUUUCAUCAGUAAGUUAGAGAGAAAUCAAAACAGACACUGCAACUUCAACAUUAUCCAUGCAAUAAAAGAUACCUGUUGCUGUUUAGCCAAUCUCGUCAUUUCUUCAUCAGCUUUGUUUUGCUCUUCGGUAGCCAUUAAGUUCUGACAAACAAAUUAAAAGAUUUCAUCACAAAUCAUUGCGCAAACUUUUAACAAAAAAAAAGGAUUUGUACAAAGGAUGUUGAACAUUACCUUCUGUUUUUGCCAUUGAAGCUUUCGUCGCUCAGUUUUGUUCAGCGAUUGACAUUUAUCAAGAUAUCUCUCCCUCUCUUCAAACUCUUUCCUUUGAGCUUCCAGAUGCUGAGCUGCCUUCUCAUGUUCAUUUUUCACACUCGCCAAAUAAUCACGCGCCUUUUGCUGCAUGCUACUCAUCUCUAAACAUUGACAAAGUUAAAACAAAUUAAGCUUCAGAAUACUAAUUUAAUUUCAUCAGUAAGUUAGAGAGAAAAAAAACAUUACUUUCAUUAUGAGCGUUGAUCAUUUCAUCCUUCUCUUUCAUACUCCUCUGAAGCUCUGUACUGGUUUCUUUGUACUUGCUCUCUAUCUCCUCAAGGUUAGUGCUUUUGGUCUCUAGUGUGUUUUCCAAGUUAGAGACAAGCGUGAACGCCCUUCUUUGCUGCUCUGCCUCUUUUCCAGAAACAGUCACCAAGUCCCCUUGCUUCCUGAGGUGGUCUCCAACUACAGUUCUCGAGUAGUAGUCCUCCCUUUUCGCUAUCCAACCGUAAAGCUCUUCGCCACGAUCGCGUGCAUAAUCAUAGUCUCUCUUCCCACACUGAUUGACUUCAAAGUGCUUCUCAAACAUGGUGGCGUUUCUGUAAGCUUCCCAGUCUUUGCCGAAGUAAACAAUCGCAAAACCUGUGAAACCAACUCUGCCGUUCCACAGCGGCUCCACUUUGUGGGGGUUAAACCCUUUGCUAACAAACUCUUCCCUAAUUUUGCUUCCACUCUCGCCAGCGAACUUGCCUGUUUUGUCAUUAUAAAUUCUACUGAUGUUGGCCAAGAUCCCUUUCCAUGGAUGCACAAACAUCAGACCAUCAUUACGAGCAGCCAAAGUAUCACGCCUCUGAGGAUAUCUUGGAGCACCAUGGCUGAGACCACUCUGUUGGACAGGUUCUUCCCCCUCUUUACCACCAGCAGUGAGGCAAGCUCUCUUGGAAGGGUAUGUACUGUCUUGGUUGCUCAAAGAGGAGUUAGGAGAAAACAUCUGUCUUUCUUCACCACUUGGUACAGGAUCAUCUUCUCCUGAGACAGACAUAGGUUCAGCUUCAGCGAUACGUUGUGAACUGGAUUUGACAAGGCUGCUAUUCACUUCCCCUGCAGCAGAACUUGAUGAGCCUGCUGUUAUCCAGCUUCCGGUUAACACCUCUGUAGGAAGAGAAGAGACAUCUGAUGAUGGUCUUUCCAGAGGGCGGAGAUACUUCUUCAUGUAUCUCUCAAGUGCGAGAUGUCUAGCUACUUCUCGGCCAUCCUUAGUGCGGGAACUACCGUUGAUGUUGUAAGCAUGAUGAAGCAAGUCGUCAAAGUUGUAGUCACGCUUGCGGUCAAUGUAGCAGAAGGGACACCUGAAGAGAGAGUCAGAGAUCUUGACCUUGCGAGUGCCGUCUUUCAGCUCACAGUAGUAUCUGUACUCCAAAUCAUCCAGCUCUCUUCUUGAAUACAUCUCAACCUGCAACCACAAAGAAGCAAAGGAACUUGGUAUAAAUACAUAAUCACUGAACCUUAUACCUGAAAUUCACAGAAACUCAAAUCCAAACGACAUUUUCGUUGCCCGAAAGAGAAGAUCAUGAAAAAGUUGACCUUUUUACUCUUCUACAAAGAUCAGAGUAGAAACAUCAUAAAGACGCGAACUUUAGUGAGACUGAGCUACAGAACACACAAAACCCGUUCAGAACCUGAGAUUCACUAACCCAGUUACAGAAACUUACUAAAAGUUGACAUCUUUGGAAAGAUCAGAGUAAGAAACAACCCAGGAGAUCAUAAAGACACCAACUUUAGUGGGACUGAGCUACAGAACACAAAACCCUAACUCAAAUCCAACGACAUUUCGCUAACUAAAAGAGAAGAUCAGAAAAGUUGAGGUCUUUACUCUUCUACAGAGCUCAAAACGCGAAGAAAGAGAGACUCAGAACUGUAAACUCGUAAAUCAACGAAACGAAAUGAAACCCAUAAAAUAAUUUUCAGAAAGAACAAAUUUUGCAGAUGUCUGUGGAUACAGUUUAAGGAGAAGUGUAAGGGAAAGACGCGGGAGGAGAGAGAGAUGCGAAACUUCUUUGGAGAGCGAUCAAGAGGAUGACGACGAGUGUGAGUAUCCUUGGGAGUUGGGAGCAGGUGGGAGAGACGCACGUAAGCUCGUUGGAGUGGAGAGGAAUAAGUGAAAGACGAAAUAUGCAGAGUAGCGAACAAACACGUCGAUUGUGUGGCUUAAUCCUCUAGCGCGUGCAUAGGAAUGGUCAUUGUAGACCAAACCAAACCAUGAUAAACCAAUCUCAGUUGUCUUAACUGGAAUUGAAUUUGCUUUGAUUCGGUCUAACGCUUCCACACCGAAUUAAUCAAACGGCUAUAUGUUCUAUUUUCUAUGUUUUUAUUUAUAGUUCAGUUAUAAUUUCUAUUGAGAUAUUCAUAUGAAAAUAUCUAUCUUAUUAAAACAAAAACAUUGCGUCGGAACCAACUUGCUUCUACGUAAAUUUUUUUUUUAAAAGUAUACUAUAUAUAUAUAAUUAAUUCGACUAUAUACUAAUCUUAAGCUUAACACAUUUAAUAUUAACUAUCAUAUCCUAAAACUAGCUUUUUUUAUGGUAAUAUUAUAUAUCAUCAUUAUUAAUGUUGAAAUUUAUAAAGUAAUUGUUAGAUCGUAAAUCUAGACAUAUUGUGUUCGUAAAAUAAAACUUUAUAGCGCAAUUAUUAUUGUAAGAUUUAAAAAAGGCAAAUAUCUAUCAAACAUUUAUGUUCAUGAUUUUAGAAAAUGUCACUGUAUUUUUACUUCAUUUAGAAAUUCGUUAAGGUAUAUUUAGAAAACAUUUUUGAAUCAAAUUAAUUUCGCCUAACAAAUAAAUACAUCUGAUUUUUCUUAUAUUUAUUAUAUAUAUAAUAUUUUGUAAAUAUGGGCCACACGAUUCAAAUCAAAAGUUGAAUGAACCAUUUGAUUUGAAGAAAUAUUUUACAAAAAAUAACAAUUCACAAGAAAAAAAUGAUUACGUUAAACCAUAAAUCAUAUAUCAUUUUUGGUAAAGUUGAAUAAAAAUGUAUAUUAUAAAAAAAUUAAAAAUAUUUAAAUUAAUAUUUUUAAUUCAACCCGACAAACCAGACUAUUGGGUUAACCGUGAAUGGGACUAUAGGUCAAUAGUUUAAUAAAUUUUAAUAUAUAGUUAAAUUUUUAUCUGCGCUUUUAAGUGCUGAUGAAAUUUUCAUUAACAACGUUGCAAGUGUUUUGUUAAUUUUUUAAAAAUGUUUAUUUAAACUAUGUAAAUAUUUCUUAUCGUGUAAUAUGUUGCACUGUUGCAUAUCAGAUCGUCUAUGUAAUAUUUUUUAUCGUGUAAUAGCAUAAUUAAUCAGACAUUAAAAAAAUAUUAAAUAUUUCGUGCGGGUGAAAAUCUAUUUUUUUUUAAAGUGAGCUGCAUAAUACCUAAUUUUUUAUAGACGUAAAACAUAUAAAACCAAGAGUAACCAAACUGAAAUUUUAUGGGAAUGCAAGAUCAUCAUUUAUCCAAAAGACAUCCAACAAACUGAGGUUAGGACUUUUGGAAAAGAAAAGGAAGAGAAGAUUGCAGAGUCAUACUGAAUAUGAACUUGUAUCAGCACCAAUGGUAAAAAUGAAUCCAACCAGAACUAAGAAGAAGACUCAUCAAAUGAUAACGACCUCCUCCUUCAUGGCUCGAAUGAUAAUUUCACAUCCUGUAGAACGUUUUGUGAGUUUAUUAACCUUGUCGUAUAUUUCUGAUUCCACAACAUUUCGAGGAUCAUAAGCUGUGGGGCUCAGAAUGAGUUUCUUCAGUACUGCUGAGUUUCCAAGAAAGUAACUUGUUGCUUUCAUCUUCCCUUCCUCCCACUGUAAUUUUUCUUGAAUCUCAACACACUCAAGAGUCGUUGAGACACACCGUGGAACAUCUGUGAGUUCCAAUCCCUCAUCCAUCUCCUCUGGAUAAAGAACCUUCUGUAAACAACACAAAAAAAAAAGCUGGGUUUUUAAAAACACACAUCCAUAAAAAAAAACAUAAGGACAACAGUAAUGUUUUUACCAAGAUUAGGUGCUUCAGAUUGGGGCAACACUCAAGAAAGGCUGGCAGAAACUGCAAUAACUUGCCAUGGAACACUGCUUGUAAACGGGACAAGUUGUUGAACUUGGGGAUGAUUCCUGCUUUUGAAUAAUGUUCAAAGGCAUGCACUGUCAUCCCAGAGAUGAUCAUAUGUCCAACACUCGAUAUCCCAUUGAGAAAAUCACGGAUCUCAUUGCUCUUUGAUACGUCCCAAGUAUUAAAAAGCACGCCAACCUUGACAAAGAACUUGAUAUCAAGCUCAACCACCAACAAAGAAGGCAGGUUCUUUACCACAAUCCUAUCAAACUGAUCAUCUCCGAGACUCAUAUGCUCAAGACCAGGAGCAUCAAUCUCAAGUGUGCAUUCCACUCUGGAAUGGUAAUCCCUUGCCUGCCUAAGCGGCAGCACACUAAACCUCUUCAAGCUCUGAGACCUCACACGCAUAACCAUAAACUCUUCAUUCCCAAUUGCAUAAUCAUCAUCCAUAUCCCUCGACAAUGUCAGCUCCUCAAGAACAGGACACCCUGAGAGAAGCUUCUCCAGAUGCACACGCCAUUUGACUUCUUCAAGAUGCAUGAAUUUAAGACAAGGCAUGGAAACAAAACCAGGAUCCAUAAGUCCAGAAGAGGAGAGCUUUAAGUAAACCAAUGUCUUGCUCGUGUAGAGAUUCAUAGGCAUCAUAUCAACAAUAGGAUAGUGAAAAUUGUCGUCCUCUAAACAAUGGGUACUGCUCACAACAUCAAGAUGCUGUGUCCCCCGGUCAAUCAUCAUACCGAUCCGAUCCCUGAACCCAUCUAUCAUUGUGUCUCUGCACUGAACCUUGACUUUAAACAGAACUGACUCAGGGCUAAACUCGAGAAGCUUGUCAAUGAAGCUUAAGAAGCUUAAGAUCACUUCAUCAGCAUCAUAAUUAGGAAGAACAGAGCAAUUUAAGUCAAGACCGGGAACGCUUAAAUACAGAUUCUCCCAUCUCUUGGACAAAACACUUGUCUGCACCGAUUGAUUUGUCGGAAGGUAUGAGAGUAUUUGAGUUAACAAACAUUCCGGCAACUCGCUGAUCCGAUCCAUCCCAGACAUCACGAAACGAAACCCUAAGAGCAUCAACAAACAACAAACAGCAUAAAAAAGGAAUCUUUGAUUGAAAGAGUUUCUCUAAUAAAUCACAAAACUUUAGACUACAAAUGAAACGAAAGAUUCGAUGGAUUGGGUUUCUGAAGAACUCACCGUGGAUUGGUUUUGAGCCGCCGGAGGAUUGUAUCGGCGGGAGUGAUCGAAAGCGAGAGAGAGAGAGAGAGAAAAGUGACAACUUUUUGUCUGAAAACGGAACUGAUUAUUCAGAAUUUAUACGGUUGAAGCGGUUCCGGUUCCAUGAGAGCGUUUCAAAAAUGAAAUUGAAGGCUGUCUUUAAUCUUUAUUGUCGAAUAUAUUAUAAAUAUUUCUUUUAUUUUUUUGACAAAAAAAUAUUUCUUUUAUUGGUUAAAUCUUCAUGUUAAAUGUCAUUGUAAAAUUCAUGGGAAACGACUGUAAUUCAUGGAACUUUCGAUAUCGUUUAGUAUUUAUACGUUUGAAGCGGUUACAGUUUAAAAAGAACAAAUUUUGCAGAUGUCUGUGGAUACAGUUUAAGGAGAAGUGUAAGAAGGGAAAGAAGCGGGAGGAGAGAGAUGCGAAACCUCUUUGGAGAGCGAAGAGGAAAGGCGACGAGUUGGGAGCAGGUGGGAUGGGAGAGACGCACGUAAGCUUGUUGGAGUGGAGAGGAAGACGAAAUAUGCAGAGUAGCAAACAAACAUGAAGCUUUUGAACAUGAAGAAGUUUCAGUCUUUUAGUUACAUCAGAGAGGAAAUAUUGUGUUGUAACCAACUUAAUUCUACGUAAGAAUUUAAAAGAAGAUAUACUAUAUAUAUAAUUAAUUCGACUAUACACUAAUCUUAAAUCUAUAUAGCAACCUUAAAACUAUCCUUUUUAUGGUAAUAUUAUAUAUCAUCAUUAUUAAUGUUGAAAUUUAUAAAGUAAUUGUUAGAUUCGUAAAUCUAGACAUUGAGUGUUCGUAAAAUAAAACUUUAUAGCGCAUAUAUUAUUAUAAGAUUUAAAAAAGGCAAUAUCUAUCAAACAUUUAUAUUCAUGAUUAUAGAAAAUGUCACUGCAUUUUUACCUCAUUUAGAAAUUCGUUAAGUUAUAUUUAGAAAACAUUAUUGAAUCAAAUCAAUUUCGCCUAACAAGUAAAUACAUCUGAUUUUUCUCAUAUUUAUUAUUUAGUAAUAUUUUUGUCUAUGCAAAUGUGGACCACAUGAUUCAAAUCAAAAGCUGAAUGAACUUUUUGAUUUGAAGAGAUAUUUUACCAAAAAAUAAUAAUUCUCAAAAAAAAAAUGCUUACAUUAAAACAUCAAAAAUCAUAUAACAUUUUGGCAAAGUUGAAUAAAAUGUAUAUUAUCAAAAAAAUAUAAAAAGUAAAAAUAUUUAAAUCAAUAUUUUAAAAUCAACAUGACACUAGACCAGACUAUUGGAUUAACUGCGAAUGAACUGUGGAUCAAUUAUUUAAUUAAAUUUAAUAUAUAUAUAUAUAUAACUAAAUUUUGAUUUGUGCGCAGAAUAUUAAAUAUAUUAUAAUAAAAAAAUUCAUUAACAACGUUACAAAUAUUUUGUUAAUUUAAAAAAAACAUUUAUUUAAAAUAUUUUUGUAUUUAAAUCAACAUUUUUAAACUCAAACCAGAUAUAUCAUAUCGUCUAUGUCUCAUCAUUGUAAUAACAUAGUUAAAUAGAUGUUAAAAUAUAUAUUAAAUAAAUCUAGUUAUUUUUAAAUGAGCUGUAUAAUACCUAAUUUUUUGGAUAUUUUUAUAGCCGUAAAACAUAUAAAACCAAGAGUAACCAAACUGAAAUUUAUGAGAAAAAAAAGACAUCCAACAAACUGAGGUUAGGACUUUUGAAAAAAAAAGGAAAAGAGGAUUGCAUGCAGAGUCAUUACUGAAUAUGAAGAACUUGUAUCAGCACCAAUGGUCAAAAUGAAUCCAACCAGAACUAAGAAGAAGACUCAUCAAAUGAUAACGACCUCCUCCAUGGCUCGAAUGAUAAUUUCACAUCCUGUAGAACGUUUUGUGAGUUUAUUAACCUUGUCGNNNNNNNNNNNNNNNNNNNNNNNNNNNNNNNNNNNNNNNNNNNNNNNNNNNNNNNNNNNNNNNNNNNNNNNNNNNNNNNNNNNNNNNNNNNNNNNNNNNNNNNNNNNNNNNNNNNNNNNNNNNNNNNNNNNNNNNNNNNNNNNNNNNNNNNNNNNNNNNNNNNNNNNNNNNNNNNNNNNNNNNNNNNNNNNNNNNNNNNNNNNNNNNNNNNNNNNNNNNNNNNNNNNNNNNNNNNNNNNNNNNNNNNNNNNNNNNNNNNNNNNNNNNNNNNNNNNNNNNNNNNNNNNNNNNNNNNNNNNNNNNNNNNNNNNNNNNNNNNNNNNNNNNNNNNNNNNNNNNNNNNNNNNNNNNNNNNNNNNNNNNNNNNNNNNNNNNNNNNNNNNNNNNNNNNNNNNNNNNNNNNNNNNNNNNNNNNNNNNNNNNNNNNNNNNNNNNNNNNNNNNNNNNNNNNNNNNNNNNNNNNNNNNNNNNNNNNNNNNNNNNNNNNNNNNNNNNNNNNNNNNNNNNNNNNNNNNNNNNNNNNNNNNNNNNNNNNNNNNNNNNNNNNNNNNNNNNNNNNNNNNNNNNNNNNNNNNNNNNNNNNNNNNNNNNNNNNNNNNNNNNNNNNNNNNNNNNNNNNNNNNNNNNNNNNNNNNNNNNNNNNNNNNNNNNNNNNNNNNNNNNNNNNNNNNNNNNNNNNNNNNNNNNNNNNNNNNNNNNNNNUUGCUCUUGACCUCGUUCAAGUUACUCGCCACUGAAAAUCUGAUAAUGUACUUUUCAUUUCUUGUGCAACACGUCUUGUCACACUAAGCUCCAACUUUCAUCAGAAACAUCUUUUAAGAACUGUGUUUAAUGCUUUCGGCAUGCACUUGUUGGUAGAUUUGUACUUAUGCUUUUAUAAAAACUAGCAACUACCACAGUUAUAAACAUUUUCUUACUUAUUGCGUCUUCAUGACACAUGAAGCAAACCAAAUAAGCGUUGUAAACAUUUUUAAAUAGCUGUUUGUUUUUUUUUUUUUUUGCUAACCGAAUAUCCUGGCCCCACUGAGGUGGUCCAGACUAGAGACCGAAGUGAGCAUGGACGCUGCCAGGGCGUCACCAUGUGGCUCACCGUGUAACGGUCUUCAGUCUCGGGUGCUGCAGCCCACGUGUAAAUUCCGCAGUGGCCAAGGCUCGAACCCAGGGACGGACAGUCCAGCUGGAACUCCUAUACAAGUAGAGCAAAGCAACUUGGUUAAAGCUGUUUGUUAUAUGUAAUUCAGGGGAACGAAGUCAUAAACCAAGCACAUUAGAUUAUAAACAUCUGCAUCCAAGAUCUCACCUUAACAACUGUCUCACUACUCUUGUGGAAUAUAAAUCAUUAAAACUCACUUAUAAGUCUUAAUAUACGAGUAUCAACCCAUCAGCAACAACCUCGGUUUCAGAUUCUUUUUUUGCUUGUUACUUACGCUUUGGCUUUGGCUUCAAGUGCUUCCACAAGUUCAUCAGAUAAACUACACCUUCUUUGAGAGUAGCCUUUCUUCCCUCUUUGAAGUUCCAAAGCUCAGGCACUAUGUACCUCCCACUUCCAUUAUACUCGUUCCUCUCCAUCAGCGCUUGUGUCACAGCUUCAAACACUUCAUCCCCCAGCUCUUUCUUCAGUUCCUUCAGCUUCUCAUCUUCUUCAUUCAGCACCUCCUGCCAAAAAAAAAUUGUAGACAGUCUAAGAGCAUUGUUUAAGAGAGAAGACAAGAAAAGAAGAGGUGUAUUGUAUUGUUGGUACCUUGUGGAUUCCGUCUAUUUGGAUGACCUUAAUCGGAUGCCAAGCCGAGUCUCUCAAGUGGUUGUCCCACAAGGAACAGAGCGUUGCUGCUUCAACAUCAGCUUCUUCAGCUGGAUAUCUCUCUUUAGCUAGUUUCUGGAACGGUUUCUCAUCCAAUGCUCCCAUUCUCUUCACAGAUAUCUGACCACGUAAUGUCAACUCUUGCAUUGACUGCACAAAGCUUAACCAUGGUUAGUAUCAUAACAUCAAAUGGAGAGAGGGAAGAGGGAGAGGGAGAGACUGUUGCUUACUCUGAUCAAAGCCUUGCGAGCAUCCUGAAGCUCAUCGUUAGUGUAGCCAUGUUUAACAACAAGAGCUUGAUAGAGUGACUCUUGGUAUUCAGACUCCUCCUCUUUCUCCUUGAGUUUUUCUUUAGUCUUUUCUAUCUCUUCCUUCAUAUCAGGAUCUUCCAUGUGUCCCAUCACCUGCAGCCCACCCCUCAUUCUCUCUAUCUCCAGCUCCCGUGCCAGCUCAUCAUCCAGUUUCUUCUCCAGCUUUUUGACUCUCUCACGUAACUCAUCUUUCUCCCUCUGUAAAACAACACAUCCAGCAAAUCAAAACAGACACUGCAACUUCAACAUUAUCCAUGCAAUAAAAGAUACCUGUUGCUGUUUAGCCAAUCUCGUCAUUUCUUCAUCAGCUUUGUUUUGCUCUUCGGUAGCCAUUAAGUUCUGACAAACAAAUUAAAAGAUUUCAUCACAAAUCAUUGCGCAAACUUUUAACAAAAAAAAAGGAUUUGUACAAAGGAUGUUGAACAUUACCUUCUGUUUUUGCCAUUGAAGCUUUCGUCGCUCAGUUUUGUUCAGCGAUUGACAUUUAUCAAGAUAUCUCUCCCUCUCUUCAAACUCUUUCCUUUGAGCUUCCAGAUGCUGAGCUGCCUUCUCAUGUUCAUUUUUCACACUCGCCAAAUAAUCACGCGCCUUUUGCUGCAUGCUACUCAUCUCUAAACAUUGACAAAGUUAAAACAAAUUAAGCUUCAGAAUACUAAUUUAAUUUCAUCAGUAAGUUAGAGAGAAAAAAAACAUUACUUUCAUUAUGAGCGUUGAUCAUUUCAUCCUUCUCUUUCAUACUCCUCUGAAGCUCUGUACUGGUUUCUUUGUACUUGCUCUCUAUCUCCUCAAGGUUAGUGCUUUUGGUCUCUAGUGUGUUUUCCAAGUUAGAGACAAGCGUGAACGCCCUUCUUUGCUGCUCUGCCUCUUUUCCAGAAACAGUCACCAAGUCCCCUUGCUUCCUGAGGUGGUCUCCAACUACAGUUCUCGAGUAGUAGUCCUCCCUUUUCGCUAUCCAACCGUAAAGCUCUUCGCCACGAUCGCGUGCAUAAUCAUAGUCUCUCUUCCCACACUGAUUGACUUCAAAGUGCUUCUCAAACAUGGUGGCGUUUCUGUAAGCUUCCCAGUCUUUGCCGAAGUAAACAAUCGCAAAACCUGUGAAACCAACUCUGCCGUUCCACAGCGGCUCCACUUUGUGGGGGUUAAACCCUUUGCUAACAAACUCUUCCCUAAUUUUGCUUCCACUCUCGCCAGCGAACUUGCCUGUUUUGUCAUUAUAAAUUCUACUGAUGUUGGCCAAGAUCCCUUUCCAUGGAUGCACAAACAUCAGACCAUCAUUACGAGCAGCCAAAGUAUCACGCCUCUGAGGAUAUCUUGGAGCACCAUGGCUGAGACCACUCUGUUGGACAGGUUCUUCCCCCUCUUUACCACCAGCAGUGAGGCAAGCUCUCUUGGAAGGGUAUGUACUGUCUUGGUUGCUCAAAGAGGAGUUAGGAGAAAACAUCUGUCUUUCUUCACCACUUGGUACAGGAUCAUCUUCUCCUGAGACAGACAUAGGUUCAGCUUCAGCGAUACGUUGUGAACUGGAUUUGACAAGGCUGCUAUUCACUUCCCCUGCAGCAGAACUUGAUGAGCCUGCUGUUAUCCAGCUUCCGGUUAACACCUCUGUAGGAAGAGAAGAGACAUCUGAUGAUGGUCUUUCCAGAGGGCGGAGAUACUUCUUCAUGUAUCUCUCAAGUGCUAGAUGUCUAGCGCCAUCCUUAGUGCGGGAACUACCGCUGAUGUUGUAAGCAUGGCGGAGCAAGUCGUCAAAGUUGUAGUCACGCUUGCGGUGAAAGUAGCAGAAGGGACACCUGAAGAGAGAGUCAGAGAUCUUGACCUUGCGAGUGCCGUCUUUCAUUUCAGAGUAGUAUCUGUACUCCAAAUCAUCCAGCUCUCUUCUUGAAUACAUCUCAACCUGCAACCACAAAGAAGCAAAGGAACUUGGUAUAAAUACAUAAUCACUGAACCUUAUACCUGAAAUUCACAGAAACUCAAAUCCAAACGACAUUUUCGUUGCCCGAAAGAGAAGAUCAUGAAAAAGUUGACCUUUUUACUCUUCUACAAAGAUCAGAGUAGAAACAUCAUAAAGACGCGAACUUUAGUGAGACUGAGCUACAGAACACACAAAACCCGUUCAGAACCUGAGAUUCACUAACCCAGUUACAGAAACUUACUAAAAGUUGACAUCUUUGGAAAGAUCAGAGUAAGAAACAACCCAGGAGAUCAUAAAGACACCAACUUUAGUGGGACUGAGCUACAGAACACAAAACCCUAACUCAAUUCCAACGACAUUUCGCUAACUAAAAGAAGAUGAGAAAAAGUUGAGGUCUUUACUCUUCUACAGAGCUUAAAACACGAAGAAAGAGAGACCCAUCACUCUAGACUCGUAAAGCAAACGAAACGAAAUGAAACCCAUUCGAAAAUUUCAGGAAAAUAAAAACACAAAAUUUUGCAAAUGUCUGUAGAUACAAGUGAGCUGUAAAGGGAAAAAGUUGCGAAACCUUUGGAGAGCGAAGAGAAGGGCGACGAGUCUCCUUGUAGGAGCAGGUGGGUAGGGACUAGGGAGAGACGCACGUGAGCUUGUUGUUGGAGUGGAGAGGACGACAAGUGAAAGACGAAAAUAUGGAGAGUAGCAAACUAAUGCUAAUCCUUUAGCGCGUGCAAUAAGAAUGGUCUUCGUUGACCAAUCCGAACCAGAAUAAACCAAUUCGAAAUUAAACAGCUUUUAUUUAGUCUGAACUUUCUAUCAACAGACUCGGAUUCGAUAAAGACCAAUCCAAGUAAUCAGAUUUAGUGAAAACCGAUUAAAACCCAACUUGGAAAUUUGAUUGCUCAGGACUGUGUUUUUUUCUUUUUUAAAUGGUACCUUGUGGAUUCCGUCUAUUUGGAUGACCUUAAUCGGAUGCCAAGCCGAGUCUCUCAAGUGGUUGUCCCACAAGGAACAGAGCGUUGCUGCUUCAACAUCAGCUUCUUCAGCUGGAUAUCUCUCUUUAGCUAGUUUCUGGAACGGUUUCUCAUCCAAUGCUCCCAUUCUCUUCACAGAUAUCUGACCACGUAAUGUCAACUCUUGCAUUGACUGCACAAAGCUUAACCAUGGUUAGUAUCAUAACAUCAAAUGGAGAGAGGGAAGAGGGAGAGGGAGAGACUGUUGCUUACUCUGAUCAAAGCCUUGCGAGCAUCCUGAAGCUCAUCGUUAGUGUAGCCAUGUUUAACAACAAGAGCUUGAUAGAGUGACUCUUGGUAUUCAGACUCCUCCUCUUUCUCCUUGAGUUUUUCUUUAGUCUUUUCUAUCUCUUCCUUCAUAUCAGGAUCUUCCAUGUGUCCCAUCACCUGCAGCCCACCCCUCAUUCUCUCUAUCUCCAGCUCCCGUGCCAGCUCAUCAUCCAGUUUCUUCUCCAGCUUUUUGACUCUCUCACGUAACUCAUCUUUCUCCCUCUGUAAAACAACACAUCCAGCAAAUCAAAACAGACACUGCAACUUCAACAUUAUCCAUGCAAUAAAAGAUACCUGUUGCUGUUUAGCCAAUCUCGUCAUUUCUUCAUCAGCUUUGUUUUGCUCUUCGGUAGCCAUUAAGUUCUGACAAACAAAUUAAAAGAUUUCAUCACAAAUCAUUGCGCAAACUUUUAACAAAAAAAAAGGAUUUGUACAAAGGAUGUUGAACAUUACCUUCUGUUUUUGCCAUUGAAGCUUUCGUCGCUCAGUUUUGUUCAGCGAUUGACAUUUAUCAAGAUAUCUCUCCCUCUCUUCAAACUCUUUCCUUUGAGCUUCCAGAUGCUGAGCUGCCUUCUCAUGUUCAUUUUUCACACUCGCCAAAUAAUCACGCGCCUUUUGCUGCAUGCUACUCAUCUCUAAACAUUGACAAAGUUAAAACAAAUUAAGCUUCAGAAUACUAAUUUAAUUUCAUCAGUAAGUUAGAGAGAAAAAAAACAUUACUUUCAUUAUGAGCGUUGAUCAUUUCAUCCUUCUCUUUCAUACUCCUCUGAAGCUCUGUACUGGUUUCUUUGUACUUGCUCUCUAUCUCCUCAAGGUUAGUGCUUUUGGUCUCUAGUGUGUUUUCCAAGUUAGAGACAAGCGUGAACGCCCUUCUUUGCUGCUCUGCCUCUUUUCCAGAAACAGUCACCAAGUCCCCUUGCUUCCUGAGGUGGUCUCCAACUACAGUUCUCGAGUAGUAGUCCUCCCUUUUCGCUAUCCAACCGUAAAGCUCUUCGCCACGAUCGCGUGCAUAAUCAUAGUCUCUCUUCCCACACUGAUUGACUUCAAAGUGCUUCUCAAACAUGGUGGCGUUUCUGUAAGCUUCCCAGUCUUUGCCGAAGUAAACAAUCGCAAAACCUGUGAAACCAACUCUGCCGUUCCACAGCGGCUCCACUUUGUGGGGGUUAAACCCUUUGCUAACAAACUCUUCCCUAAUUUUGCUUCCACUCUCGCCAGCGAACUUGCCUGUUUUGUCAUUAUAAAUUCUACUGAUGUUGGCCAAGAUCCCUUUCCAUGGAUGCACAAACAUCAGACCAUCAUUACGAGCAGCCAAAGUAUCACGCCUCUGAGGAUAUCUUGGAGCACCAUGGCUGAGACCACUCUGUUGGACAGGUUCUUCCCCCUCUUUACCACCAGCAGUGAGGCAAGCUCUCUUGGAAGGGUAUGUACUGUCUUGGUUGCUCAAAGAGGAGUUAGGAGAAAACAUCUGUCUUUCUUCACCACUUGGUACAGGAUCAUCUUCUCCUGAGACAGACAUAGGUUCAGCUUCAGCGAUACGUUGUGAACUGGAUUUGACAAGGCUGCUAUUCACUUCCCCUGCAGCAGAACUUGAUGAGCCUGCUGUUAUCCAGCUUCCGGUUAACACCUCUGUAGGAAGAGAAGAGACAUCUGAUGAUGGUCUUUCCAGAGGGCGGAGAUACUUCUUCAUGUAUCUCUCAAGUGCUAGAUGUCUAGCGCCAUCCUUAGUGCGGGAACUACCGCUGAUGUUGUAAGCAUGGCGGAGCAAGUCGUCAAAGUUGUAGUCACGCUUGCGGUGAAAGUAGCAGAAGGGACACCUGAAGAGAGAGUCAGAGAUCUUGACCUUGCGAGUGCCGUCUUUCAUUUCAGAGUAGUAUCUGUACUCCAAAUCAUCCAGCUCUCUUCUUGAAUACAUCUCAACCUGCAACCACAAAGAAGCAAAGGAACUUGGUAUAAAUACAUAAUCACUGAACCUUAUACCUGAAAUUCACAGAAACUCAAAUCCAAACGACAUUUUCGUUGCCCGAAAGAGAAGAUCAUGAAAAAGUUGACCUUUUUACUCUUCUACAAAGAUCAGAGUAGAAACAUCAUAAAGACGCGAACUUUAGUGAGACUGAGCUACAGAACACACAAAACCCGUUCAGAACCUGAGAUUCACUAACCCAGUUACAGAAACUUACUAAAAGUUGACAUCUUUGGAAAGAUCAGAGUAAGAAACAACCCAGGAGAUCAUAAAGACACCAACUUUAGUGGGACUGAGCUACAGAACACAAAACCCUAACUCAAUUCCAACGACAUUUCGCUAACUAAAAGAAGAUGAGAAAAAGUUGAGGUCUUUACUCUUCUACAGAGCUUAAAACACGAAGAAAGAGAGACCCAUCACUCUAGACUCGUAAAGCAAACGAAACGAAAUGAAACCCAUUCGAAAAUUUCAGGAAAAUAAAAACACAAAAUUUUGCAAAUGUCUGUAGAUACAAGUGAGCUGUAAAGGGAAAAAGUUGCGAAACCUUUGGAGAGCGAAGAGAAGGGCGACGAGUCUCCUUGUAGGAGCAGGUGGGUAGGGACUAGGGAGAGACGCACGUGAGCUUGUUGUUGGAGUGGAGAGGACGACAAGUGAAAGACGAAAAUAUGGAGAGUAGCAAACUAAUGCUAAUCCUUUAGCGCGUGCAAUAAGAAUGGUCUUCGUUGACCAAUCCGAACCAGAAUAAACCAAUUCGAAAUUAAACAGCUUUUAUUUAGUCUGAACUUUCUAUCAACAGACUCGGAUUCGAUAAAGACCAAUCCAAGUAAUCAGAUUUAGUGAAAACCGAUUAAAACCCAACUUGGAAAUUUGAUUGCUCAGGACUGUGUUUUUUUCUUUUUUAAAUGUUUCUAUUUAUUGUUUAGUUUUUUUUUUUUUGAUAAUCCAGGUAAUCCGAACACCCCGGAGGGAACCCGACUAGCAGUAUGUAGUUAUUUUUCUCUGUUUCAGAUUAAUUAUCGUUCUAGAACUUAAAAUUUGUUUCAUUUUAAAUGUUGUUUUCAAUGCAUUUAUUUACUAGUUUUUUCAAUUUUGUCAAUACUAUUUAAGCUCAUUAAAUUAUAUCCAAAUAAAAUAAUAUAUUAAAUAUGGAUAAAACAUGAAAUUUAAUGUUUUUUUUUUAAAUUUGUGUAAAAAAGUCUAAAACGACAAAUAAUCUGAAACCGGAAGUAUCCGUGAACUUUAUUUUUCUUAACAUUUACUAAUAUUAAAUUUGAAAUGAAAAAUGUUUGUUACAGCGAUUUCUGAUUUAUUUUUAAAUUUUAGAUAUAUAGGUCAAAGGAAUAAAAAACCGAACUUAAGAGUAGCAUUAUCGGAAAAUGAGGAGGAAUUUUUAACUAUUAUUAUAUUAUUAAAACGGAAAAAAUAAAAGAGAUGAAGCACGAGAAUCUUAAAACUAAACUUUCCAAAAUCGGUUUAGAACUGUAAUUGCUUACUUGUUGUUUUUCAUUAGCUUCAUUUUCUAGUUUUAGUUAAGUUAUAAUUAUCUAAUAAAGUAAUAAUAAAAUAUUAAUUUUUUUAGCUCAGAUAACCAAUUCGAUUUCUAUCCGAUAAUGUUGCUCUAAUAAUACUUAAUUUUCUUUAAAUAUUUAUAGGAAUAAGACAUAUCCAAGAAGAUUCAACAACAAUGGUCAAGGAAGCCAACCAGAACUAAAAAAUCGAAGACUCAUACACUGAUAAUAUUGAACUCAUUCAUUCAUGGAUAAUUUGACAUACUGGAGAACGUUUUGUUAGUUUAUUAACUUUCUCGUAUAUGUUCUGAUUAUAAGCUGUAGGGCUCAGAAUGAGUUUCUCCAGUACUGCUGAGUUUUCAAGAAAGUAACUGGCUACUUUCAUCUUCCCUUCCUCCCAUUCAAACUUAUCUUGUAUCUCAACACACUCAAGAGUCGUUGACACACACUGUGGCACAUCUGUGAGUUCCAAUUCUUCCUCCAUCUCCUCUGGAUGAAGAACCUUAUGCAAACCACACACACACAAACACAAAAGAAGGCUGAGUUUUCAAUAAUACACAUAUCCAUAAAAAAAAAACAUAAGGAUAAAAAAUGGUUUUACCAAGAUUAGGUGUUUCAGAUUUGGGCAACACUCAAGAAAGGCUGGGAGAAACUGCACUAACUUGCUACGGAACACGGCUUGUAAACGGGAUAAGUUAUUGAAUUUAGGAAUCAUUCCUAACUGUGAGUAGCGAGCAAGGGCCUGCACUGUUUUGGCAGAGAUGAUCAUAUGUCUUGCACACGAUAUCCCAUUGAGAAAAUCACGGAUCACAUUGAUCUUUGAUACGUUCCAAGUAUUAACAAGCACGCGAAACUUGACAUCAAGCUCAACCACCAACAAACAAGUCAGGUUCUUUACCACAAUGCUACAGAUCUGAUCAUCACCUAGACUCAUAUGCUCUAGCCCUGGAGCAUCAAUCUUAAGCGUGCAUUUCACUCUCGAACGGACAUAUCCAUUCCUAAGCGGCAGCACACGAAACCUCUUCAAGCUCCGAGUCCUAACAAGCAAAGCCUUAUAUUCAUCCUCCGGAUCCCUCAACAAGGUCAGCUCCUCAAGAACAGGACACCCUGAGAUAAGCUUAGCCAGAUGCACGCGCCAUUUAACCUCUUCAAGAUGCAUGAAUUUAAGACAAGGCAUGAAAACAACAACAGGAUAACCAAGAACAGAAGACGUGAGCUUCAAGUAAACCAAUGUCCUCCUCUAAAUAAUAGUUACCGAUCCAAUAUCUGAACUCAUCUAUAAAACAAAUACAGUUGCUGCUGUCAAUAUCAAGAUGCUGUGUCCCCCGGUCAAUCAUUAUACCGAUCCGAUCGUUGAACCCAUCUAUCUUCGUGUCUCUGUACUUAACCUUGACUUUAAAUAGAAUUGACUCAGGGCUAGACUCGAGAAGCUUGUCAAUGAAGCUUAAGAACACUUGGUCUGCAUCGUAAGGAACAGAAGAGCAGUCUAAGUCAAGACCGGGAACACUUAGAUACAGAUUCUCCCAUCUCUUGGACAAAACACUUGUCUGCACCGAUUGUUUUGUCGGAAUGUAUGAGAGUAUUUGAGUAAGCAAACAUUCCGGCAGUUCGCUGAUCCUAUCUCUCCCAGACAUCACGAGACGAAACCCUAAGAGCAUCAACAAACAAUAACAAACAGCAUAAGAAAAAAAAAAAAAGAUCUUGACCGAACCCUAGGCGUUGAGUUUUCUCUAAUCUGAAGAAACUCACCUGGGAUUCGGUUUGAUUCGCCGGCGGACUAUAUCGGCCCGGAGUUAUCAAUUGUGUAGAGAGAAAAGUUGUAACUUUGGGUGUGGAUCGAAGUACUCGCGAGCGUUUAGUAUUUAUAGGGAUUCCUUUUCUUCAGAGAUCUUUUCAAAAAUAAAGGCCGUCGUUAUUGUACAAUUAAUUAAUAAAUAAUUAUUUUAGUAAAAUAAGCUUUGUAUUGGUUAUUUUCAUGUUAUAUGCCAUUGGAAAAUAGAAAUAUCGUAAAAUAGCAUUACAAAUGUUUUUUUCAUAAAAAAUAGUUUCUAACAGCCGUCCGUCAAAAUGUCAAUUGUCAAAAAAAAAAACAGUGGUCCAUCAAUCUAAAUCAUCUAUAUUAUUAAAAGGAUUUUCUGCAAAAAAAAAAAUUUCAAUAUGUUUUUUUUUUUUGUAAAUUAAUCCAUGAAUUCAAAAUUCAUAGGUCAACCAUACAAGUGUCAAUCAAACUGCAAUAUAACGCUCAGGGUUCGAACUUUGAACUUUAAACACUAUGUGCAUGUUAUAUAACCAUCUCGACCAACAGAUAUAUUUGUUUACUUAACAAACGCAAUUAUAUAGAUUUCUAAAUUAAUUCCGAAAUGAUCUUAUUUCUUGGACAUCAGAGCUUGCAUAAUGAAGAAGGUGGGGUGAUCCUUCAACAAGGUCAGCUCCUCAAGAACAGGACACCCUUAGAGUACUUUCUCCAGAUGCACACGCCAUUUAACUUCUUCAAGAUGCAUGAAUUUAAGACAAGGCAUGUAAACAAAACCAGGAUCCCUAAGACCAGAAGACGUGAGCUUCAAGUAAACCAAUUUCUUGCUCGCGUAGAGAUUCAUAGGCAUGAACUCGACACAAGGUAAGGUAACAGAAUUAGUGUAAUCAUCUAUAUAAUCAGUACUGCUCUCAACAUCUAGAUGUUCUGUUCCACGGCUAAUCACUGUACCGAGACGUUCCAUGAACCCAUCUAUCAUCAUGUCUCUGCACUUAACCUUGACUUUUAAGAGACUUAACUCAGGGCUAAAAUUGAGAAGAUUGUCAAGGAAGGUGAAGAGCACUUGGUUGUCAUGGUAAGGAACAACAGAGGAAUGUAAGUCAAAGUCGAGACAGGGAACACUUAGCCACACAUUCUCCCAUCUUUUGGACAAAACAGUUGUCUGCACCGAUUGAUUUGUCGGAAGGUAUGAGAGUAUUUGAGUAAGCAAAGAUUCCGGCAAUUCGCUGAUUCUAUCGACCCCAGACAUCACGAAACGAAACCCUAACAGCAUUAACAAACAACAUAUAAAUUUGUUAAAAAAAAAAAAAAAAAGCAAACAACAUAUAAAAGAGAGUUCUUUGAUGGAGUAUGGAUUCUCUAAUCAAUCACACAACGAAAGACCCGAUGUAGGUAGUAUAUGGGUUUCUGAAGAACUCACUGUGGAUUGGGUUUGAGUCGCCGGCGGCAGUGAUCGAAAGCUGACAACUUUUUGUCUGAAACCUAAACUGAUUGUUUAGAAUUUAUAUGUUCCUGUUCCUUGAGAGCGUUUCAAAAAUAAAGGCCGUCUUUAUUGUCUACUAAUAAGUAUGCCAUUGGAAAAAAUGAUUUGUAAAUAAUCGAGUAUUUUCAUUUUUCAGGAAAAUUGCAUAGUUUCAAUUGCCAAUAUUGUUUUUUAUAUUUGGGAGAUUUGAUAUGUAAACAAUCUUUCUAAAAGUCAGUUUUUGUUAACAGUUACAAAAGCAAAAUGAAAAGGAAAAUAUAAUAACAAAUGAUCGGUUUACAUAUUGCAUCCCUUAUAUAUUAAUUCAGAAACAUUACAACAUUAUUUUGUAGCUAUGUGUCACCAUAAGGAUGAGAUUCAGAAUUCUUAAGAAAAUAGGUUGGUCCAUCUUAACUUAUAUUAUAUUUUUUAUUAAACUAACUAUUAAAUUGAUAAAUAGUGUACAAAAUAAUAUUCUUGCACUUUCCUUGAAUAAAAGCUAUGAAAUUAUCUAAUAUGAUUAACGUAUAAAUGACAAUUAAUUAUUAUGAAUAAUAAAUAUUUGAUAACAAUUUUGGUAUCUUAGCUUUUUUUUGUUUAACUUUAUAUUAUUAAAAGAUAUUAAACAACCACAUUAACAAUAUAAUUAAAAAUUCAAUAUUUUCUUAUAUGUUAUAUUUUAAAUUUUUAAAACGACUAUAAAUUACUAAAAACGUUAAAUGUCUCGCACUAAAAUUUUGUGAUUAAUGGCUUAAAUUUUUUUGUAAUAACAAGAUACAAAUUAUCAUAAAUCGUAUGAAUAUAAAGUCUCAUUUACUAGACAUUCAUAUUAUAUACUAAUAUAGUUUAAAAUUAAACUAUAUAACAUAGAAAAUACUGAAAUAUGAUAAAAUUGAUAAAUAGUGUACAAAAGAAUAUUCUCGCACUUUAACUUAAAUAUAAUAAUUUCUAAAUUUAUAUUGAAAAAGUAUUGAAGCCUUAAUAUUUUAAUUUUGAAAUUUGCGUUAAAAUAAAUCGCCCAUUAGAAAUUUUGUGUUUAUUAUAUGAGUAUGAAUUCUUAAUAAUAAAUAUUUAUAUUAAAAUAUACUAUAUAUCUAUGUUUAUGUCAUUGAAAUUUAAUUAUAUACCAUAUAAAAUAAAUAAAAUGGUUGUUUUGAUUUAUUUACCAAAAAAAUAUCGUAAAUAAACAAGAUGUAGUGUUUUGAUUUAUGUGCUUACUAUAAUUUAGUUACUAGAGCUUGACCGUAUUUAGUUUUACCUUUUAUAAACAAAUAUUAAUAUAAAUUUUAAAACUUUAUAUAUAUCAAAUAAUUGGUUAAGAUGACAUUUCAAAAACAUAAUAAUUUUAUAGUUUAUAUUGAGUAAUUAUAUUUUAUUUUUGAGCUGUCGAUUUUAUCACUCAUUUUUAGAAUUUGACCCGAACAUCCACACAAAUGUAUUUUUAUUUUUCUACGGAUCAUAAUUUUAUACUCUUCAACACUUAUAUUGGGUUAUUUUGUAUAAAAGUAUGCAUAAAAUAAUAUAUGUACAUUUAAAUAUAUGUUUGUUAAUAUAUUAUAUAAAUGAUUAUUUUUAUAUGGUUUAUAGUUAUUACUAAUGAAUAAUGAAAAUUAUAACUAUAUAUCUUAAAAAAAAUAUUGUGUUCUAAAUUUAGUAAAUAAAUACUUAAAUUGAUUUAGGUGGCUUUAUAGUUUUCUUAUCAUUUUUAUUAAUUAACUAUUAAUAAUAUAGUAUUAAUAAAUCUACAUCGUUUAUACUUAUUCCAAUUAUAUAGGAAUAUCAAGGAUAAAAGAUGAUGAAUAAAUAAUUGUAUAUCAUUACUAAAUGGUAGAUGAUUUCACUUAUAGACAAUAUUUAUUAGCUAGCUAGAUUAUAGGAAGUGUUUUUGACCCUAAUUAAUUGAUUAGCUAGCGAGAUAGAUUUUUUAAAUUAUUGUUGAUUUUUUUAGUUAAAGGUCAAAUUAUGAAAUAUAUUAAUUAAACAUAACAGAUAUAGAAUCUUAAAAGGUAGGUUAAUUAAUAACUCUAGUAGCAUACCAUUCACUACAAGAAAACAUAUUUUUUACGAGGGCGGUAUUCGUUGUAAAUUCGUCGUAAUAGGGGCUUUACGACGAAUUAACAUCGAUACGCGUUUCGUUGUUAAACGCUCGUCGUAACAGAGGUUUCGUCGUAAAGUCCUAGUUACGUUUACGAGGAAGUCAAUUCCUCGUAAAGCGGAAGGAAACUAUUCGUCGUAAUGCCCUCGUAAACGACGAUGUAAAUACCUCGUAAUAGUUCGUUGUAAAAGCCACGUAAGGCUUCGACGUAAAGUCGAUGUAAAUUUUACGAGGACUUUACAACGACUUCAUGUAAAUUCCUCGUAAACGUUACGAGGACUUAACGUGGAAUUUUACAACGAAUUUACAUCUCCAUAUUUAAAAUAUUAAUUAAUUAUAAUAAUUAUAUAAAUUUUAUAAAACAAUAAUUUUAAAAUUUAAAAUAUUUGAAAUAAAAUUAAAUAUGAAACCAAAUAAUUUUUUUUUAAAACUAUAAAUUCAUUAAUUAAAUAGAAUUUAAAUUUUUUAUACAAAACAAAAGAAAUUAAAAAAGGAAACUAAAGGCCAACAUCAUGGUCAUCGAAGUAGUUGGCUGAGGGAUUCGGGUCUGUAGACGUUCCUGCUUCGGGAUCCGGCUGGCUCAUCCCGAGAGCUGCUCGUCUCUCCGCCAAAGCUCUCUGCAAAGUUGGAUUUCCCACCGCCAUCACAUCCAGCAAACCCUCGAGAGAGUCCAAACGCUGCUGCUGGGUAUCCAUGCGAGCCUGCAUCCGGUUGUUGUCCUGGUCCCGUCUCGAAUAGUAUGACGCAGUCGCCCUUGCAACUUCGUUAACGGAACCUAUUCCAACCGUCCCUCCCUUCUUUCUAGGAGCCACCUAUAUGUAUAUAUAUAAAACCGUAUUUAGAGUUAAUAAUAAAAUAAAGAAAAAAAAUUAAAAUUAUUAAAUUUUACCUCCUCGAAGAUCCGGUCGACCUCUACGGUUGACAACUUGACGGGUAAUCCAUCUGCAGACUGUUGGGUAAGUUGCGUCUCUUGCUCUUCAACCCGAGACGCCACAGCGUUGAAGAGUUUCUCGGAUGCAGGAUCCACAAAAACCCCAUCUGGUGAGGCGUGAGUCAUCUUGAAUAAGUCCGAGAGAGAUGGCAAAACUCCCGCCUUCUCCAACUAAUAAACAACAAUAAUAAAUAAAUUAAAUAUAAUUAAUAAAUACAAGUUUAAAAUAAUGAAAAUUAUAAAUUUAAAUAAAACGUACAGCUUCGAGACGAAUUCCGGCAUGGGGUUUUUGGCCGGAUCUAUGAACCAUGGGCAAAUGGCCAUCUUUAUCCCUCGUUCUUCGGGAAGCGGAGCAGGAGUUGGCUUUGCGGAUGGAGCUGGGUUCGUUCCAAUAGGUGAUGAGGCCAUCCCAUGCUUCCUUUGUGACCCCGCUCGGCUUCCCCUCAUAGCCGUAAAUCUCCCACUUGUCCUUCCAAUCGGAGACGGUGUUGCAAAGACGAGUUUUCGCCUUUGCAAUAAAUUCGCUCUUCACCCUCUCGGUGAUUCCUACGGACCAGUUCCACCUUUGCUGAAAAAACAAACAUUUUAAAAGAUUAGAAAAAAAAUAAUAAUUAUUUAAUUAACAAUAUAAAUAUUAAUAAUAUGUAAAUAUAAUUACCGCAAAACAUUUAAACCACGUCGUCUUGACGUGAUCGGGAGUCAUGGUCCAGUUGGGAUAAAGGCCGUCAUAAUAUCCCUUCAUCGUCUCUGAAACGCUCCGGCUAACACGGUUGUUAGCCCCAAACCUGCAAAUAUAACAAAUUUGUUAAAAAAAUUGAUCAAAGAUUUUAAAUUUUAAAUUAAUAAUUUUAUGUACUUACCAAUAAGUACCCGGGGGUCUAUCGGGGUCCAGAACGUGUAAACCCUCUCGUCCGGGCUGGGCAAGCAAAUCCUCGACGGUGUAUCUUGCGAAUGGUGCAUGAGCUGGCACCCGCAAAUCGGGAUGAACUGCAGCUGGUGGGGCAGGCUGAUCCGGGGCGACAGGUGGAGCUCGUGGGGGAGGCAUCUGAGAUGGAAGAGGAGGAGGGGUCGAAGGAACUCUCCGAGAUGUGUGAGAGUCUGGAACUGUCCCGGAAGAAGACGAUGGACCGCUAGAGGAAGAUCCAUCGCCAAACAAAUCUGCAUACGUAGGUGCAGGAGCUGCUGGUCUCGGUCUAGGAGCCAUCUAGAAAAUUUAAAAAAAUUAAAUUAAUAUAUAUCCUAAACGAAUUGGUUAAAAUAAUUUUCUAAACUAAUCAUCUAAACUAAUUCCGUUAACUAAUCACCUAAACUAAUUCCCUAAACUAAUCACCUAAACUAACAACCUAAACUAUAAAAAAAAAAAAAGGAUAGAGAGAGAAAGUUACCUUAGAGGGGGAGAGGAGUUAGGGAGGAAGAUACGAGCAGUGCUCGUAUCUUCGACUUCUCCCAUAUAUAUAAAAACGGUUUCCUCGUAACUUCCUCGUAACAUUACGACGAAGUUACCAGGCCCGUGUUUUUCCAUUUACGACGAAGUUACCAGGCCCGUGUUUUUCGAUUUACGACGAAAUUACGUCGAAACAUUGGUUUACGACGAAUUUACAAGGCCCACGUUUACGACGAAGUUACCAGGCCCGCGUUUUUCCAUUUACGACGAAAUUACGUCGAAAAAUCGUUUUACGACGAUUUUACAACGCUUAACCCUAAACACCGAGAAUGAAAUCCCUAAACCCCAAAGUCACAUAUCAUCUAACAUCAUAUCUCUUCUUCUCUACUACUUUGUGCUCUUUCUCCAACUUAAACUCUAAAACCCUAAAACUCCAAAUAAGUUUUUUAAAAUUAACACAAAUACAUAUUAUAUAAAACAACAUUUGUUACACAUACAUUAGGAUGGUAAAAAAACAAUAUUUCUUUAAACAUACGUUACAAUAGAGAAAUACAACAUCAGAGACAUAUAUUACAUCACUCUAAAUCGUUUUCGUUCUCAUCACUAUCAUUACAAUCAUCAUCGUCGCUUCUCUCGAACAGGUCUUCACGUGCUUCAUCUGUCGCAUCUUCGGGAAUAUCUUCAUAUUGAAAGUUUUGCGGGUCGAUCAAAAGGAUUUCAUCAGUUGGUUGUUCUGGUACCUCAACUUCAUUGAUAGCGCCUUCUUCUUGCAAGGGCGGUUCUUCUCCAGCGACAAUGCGUCCACGAGGUGUAAUUUGCAUCACUAAUCAUAUCUUGAACCCUAUCAUGAUCUACCAUCUGCUCAUGAUCUUGAUGAUAAUUAUAUCCAUUAUGCAAAUGAUUCGGUUCUUCACUAUGAUGACCAUCCUCAAAAUUAUUAUUACUACUACUAGCUUCAUUUCCCCCAUAACCCUCUCCAUGUUGAUACCAAAUGUAGUAUUGUGGUGUAAAUCCUCUGUUUACUAAAUGCUUCCAUACAGUUUCACUACGUGCAAAUUUUGAAUUCUUGCAUUUCCGACAGGGGCAGAACAUCUUACCGCUUUCCUGUGUGAUCGGUGUACAGCCCGCCUGGUGCAUGAAUGUCUCUAGCCCGCUCAGAAAUGCGUUUGUCACCCUCCCGUCAGAAUCUUUGUGCAAAUACAUCCAACUCCGUAACUCGUAAAUACUACCGCCACCGGCCAUUUUUUCUUAGAUUUUUUUUUCAAAUUUUUUUUUCUGAUUUUCUUUCUGAUUUUUUUUCUCCCGUUUGUGUGUUGUGAGGAAGAGAGUUGUGGGAAAUGACAUAUAUAUAGAGAAAUUUUCGAGUUGGGUAGUUGAAAAAUAACAACGAUUUUACAAGGAAUAUUUUACAUGGAUUUUACAUGGUUUUAACAUAUUAUUUACAACGAAUUUACGACGAAAUUAGGUAAGUUAAAGCACAUUGAAUACACGUUUUCACCUAAAUAUAACGGUAACAUGAUUCGUUGUAAUGUCGAUGUAAAGUUUACUUUUCGACGUACUUGCGUCGUAAUAUUACAUGGCGUUUACGACGAAAUUUGGUUUCGUUGGUUUCGUCGUAAUUGCGUUGUUAAGCCACCAGUUGCUAUUUCUAAGACGACGAUAAGGAACCUGUGUCGUUCGUCUAUCUGCCAAUUCAGUGGAAUGACAAGGAGAAAGUGGACGGAAGUGCAGCUGGUUUGUACUUGAGAGGAACCUUUGACGAUGGUUGGAGGUUCCUUUCAAGUAUAAACCAACUGCACUUCCGUCCACUUCUCCUUGUCGCUCCACUGAAUUGGCAGACAGACGAAUGACUCAUGUUCCUUAUCGUCAUCUUCGAAAUAGUAAUUGGUGGCUGAAUGAGGAACAUAGUCUAAACGCCAUCAGGUUCGAGAGGAAGAGAGUUGUGUGUUGUGAAGAAGAGAGUUGUGGGAAAUGACAUAUAUAUAUAUAGAGAAAUAUAACAAUGAUUUUACAAGAAAAGUUUUACAUGGAUUUUACAUUGAACAUUUACAACGACUUUACAACGAAUUUAGGUAAGUUAAAGCACAUUGAAUGCACGUUUUCACCUUUAUAUAACGGUAACAUGAUUCGUUGUAAUGUCGAUGUAACGUUUACAACUAUUUCGCAUUCCACGUACUUUCGUCGUAAACUUACAUUGACUUUACGACGAAAUCCUUUCGUCGUAAAUUACCAUGGAGUUUACGACGAAAUAAUGUCUCGUCGUAAUUGCGUUGUAAAGCCCAUGUAAAGUUACGAGGAAAUAAUUUCGUCGUAAACCGCCGUUGUUACUGCUACGUUUUCUUGUAGUGAUUGUAAAUAAGUUGGAAAACUUAAGAAUAUUUUAUAUUUGUACUCUUCUUUUAAUAGAGUAGAUAUACAUAAUACAUAAAUGAAUACAAAUAAAUAAUAAUAUAUAAAAAUUAUUUACAAUAUAACAUUUAACAUUUUAAUUCAAAAAAAAAAAAAUAUAACAUUUAUCGUCCGCAAUUCUUAAGCUAGUUUAAUAAUAAGGAAGCUGCACUAUACAAGCUACAUCCCUUUGUACAUGAGAAAACCAAUUACAAUGGACGAUUAUUCACGUCGUUGAUAGAGGUCGACGAGCUACAAACGUCCUCCACUACACGAAACAGAUAUUUUAGUAUCUGUGUACGUUUGAAGUGGUUCAGAGAUUCUAUGUUCAUGAUGCAUUUCAAAAAAAAAUGUAUUUUAUAUUUUAUACUACAGUUUGCACUACAAUUUUGGACUUUUUGGUUAUAAAAAAAAAGUAAAAGAAAUUUAGAUCCAUUCAUCUAUUACCCAAAUCCAUUAGUAUUUAUUACAUAUAUCAUUUUUAAUCGAAUUUUUUGGAUUCCUUUAGAAACUUUUACACAACAUGGACUCACGGAUGACACGAGUCCUGCAGCUUUUAGUAUGUAAACGUAUAAUGGUGAAAAAUGUGACGAUUCCGUCAACUUAGCUAAAAACUAGACGUUACAACAAUUACCACCCAUCCAUGUUAAUCUAAAAGGCAUUAUAAAUUCCAAUGAGGCAUAGCGUAGUUUCCACUACAUUCAAAAUAUUAUAUCUAUAAAAUUUAUCAAAGAAAUUAAGAAGCGUUAAUUUGGAGAUGAAGCAAGUCUCUUCCAAGCUUGUAUUGAUGAUUUCUCUUAUUGUCAGUGUCUUCCGUAAGUAAACUAAGUAUAUGUCAACUAUAGUUUCAUCCUUUUGAGCAAAAGCAUAUGUCAACUAUAGUUUAAUACUGUCUUCCAAGAAUAUUUCUAAAGUUUUUAUUUCGAUGGACUUUCCAUGGUCUCAACCGCCAAUAACCUGUUUUUAUUAGUGGAGCACUCAGUUGUUAAGAAGUUUGACAAUAAUUAGACUAACUAAUUAAUGAUUAAAUGCAGUCAGUGAAUGAAAGUAGUGACUCAGUUUAGUUGGAAAGUUUUGUGUCCAUUGACCGCAUUUAGUUAUUGUACAUCCGUUUUUUUGACCUUAACGAUUGUAGACCAAAACGUUCAACCUAUAUAUUAAUAACCUUACCAAAAAUCACUGCUUCAAAUACAUUAUAAAAAGCUAGGAAGAAUUGAUUAGCUUCACAACUGAUAAACACAAAAACUUCUACCCAAAAAUGAAGAAAGUGUUCCCUAACAUUGUUCUAUUGUCUUUUCUUCUCGGUGUUGCCUUCCGUAAGUAUACUACUUAUCAUUCAUUUCAUAAUAUGAUACACGCAAUCGUAUAUAUGUUUAUACAUGAAUAUAUAAUUAGAAUAUACAUAAAUGAUUACUCCUGUCAUUAUACUAUUCAGAUAUUAAUGCUUGAUUUUCCUCUCUUCAUGGAAUUUCAAGUUUGGCUAUUCUGUUACGUACAUUGAUGAUUUUUUAUUUCCAAUUAUUUCAUUCAGUUUUGAAAAAAAGAAGUUUUAGAGGCGUAUUAAGGUUUAUGUGAGAAUUAUAGUUUCCGUACAAAAAAAUGUUAGAAGUAAAAGUAUAUAUUAUUGACGUGAACCUUUUGCAAGAUGAAAAAGGUUUUAUUUUGAAUGGAUAAAUAAUUUUCAUUAAAUAAAAUAAACUAAAACUUAAGAUUUCAUUAAAUAAUAAUAUGUCAUUAAUAUAAUUUUUGAUUCUUUAAAAAUCAUAAAAUAAAUGAUAUAUCUAACAAGAUCCAUUAUGGAUGAAUUAAAAUUGUAUAGUAAUAUCAAUUUAAAUUGAUGCUAUUUAAGAUUAAUAAAUAAUAGUAUAUUAACUUUCAAUUAAUAGAAAGUAUCAAGUAAUAGAAAAAAUCUUAAAGAUUUUGAUUUUUUUUAAAAAAAUAUUUGUAACUAUUGAUUUCUCCCAUAUAUGUAUACUUAUCAAAUACCAUAACAUAUUAUAUUUAUUUUCUUUUGAUUGUAUAAAAGUUAUUGCAUUAUUAAUAUUUUAUUAUAAUAAUUAAUAGUUUGAUCAUUUAUGAAUAAAUAUGUUCAACCCGUAAAUUAAUGACAUUUAGAAUAUAAUUUAAUACCAUUGAGAUAUUCUAAUAUAUCAAAUUACACUAAUAACAUUGAAUUACUAAAAGAAAAUUAAUAUUACAAUAUAUAAUACUAUUAUAAUAUUGGUAAGAUAUUUAGUGAGUAUUUUCAUCAUCUAAACUCCAUUAUAAAAGCUAGCUAUGAAGAAAACAUUAGCUUCACAAUUGAGAACACAAAAACGUCUACCCCAAAAAUGAAGAAAAUGUUCCUUAGCUUUGUUCUAUUGUCUUUUCUUAUUGGUGUUACCUUCCGUAAGUAUACUCCUUAUCGUUCAAGUAUACUCCUUAUCGUUCAUUUCACAAUAUGAUACAUGCAAUCGUAUGUAUGUUUAUACACGAAUAUAUAAUUAGAAUUUUCAUAAAUAAUUAUUAAUUUAUGCUAAUCUAUGUUCUAGAGGCGUGUAAGGUUUAUGUCAUGUGGAAAUUAUAGUUUUCGUAUGAAAGAAAAGUUGGUAGUGAAAGUAGAGAGACUUUUAUUAUUAAUACUUAUUUUUACUAAUUUUUUUAAGUUCCAUUUUCCUUCUCAAACUAGAUUUGACCCAAAACGUGCAAACUAGUGGUAUAAACUAAACUUUAUAAAUCAUUUCGUUUUUUUGACAAAACAACCAACCAUGUUUGGACUAACACAUUAUUCGUAUUCAUGUUAAACUAAACUUUAUAAAUCAUUUCGUUUUGUUGACAAAACAACCAACCAUGUUUGGACUAACACAUUAUUCGUAUGCAUGACAAGAUCUUGCAAAUGGAGCCGACGUGAAUCAUCAAGGGCAAUGUGAUUCAGACCUUGAGUGUUAUACCAUGCGUAGUUGUCAGAGAGGUCCAGGAUAUUGCGAUCAGAAAGACGGAAAGUGCAAGUGUCCAAAAUUACAAUCCGUGGAUACAAAUGGGGCGGACGUGAAUCAUCAAGGGCAAUGUGACUCAGAUCUUAAGUGUUACACCAUGCGUAGUUGUCAGAGAGGUCCAGGAUAUUGCGAUCAGAAAGACGGAAAGUGUAAGUGUCCUAAAUUACAAGUUGUGGAUACAAAUGGAGCGGGCGUGAAUCAUCAAGGGCAAUGUGACUCAGACCUUGAAUGUUAUACCAUGCGUAGUUGUCAGAGAGGUCCAGGAUAUUGCGAUCAGAAAGACGGAAAGUGUAAGUGUCCUAAAUAGAGAAACAAAUAAACAUGACAAGAACACAUAUGAGUCUUAUGUACCCGACUUAAACAUGGGCAAUUUGUAUCAAACUGCCCAAGUAUAAAAUAUGUAUCCCAAAAAUAAAUAAAUAUAUUAUUAAAAGACUAUUCAUGACUGUUAUCUUUCGAAUCAUUUUUAUAGUAUUUACUUUUAUUGCAAUUCUUGUUAUACCAAUACAUUCCCUGGACAUAAUGGUCACACACGAUUUUACUUUAACACUAAAGUAUUGUGUUUUGUGACUUGGGUAUCUAUUCUAUUAAAAAAGAAUCACUCUGAAAAAAUCUACUUAUACAAGGUUGUUUGGACUAUUUCCUAAGAGUUAAUAAUUUCAUGGUCCUAAUUAAAUUUCUCCUAACAAUAUAUUUUCAUAAAUUUCUCUGAUUUUCUUUAGAUAUUAUAAGUGUGUCACUCCUAUAUUUAUGGUAACUACUAUAUUACCUUCUAUAAAUCUCACCCCUUGAUUAUAAAUUUCUCCAUUUAGUUAUUGAUAUCCCAUAUACGAUUUACUAACCAACAUUUUUUUUGAUGCAAUAAUAUAUAAACUCGUGGGUCCAUAGACUAAUCUAUUAUGUAUGUGACCAUAUAUAUAUUAUAUAAUGUUUAUUUUAAUUCUUAAAUUCAUAUCUCUAUAAAACGAAUGGUAUGGUGCAUAUCACCAUUAAAUAGUACAUGCCAUUUGAAUUAAAAUAGUCUGGUAAGUAAUACAUGUAUUUUUUUUAAAAUGAGUUAAUGAAUUAUGAUAAAUAAUUAUCACAAAAUCAUGUUUUACUAUAGAACCGAUCAAACUUAGUAGUAUAUUAUAUUAUUUUCAGUUCAUAAAAAACGAUAUUAACAUAUAAGUACUGAACAAAUUUGAAAAAAUGCAUAUGAAGUUAGUUAAAAAUUAUCCUCGGGCCAACUUAUUUAAUUGAGUUUUUACUAUAAUUCAGAUACAACCACUUAAACUAUAUUAUGGAAAAUUAAAAAAUACAAAUAAUUUAGAAAAUAUUGCUCCAUAUUCUCUCUUUUUUUUAUAAAAAAAUAAGUUGACUUGAUUUUUACUUAUGAAGCACAAUUACUAAAAUCCAAAAUAAUGAUUAGUAUUUUUUUUUGGGCAACAAAUAAUGUUUAGUAUAAAAGAUGCUUAAAUACAAGUCCACUUCUGUAAUUCAGUUUAAAUAACAAAAUAAAUUUACAAAUAUAAUUAGGUCCAGAAUUAAUAUUUAUAUUAUUUAAGUUUCAAGCUUGCAGGUUUCCGCGGGUUAUUCAAUCAUAUAUUAUAUACUAAACACAUUGAGAUUGGUAUAAACUCUUCACUAAAUUUGGAAUACCUAAGUUAAACAAGAUUUUUCUCUUUUGAAAAGGUAUUAACCCUGUGUUUCAAAGCUUGAUUCAAAAGUUUGAAUUGAGUUUAGAAAAAACAUCAUCCAAUUUAUAUGAGAUUUUAUCGGUUCAACUAAUAUUGGAUAGCGGGUUAAUGAUAGUUUUUAUGAUUUUACCGAUUUUUAUCAGAUUUUUAUAUAUAAGAUUUUAAUAAAAUUCAGACCAGAUUUAUAUGAAUCACCUGAUUUACUUCUGAGACUGUAGGUUUGAUUCGGGUAUGAAAACACUGCUAAAACUAUUAAAAGUUCUACAAUAUAUAUACUAUUAGAUUAGCCCAAAAUCUACCAAAUAAAUUUUUUGUCUCAUCAACUCAACAAAUAUAACUCUUACAAAAUACACACAAAAUGCAACGAUGACGUUGUAACAUAAGAAUACACAUAUAAAAUCUAAAAUAAACUAUUUGAUAAAUUAUAUAAUUUUAAACUAAAAUUCUUUUACUUUUUCUAUAUAAUAACACUUUAUAACUUAAUAAUAUACUUCAAAACAUCAAAACCAAAAUAAUAAUUCAUAUCAAACAAUAUUCUUAAUCGGAAAAAAAACCCGCGCUUUUGAAGCGCGGAUCAAAAUCUAGUACUAAUUAAAUGUAAACAAUCUAAAGACAUUCAAUACCGUAACCAAUUUUCCAUUUAAACUAUCAAAAAUUCUAAAUUCUAAAUUCUAAAUCAUUAAACCCAAUUCAAACGCAAGAGAAUGUAAGAUCAUCAUUUAUAUAAGAGAUAUCCAAGAAACUGGGAUUGGGAUGGGACUCUCAAAAGAGAAAAAAAGGAAAACAAGAUUCGCAAGUCAUGAAGAACUUGUAUCAGCACCAAUGGUCAAAAGGAAUCCAACCAGAACUAAGAAGAAGACUCAUCAAAUGAUAACGACCUCCUUCAUGGCUCGAAUGAUAAUUUCACAUCCUGUAGAACGUUUUGUGAGUUUAUUAACCUUCUCCCAUGUUUCUGAUUCCAGAACAUCUCGAGGAUCAUAAGUUGUGGGGCUCAGAAUGAGUUUCUUUAGCACUGCUGAAUUUCCAAGAAAGUAACUUGUUGCUUUCAUCUUCCCUUCCUCCAAUUCAAGUUUUUCUUGUAUCUCAACACACUCAAGAGUCGAUGACACACACCGUGGCACAUCUGUGAGUUCCAAUCCCUCCCCCAUCUCCUCUGAGUGAACAACCUUCUUCAAACACAAAAAAGGCUAAGUUUUCAAUAAUACACAUCCAUAAAACAUAAAGAAAAAAUGGCUUUACCAAGACUAGGUGUUUCAGAUUGGGGAAACACUCAAGAAAGGCUGGCAAAAACUGCAAUAAAUUGCUAUGGAACAUUGCUUGUAAACGGGACAAGUUGUUGAACUUGGGAAUCAUUUCUGCUUGUGAGUAAUACUCAAGGGCCUGCAACACGAAUAUAUUUAAUAUAGAAGUGAAAGGUAUUAAAUAAGUCCAUGAAUAUAUAAAUAUGCACCUUAACUGUUUUGGCAGAGAUGAUCAUAUGCCUAACACUCGAUAUCCCAUUGAGAAAAUCACGGAUCUCAUUGCUCUUUGCUAAGUUCCAGGGAUUAAAGAUCACGCCAAACUUGACAAAAAACUUGAUAUCAAGCUCAACCACCAACAAAGAAGUCAGGUUCUUUACCACAAUGCUAUCAAAUUGAUCCUCUCCGAGACUCAUAUGCUUUAGCCCAGGAGCAUCAAUCUCAAGCGUGCAAUUCACUCUCGACCUGCAAUCCCUAACCUGCCUAAGCGGCAGCACACGGAACCUCUUCAAACUCUGAGACCUCACACGCAUAACCGUAAAUUCAUCAUAGGCAACUGCAUAAUCAUCAUCCAGAUCUCUCAACAAGGCCAGCUCCUCGAGAACAGGACACCCUGAGAGAAGCUUCUCCAGAUGCACACGCCAUUUAACCUCUUCAAGAUGCAUGAAUUUAAGACAAGGCAUGAAAACAAAACCAGGAUCAUCAAGACCAGAAGACGUGAGCUUCAAGUAAACCAAUGUCUUGCUCGUGUAGAGAUUCAUAGGCAUGAAGUCGACACAAGGAUGGUGAAAAGAGUCGUCCUCUAUAUCAUAGGUACUACUCUCAACAUCGAGAUGCUGCGUCCCCCGGUCAAUCAUUAUACCGAUCCGAUCCCUGAACCCGUCUAUCAUCGUGUCUCUGCACUUAACCUUGACUUUAAACAGCUUUGACUCAGGGCUAGACUCGAGAAGCUUGUCAAUGAAGCUUAAGAAGCUUAAGAGCAUUUCAUCAGCAUCAUAAGGAAUGGCAGAUAAGUUUAAGUCAAGACCGGGAACGUUUAGAUACAGAUUCUUCCAUCUUGUUGACAAAACACUUGUCUGCACCGAUUGUUUUGUCGGAAGGAAAGAGAGUAUUUGAGUAAGCAAUGAUUCCGGCAAUUCGCUAAUCCUAUCGAUCCCAGACAUCACCUUAAGAGCAUCAAAAAACAACAUAUAAAAAAGAGAUCUUGAUCGAAUCCUAGGCGUUGAAGAGUUUCUCUAAUCAAUCACAAUACAAAUGAAAAGAAAGACUCGAUGGGGGUUUCUGAGGAACUCACCGUGGAUUGGGUUUGAGUCGCCGGCGGAUUCUAUCGGCGGGAGUGAUCGAAAGCGAGAGAGAAAAGUGAUAACUUUUCUUUGUCUGAAGACGGAACUGUCGAACUGAUUGUUCAGAAUUUAUACGGAACUGAUUGUUCCGGUUCCAUGAGAGCGUUUUAAAAAAUGAAGGCUGUCUUUAUUGUCUAUAUAUUAUAUAUAUUUCUUUUAUUUUUUUGACAAAAAAAAAAACAAUAUUUAUUUUAUUCGUUAUAUUUUCAUGUUGAAUGUCAUUGUAAAAUUCAUGGAAAUCGAUUGUAAUAGUAGAGUAUUUUCAGGAAAAUUGCAUAUUUUCCAUUAUCAGCAUUAAUUUUUAUAUUUAGGAGAUUUUAUAUCUAACCAAUCUUCCCAAAAAUCAAUUUUUGUGGCUAAUUAGAAAAGCAAAUGAAAAAGAAAUAUAAUAACAAGGGAUCUGUUUACAAAUUGCAUUUAAUAAAUCAUAAAUACUAAUAUUUUUAAGAAUGAAUAUUCGAUCUGAUCCGGUAUAUGUAUAUAUACAUAUAUUCAAAGAAUUAUAUAUUUAUAUAAUAUAAUUAUUAUAUUUUAUGUAAUUUUACAAUUUUUAUUUAUUAAAUUGAUUAUUUUAGCUAUUAGAGUGUUAAAAAUAUAUAAAUGUUUAUUUUUAAUAGUGAUUUAAACAUUGUAAUAAGGUUUUAUUAUUUUAAAAUUUUAUUUGUUUCUGUUGUUUUUAAAUUUUUAUUUCUUAUACACGAAUCGAAUCAUAUAUCUAAUUAAAAUAUAUUUUUUAUGGACAUUCGAGCACAGAAAAUUCGGGAUAAAUGUGAAUCAAAUCGAAUUGUAUAAUUAAUUUAUUCGGACAGAUCAGAUCACAAAAUCCUUUAAAACUCUUAAUAUUCGAUUCAUGUCCACUCCUACCUGGUAGCUAGACAACUCCUAUGAUGAAGCAUUCUUUUCAGCUGACAUGUUCCGGCUGCAGCAGCAGCCAUACCUGAAUCGUGAAUUAACCUAACCACAUUCAGGAAUGACAGAACCAAACUCAAAAAAAAAAAAAUUGCCAUCUCAAUAUAAAGAGUAAAAGACUUCUCAAUGUAGAAAACACAUUUUCUCUCGACUUCUUCUUUCUUUCACUCUGUUUUUUCUCUACAAUAGCAUGUUUAACUUGUAGUAUUUUAUACCAUUUUCAGGAAUUUAUAUUUUAUAGUUCAUAUAAAGUAUUUUCUUAUCGAUAAAUGAUUCAGAUGAAAAGAAUUAAAAUCGAGAAAAUUUGAUAUUUAAAAGUAUAAAACAUGUAAAACCAAAUUUAAGAGAGUGCAAUAUCAUCAUUAUCAAAACAUCCAAGAAACUGAGAUUGGGACUUUUGGAAGAAAAAAAGAAGAAGAUUCGCAGUCAUACUGACGAUGGUCAAUGGAAUCCAACCAGAACUAAGAAGAAGACUCAUCAAGUGAUAACAACCUCCUCCUUCAUGGCUCGAAUGAUAAUUUCACAUCCUGUGGAACGUUUUGUCAGUUUAUUAACCUUCUCCCAUAUUUCUGAUUCCGCAACAUUUCGAGGAUCAUAAGCUGUUGGGCUCAGGAUGAGUUUCUUCAGCACUGCCGAGUUUCCAAGAAAGUAACUGGUUGCUUUCAUCUUCCCUUCUUCCAAUUCAAGUUUCUCUUGUAUCUCAACACACUCAAGACUCGAUGAGACACACUGUGGCACAUCUGCGAGUUCCAAUCCCUCAUCCAUCUCCUCUGAAUGAACAACCUUCUGCAACCAACACAAAACAAAAAAAAAAGAGCUGGGUUUUCAAAAAACACACAUCCAUAAAAAAAAAACAUAAGGACAAGAGUAAUGGUUUUACCAAGAUUAGGUGUUUCAGAUUGGGGCAACACUCAAGAAAGGCUGGCAGAAACUGCAAUAACUUGCCAUGGAACACUGCUUCUAAACGGGACAAGUUGUUGAACUUGGGGAUAAUUCCUGCUUUUGAGUAAUGUUCAAAGGCAUGCACUGUCAUCCCAGAGAUGAUCAUAUGUCCAACACUCGAUAUCCCAUCGAGAAACUCGCGGAUCUCAUUGCUCUUUGAUACGUCCAAAGUAUUAAAAAGCACGCCAACCUUGACAAAGAACUUGAUAUCAAGCUCAACCACCAACAAAGAAGACAGGUUCUUUACCACAAUGCUAUCAAACUGAUCAUCUCCGAGACUCAUAUGCUCUAGCCCCGGAGCAUCAAUCUCAAGUGUGCAUUCCACUCUGGAAUGGUAAUCCCUUACCUGCCUAAGCGGCAGCACACUAAACCUCUUCAAGCUCUGAGACCUCACACGCAUAACCCUAAAUUCUUCAUCGGUACGUGCAUAGUCAUCAUCAUCCAAAUCCCUCACCAAAGUCAGCUCCUCAAGAACAGGACACCCUGAGAGGACUUUCUCCAGAUGCACACGCCAUUUAAUUUCUUCAAGAUGCAAGAACCUAAGACAAGGCAUGAAAACAAAACCAGGAUCACCAAGACCAGAAGAGGAGAGCUUCAAGUAAACCAAUGCCUUGCUCGUGUAGAGAUUCAUAGGCAUGAAGUCUACACCAGGUAAGGCAUGACCAAAAGAGUCCUCGUAAUAAUCUGUACUGCUCACAACAUCAAGAUGCUGUGUCCCGCGGUCAAUCACUGUACCGAUCCGGUCGCUGAACCCGUCUAUCAACAUGCCCCUGCACUGAACCUUGACUUUAAACAGACUUGACUCAGGGCUAAACUCGAGAAGCUUGUCAAUGAAGCUUAAGAAGCUUAAGAUCACUUCGUCGCGAAUAACAGAGCAGUUUAAGUCAAGACCGGGAACGCUUAGAUACACAUUCUCCCAUCUUUUAGACAAAACACUUGUCUGCACCGAUUGUUCUGUCGGAAGGUAUGAGAGUAUUUGAGUUAACAAUGAUUCCGGCAACUCGCUGAUCCUAUCUCGCCCAGACAUCACGAAACGAAACCCUAACAGCAUCGACAAACAACAAACAGCAUUACAAAAAAAAAAAAAGAGAGAUCUUUGAUCGAACCCUAGGCGUUGAAGAGUUUCUCUAAUCAAUCAUAAGACUUGAGACUACAAAUGAAACGAAAAGAUUCGAAGGGUUUCUGAGGAACUCACCGUGGAUUGGAUUUGAGUCGCCGGAGGAUUAUAUUGGCCGGAGUGAUCGAAAGUGAGAGAGAAAAGUGGCAAAACAAGCGGUUACGGUUCCAUCUUCAAAAGAUCGUUUCGAAACUAAAGGCUUGUCUUUAUUGGAGUAUUGAAUAUUUCUUUUAGUAAAAUAUUCUUUUUAUUAUUGCCAUUGGAAAAUUCAUGAAAAUCGGUUGUAGUAAUCGAGUAUUUUCAGGAAAAUUGCAUAUUCUCCGUUAUAAAUGUUGUUAUUUUUUUUUUUUUUUUUUGUAUUUUGUGAGAUUUGAUAUCUAAACAACCUUUCCAAAAUUCAGUUUUGGUUGUCAAUUAGAAAAGGAAAUGAAAAAGGAAAAUAUAAUAACAAAGGAUCGGUUUACAAUUAUUGUAUUUUUGCUUCUACAAUUUUGGAUUUUUGGGUUAUAAAAAAAUUAAAAGAGAUUCAGAUCCAUUCAUUCAUCACCCAAAUACAUUAGUAUAGUUUAACUUUUUAGAUUCCUUCCGCAGCUUUUACUCACAACAACCAGGACUCACACAUGACACGAGCCCUCCAACUGUUUUAUUACGUAAACUUAUAGCUCGGCCAGUAGUGAUGAACAGGUUGAGGAAUCCGUUAACGUAGCUAACAAGUAGAUGUUUCAAACAAUUACCACCAUCCAUGUUAACAUUUUUUUUUUUUUGAUAAUCCAGGUAUCUAGACUUCUCACUUAGUCCGACUAGGUGAACAUCUAGGUUUACCAACCAAUAGGAUUAUGUUAUUUCAUAUUUGGUAUCUUUUAAAAAAGGAAACAAAAUAUUGUCAAAUUAUUUUAUCUUUUUAAAAUUAAAAGGUAAAAAAAAAAAAAUAGAAAAUAGUAGUAAUCACAAAAAAAAAAAUUUUAACGUCGUCAGCAAAACAUUAAACCCUAAAUCCUAAACCCUAAACCCUAAAUUCUAAACCCUAAACCAUUGGGUAAACUCUAGGAUAAAUCUUAAACUCUAGGAUAAAUUUUAAACUCUAAAUCAAAAUCACUAAACAUUAAAACACUGAAGGGUUUAGGGUUUAGGGUUUAGAGUUUAGAGUUUUAGGGUUUAGUGUUUUUAUUUAGAGUUUAGGAUUUAUCCAAGGGUUUAGGGUUUAACCAAGGGUUUAGAGUUUGCCCAAGGGUUUAUGGUUUACCCAAGGGUUUAGGUUUACCCAAGGGUUUAGGGUUUAGGGAUUAGGAUUUAGGGUUUAGUGUUUUGCUGACGAUGCUAAAUUUUUUUUUUAAUUCUUUUUUUCUGUAACUGCUAUUUUUUUUUUACUUUUUUAUUUUAAAAACAUAAUAUAACUUGAUAAUAUUUUGUUUCUUUUUUUAAAAGAUAUCGAAUUUGAAAUAAAGAAGUCCUAUUGGCCGGUGGACCUCUAGGUUCACCCUAGGGGGUGAACCCAAGAAUAACUCGUCCGACUAUCCCACCGCGUCCAACCGGAACUGGCGAGGAAGGUCCUGGAGGCCAAACGGAAACCAUGUUAAAUCCGCUGUUGUCGGGGCUCGAACUCGUGAUGGCGGGCACCUAAACCGAGGUUCCUUUACCACCGGCCAGACCACGAGGCCCGGUUUUGCAUUUCAUAGUUUCCACUACAUUCAAAAUCUUACAACCGUAAAAUUGAUCAAGAAUCGUUAUCGUGGAGAAUGAAACAAUUCUUUCAAGCAUGUGUUGCUCGUUUCUCUUCUUGUCACUAUUUUCCGUAAGUAAACCAAGUAUAUGUCAACCAUAGUUUAAUACUGUUUUCCAAGAAUCUUUCAAAAGUUUUAUUUUGGAUGGACUUUGCAUAUUUUCGACCGUCAAUAACCUGUUUUUUUUGGUGGAGCACUCGGUUAUUGAGAAGUUUCACAACAAUUAGACUAACUAAUUAAUGAGAAGUUGAGAACAUUCCCAAUGAUAAAAAUGCAGUCAGUGAAUGAAAGUAUUGACUCAGUUUAGUUGGAAAGUUUCGUGUCCAUUGACUGCAUUUAGUUAUUGUACAUCCGUUUUUAUUUUGACCUUGACGAUGGUAGACCAAAAAUUUCAACCUAAUUAUUAAUAAGCUUACCAAAAAUCACUACUUGAAAUACAUUAUAAAAAGCUAGGAAGAAUAGAUUAGUUUAACAAUAGAAAAACACAAAAAAAAAAGCUACCCAAAAAUGAAGAGAGUUUUCCUUAACUUUGUCCUAUUGUCUUUUCUUCUUGGUGUUGCCUUCGGUAAGUAUAACUUAUCGUUCAUUUUCUAAUUUGAUACAUGAAAUAGUACAUAUGAAUGCACGAAUUUAUAACUAGAAUAUACAGAAAUAAUUACUCCUGACAUUAUACUAUUCAGAUAUUAAUGCUUGCUCUCCUCUCUUCAUGGAAUUUCAAGUUUGGCUAUUCAGUUACGUUGAUGAUUAUUUUAUUUCAUGAAAUUGGUAAACAUGUAAUUUCUUCGUUAUUAUAUUCAGUUAAUAUAUAUAUAUAUAUAUACAUAUAUAAAUAAAUAUAUACUAUGUUUUAGAGGCGUAUUAAGGUUUAUGUGGGAAUUAGUUUCCGUACAUAAAAAAUGUUAGCAGGAAAAUGAGAUAUUGUGAACCUUUUGCAAGAUGACAAAUGUUUUAUUUUGAAUGGAGAAAUAAUUUUCAUUAAAUCAAAUAAACUAAAACUUAAGAUUUUCAUUAAAUAAUUAUAUGUUAGUAAUAUUAUUUUUGAUUUUUUCUGAUAUUAUAAAAUAAAUUAUAUAUCUAACAAGAUCCAUUAUGUAUGCAUUAAAAUUGUAUAGUAAUAUCAAUUUAAUCUGAUACUAUUUAAGAUCAAUAAAUAAUAUAUUAACUUUCAAUUAAUAGAAAAUAUCAAGUAAUAGAAAAAUCUUAAAAUUUUGAAAUCUUAAUAAAAUUAUCUGUGACUAUUGAUUUCUUCCUUAUAUGUAUAUUUAUCAAAUACCAACAUUUUGUAUUUAUUUUCUUUUGAUUAUAUAAAAUGUAUUGCAUUAUUAAUAUUUUAUUAAAAGUAUUAAUAAUUUGAUCAUUUGUAUUUAUUACUAUUUUAUUGAUUAUAUAAAUAAAUAUGUUUAACUCAUAAAUUAGUUUCAUUUAGAAUAUAAUUUAAUACUAUGAUAUAUUCUUUACUUAAAAAUGAAUUUAGUAAAAGAAUUCUAAUAUAUCAAAUUACACUAAUAACAUUGAAUUACAAAAGAAAAUUAAUAUUACAAUAUAUAUUAGUGAAUAUGUUCAUCAUCUAAAAUACAUUAUAAAAGCUAGCUAUGAAUAAUAAAUUAGCUUCACAAUUGAGAAACACAAAAACUUCUACCCCAGAAAUGAAGAAAGUGAUCCUUAACUUUGUUUUAUUAUCUUUUUUUUUCUUGGUGUUGUCUUCCGUAAGUAUACUACUUAUACUACUUAUUACACCAAAAAAAAAGUAUACUACUUAUUGUUUUUUUUUUUUUGGUGUAAAUGUUAAGUUAAUUUUUUUUUUAAAUAAAAAAAAAGAAUACUACUUAUUAUUCAUUACACAAUAUGAUACAUGCAAUCGUAUAUCUGUUUAUACAUGAAUAUACAUAAACUUAUGCUAUCGAAAUCUCUGUUCUAGAGGCGUUUGGGGUUUGUCAUGUGGGAAUUAUAGUUUUCGAAUGAAAGAAAAGUGGUAGUAAAAGUAGAGACUUUUAUUAUUAAUACUUAUUUUUACUAAUUUUUUCAAACGAUAUAUUUGACCCAAAACAUGAAAACUAGUGGUGUAAACUAAUCUUUAUAAAUCAUUUUGUUUUGUUGACAAUCCAUGUUUGGACUAACACAUUAUUCAUAUGCAUGACAAGAUCUUGCAAAUGGAGCGGACAUGAAUCUUAUAGGGAAAUGUAAAAUUGACGUUGAGUGCUAUCACAUACCUAGUUGUGACAUAGGUCAAGGAUAUUGCGACAACAACGGAGUUUGUAAGUGUCCUAUAUUACAAUGUCACGCAAACCCUGACUGCCUUGGCAUGCGUUGUUUUCCCAGAGCUCCACCAUAUUGCAACAACGGAGUUUGUAGGUGUCCUAAAUUACAAGCGGUGGAGACGAAGAAACGCACAAAUUAAUGGAGUCGACCUGAAUCAUCUAGGGGAAUGUGACACUGACCUUGAGUGCUAUACUAUGCCUAGUUGUAACAGAGGUAAUGGUUAUUGCGAUCAGAAAGACGGAAAGUGUAAGUGUCCUAAAUAGAGAAACAAAUAAACAUGAGUAGAGCAUAUAUGAGUAUUAUGUUCCCGACUUGAAGCAAUUUGUAUCAAACUGCCCAAGUAUGAUAUAUGUAUCCAAGAAGAUAAUAAAUAUAUUAUUAAAAGACUAAUCAUGACUGUUAUCUUUAGAAUCAAUUUUAGUUUUUAUUGCAGUUCUUGUUGUACCAAUACAUUCUCUAGACAUAAUGGUCAACACGAUUUUACUUGACACUAAAGUUCUUGUCUCCUAUAGUGUUGUGUUUGUGACGUUGGUUAGAUUAUCUGGGUUUGGGCCCGGUUUUGGGCAAAAAGAAAAUCCGACCCGACGUUAAACCAGAAGAAUCUUUUCAGUAGUACAUUGUUUUUAGCAAAGACAUUGUUAGAUGGGAUUAGAUUCGCACUCUUCUAUUUACGGCAAUAAAAAUCUAAGAGUUUCCUGACAUAGAAGCAAGUUAAAAUCCAAAAGUCAAAACAAAAGAGUACGAAUCUAAUUUAAAUUUCUAGUGUGAAUUCUACUCUAAUGUCAUGAAAGCUGGCCGUUGACGAGUAAAGUCUUGAUAAGCGAAUCUCAAUACUGGAUAUUCUCCAAAAUCUUAAACUCCUCCCAUUUUUCAUUUUUCUCCGAUUGCUUCGAUUUCGUUUUUGAUUAAAAGACAAAACGGAAGUCACUGGUAAUGUCCUCAUUCUGCUUUGUCCGAAUCCAAUUACUUGAAAUUCGAUUCUUGUCAAUUCACUAAGUGUUUCUUUUUUGAGUUUCAGAAUCUUUCCCUCUUGUAGACAUGAGAAACCACCAACCAUCCGUUGCAGUCCUGGUGACUCUUGUAGUAGUAUUAUCUCUUUGUGGAGGAACAGUGGAAUCUCAUAAAGACCAACCUUUAUCAGGAAUUGCUAUCCAUGAAACAACAUUCCAUCUCAAUGACAAAGCUCAUGUCAAAGCCUCUCCAACACUUCUUGGAUCUAAUGUAAUAACCAUUUAGAUCCUUUCAUACUCUUUGAUGAAAAAUUCCUAAACUUCAAUAAUCUGGCAGGGUCAACAUAGUGAAUUGGUGUUGGUGGAGUUUAGCUCUCCACACCCAUCAGAUGAAGAUUGGAUUGGAGUGUUCUCUCCUGCAGAUUUCAAGUAUAUACUAUUAUAUUAAAACAUUCCUUCUCAUGAACUAGAGUUGUAUGUUUUUAAACACUUUUGUUGUUCCUACAGUGUUUCCACUUGUCCAGGAGAUAACAAAAUGGUGAGCCCACCUAGGCUUUGUUCAGCUCCUAUCAAGGUUUGUCUUCUUCUCUCAUAACAUUGUUUCUGCUUUUUAUCAUUAUCUCAUUAUCUCUUUACAGUUUCAAUAUGCAAACUUUAGUAAUCCAAGAUACAACACUACUGGAACCGGUUCCUUAAAGCUUCAAAUCAUCAACCAGAGAUCAGAUUUUUCAUUUGCGCUCUUCUCUGGCGGCUUGCUGAAUGUAAACACUCAUCCACUUACAAUUUUCUCUAGUUUUAAAGUUUUUUUGAAGCUAACCCUUUACUUGGUAUUGUGUUAGCCCAAGCUUGUGGCAGUCUCAAACAAAGUAGCCUUUGAGAAUCCAAAUGCACCAGUUUACCCUCGCUUAGCGCUAGGCAAAGAAUGGGAUGAAGUAAGAUCCUCUAAAACCCUUUUUGAUUGCUCAAUGUUCACUUAAAAGAAGUUGAAAUGAGUUUUGUCUUUUAACAGAUGACAGUGACAUGGACUAGUGGUUAUGGACUCAAGAUAGCUGAACCUGUUGUCGAGUGGGGGGUUAAAGGAGAACGUAAACUCUCACCCGCUGGAACAUUGACCUUUGCGCGCAACACCAUGUGCGGUGCACCUGCAAGAACCGUGGGAUGGCGUGAUCCUGGUUACAUACACACAGCUUUUCUCAAAGAGCUGUGGCCUAAUGCCAAGUAUACUUAUAGAGUUGGGCAUAGAUUGUCCAAUGAUGCAUUUGUGUGGAGUAAAGUGUAUCAGUUCAAAUCCUCUCCAUUUCCAGGACAAAACUCUCUCCAACAAGUUGUAAUCUUUGGAGACAUGGGAAAGGUUUGGUACUUUGGUCUAAAAAACCAUAUAAGAUUGUUUUAUUGUUAUGGUAGCCUGAAUACCACUUUUGUUGCAGGCUGAGGUUGAUGGCACAAACGAGUAUAAUGAUUUCCAACGAGCUUCUCUCAACACCACAAAUCAGCUUAUUAAAGAUCUAAAGAAGACAGAUGCAGUGUUCCACAUUGGAGAUAUCUGUUAUGCUAAUGGAUACCUCUCACAGUGGGAUCAGUUCACAGCUCAGAUUGAGCCUAUUGCUUCCACUGUUCCAUACAUGAUUGCAAGGUUUUGCAAUUUUCAUUACUUUCUAAUUGGCUUUCUUGUAGGCAUGCGGUUUCGGUUUAUUCGGUUAUUUCGGUUCGGGUAUUUCAGUUUCUAUUUAUUCUUUGGCGACAAUUCCACCAAAGUGAACAAAAAAAAUUCGGUUCGUUUUUGGUUAAUAUUGGUUUUUAAUUUUAUUUCCGAAAAACCAUUUUUUUGGUUUUUAGUUAGAAUUUGGUAUAAUUUUCUAAAAACGAAUAUUUAUUUGUAAAAUUUGGUUAUUUCGAUUAAAUUCGGUUAUUAUUUAAAAAAAUUGAAAUUCGAACCAAAAACCGAAUCACUUUUCAAAACCCUAUGGAACCGAAAGCUAAAAAAUUUGGUUUGACUGGUUCAGACAAAAUCCGCAUGCCUACUUUCUUGUUUAUGAAGUCCUGAAAAUAGACUCUAUACAGUGGAAACCAUGAGCGUGACUGGCCAGACUCAGGAUCGUUUUACCAAGGUUUAGACUCUGGAGGAGAAUGUGGUGUACCAGCUGAGACAAUAUUCUAUGUACCUGCUCAAAACAGAGCUAAGUUCUGGUACUCAAGUGACUAUGGGAUGUUUAGGUUCUGUGUGGCUGACACAGAACAUGACUGGAGAGAAGGAACAGAGCAAUACAAGUUCAUCGAGCAGUGCUUAGCAUCAGUAGACAGAAAAACACAGCCGUGGCUGAUAUUCUUAGCUCAUCGCGUGCUCGGUUACUCCUCCACGUCUUUCUACGCGGAAGAAGGCUCUUUUGGAGAACCAAUGGGGAGAGAUAGUCUACAGAAGCUAUGGCAGAAGUACAAAGUAGACAUUGCAAUCUACGGACAUGCACAUAACUACGAGAGAACAUGCCCGGUUUACCAGGUAAACAUACUGAACUAUUUGAAUAAUUCUGAUAUUUCUGUUUAUAAAUAGUAUUUUUAGGAUAUUUCGUUACGUGAAACUAAAUAUAACUCAAUUUUUUUAAGUAUAUAUAAUAUUUAUUUAAAAAGUUCUAGUACUGGUUUUGGUUCGGUCUUUUUAUUUCCAGAGAUAUAGAAUCCAUAUAGUUACUUAUAAAAUUCAGUUCGGUGUCGGUUAUGUACGGUUUGGUUCUUCGGUUUUGGAUGGUUUGGUUCUUUGGUUUUGGAUAAAUGUGUGGUGUCAGACACCUGGAUUGGUUCUUCGGUUUUGGAUGGUUUGGUUCUUUGGUUUUGGAUAAAUGUGUGGUGUCAGACACCUGGAUUGGUUCUUCGGUUUUGGAUGGUUUGGUUUUUUGGUUUUGGAUAAAUGUGUCUAGGCCUAUAGUGAACGGUGGUGAUUCUUUAGAAAAACAGAACCUUUUAAUCUUUAUGUUGCUUGUUUUGUGUGUGUUAGAGUGUAUGCACGAGUGAUGAGAAAACCAAUUACAAGGGUACAUUCAAUGGGACGAUCCAUAUCGUUGCUGGAGGUGCAGGAGCUGGUCUUGCUGAGUUCUCUGAUCUCCAACCGAACUGGAGUCUGGUCAGAGAUUAUGACUAUGGAUUCCUUAAACUAACAGCGGUUGAUUACUCUAAUCUUCUGUUUGAGUACAAGAAGAGCAGUGACGGAAGUGUCCAUGAUUCGUUCAAGAUAUCAAGAGAUUAUAGAGACGUCUUGGCUUGUGCUGUUGAUAGUUGCCCUGCAACUACACUUGCCUCAUAAACAAGAGAAUCUUGUAACUCUUUGGUUACAUUUGUUUCCAUUGUUAAACUGUUGUAGUGAUAACUCACAUCAAUUAUAGUUACUGGCAAAAUAAGAAUCAUUUAAUCAUUUAAUGAUUCUUGAUGUUCUCAAGUAUUACACAUGAGAAUCUUGAUCUUCAUCAAGGUUUGAGAUUUGGCAAUUCAUUCUUAAAGCCAAACCAAGCAGAAGAAAAUUAAAAACAUAAGACAACUAGAAGAUGAAACAAGAAGACAAGAUCCUUUCAUGUCAAAACGUUGAAGGAGAAGUAUUGACGACGAUAUGCCGAAGAGGACGAUCAACAUCACCACCACCACCGUGUUUAACAAACUCAGCAGGGGUCAAGAAACUACCAUGGCAAAUGCACAUGAUCCUAACCUCCUCUCCUUUACCAUACUUGUAUAGAAUCCCAUCGACACGUCUUCCGUUUGGACCGUGACCUUUGGUGAACACACACGGCAUGUCGAACAAACCGGUAGACGAAGCCGUCCCUUUGCCUUUAGCAUUCUCGUUCUCAUUCCCGUGGCUUUCGCUGUUAUUAGAUGAACAUCUUGUCACGAUCUUGGGGCUUAUUUGGUCACCACAACUGUUUGAUGAACCUACAAGACAUCAAACAUAAAGUCUCAACAUCAAAGCAAUGUUACGACUAAUCUUGAAAACCUACCUUGUUGAUGAUUCUUGUUGUCCAGCUCCGACAAGCUCGACGAGCUACCUCCUCCUCCAUGGGAAUCAACACACACUUGUCUAGGAGAAACCAAAUGUCUCUGUAGAAACCCGCUUUUACUAGCGUUGACCCAUCUCUCAGACUCAAACGACGCCGUUUGGGAGCUCUGUUUCUCGCAUCUCCUCCUCUUGGCUUCCAUUCUCCUAAGCGACUGCAUCUCUUUCCUCUUCCUCCAUUCCUCCUCCAUCUCCGCCGGCAGCGACGUCGUUCUCGCUAAACCCACCGUGUAAUUCUCCGGCUCGACCGCCUCCUUGUCAGCUACGAUAGAGCUCUCAAACGGCAUAGUGCUCAAAACAGAAGAAGAUCGUUUAAGCUUCCUCGGAGCCUUGUCUACUCCGAACCGACCUCCUAAGGACAAACCAAGAUUCAGCUCAACCGCUGUCUCAUCUUCGCAGUCGGAAGUUUCAUCUCUUCCGUCAACGUUUUCAGACAUGAAGCCUCGUAACAGAUCUCUCGGGAACUUGUUCAUGUCAAGAGAAAGAUUUGUUCCUCUGUUCCAUUCCCUUGCUUCUUCCCCCAUUAGAUUACAAAACAACACAACACAAAGCAAAUAAAUAAUAAAGUUUUUUUUUUCGUUUUAUUUCUCAGAUGAUGAAGGAAUGAAGAACUUAACAGAGACGGUGAAGAAGAUGAAAAGCUUUAUUUUGAAAUUGACUAGAAGAAAAAAACCCUUUCGGACAUUAGAGAAAAUGAGAAAGCGAGACGGACGACAACCCCCUUGACUGAGAGGAGGCAAGUGGCCGCCGAGUGAACUGUCUCAACGACACGUGGCCGGUGGAUUACGUCGGCGUUCCAUAAUGCUGCUUCAAGAAACGUGUCUUAAAGCAACUGAGUUCGCCAGUGUCGCGACACGUGUCCGCCAGUUAAAAAAGAUCCGUCUUCUCUUUUGUCUUUAUGGCUAUAACAUAAAGUUAAUGAACUUAAGAAAUAUUACAGAUUAAUUAACACAAAUUCAACUUGAUUCCAUAUCUUAAAACAAGAUUAUUAUUUAUUGCCGAUGAUAAUAAUAGAAUUUUAAAAUGAGAUUUUGUCUGCAAAAAAUUAAUCAAAAUUGCCUUAAACUUUUUGAUUAUGAAGGAAUGAUUAGAAAAAAAAAACAUAGUAUAAUUGAAACAUUGAUAAUUCUAGCGACUCGACAACGUCACUCACGUGGGACGGUCUGUAGGUCCCAUGAGGAAGCAAGUUGAUUGUGAAAAAGUGACGGAGAAUAACACUUCCAUUGUUUAUAAGUAAUUUAACUACUAUAAAAAGGUGAAAUCAAUAAUUUAGUAAACUAGAAGACUAAUUGUAAAGUAUUAAGCUAAAAAGUUUGAUUAUUGACUAAUCUUUUGAUGGAGAAGUGAUUAAUAACAUAAUAAGGUGAUUAAGUCAAAAAUGUCUUGAGAGUUUCAGUUUACUGAAUCAGUGAUAGUUAGCUGCUGGAGAAUGAAAUCUUAUAAAUUGAAAAAGAAGAUUUGUAGAAUCUUUUGGUGUGUCACUUUAUUGAGUCAAGUGGGGACUGAAGGAGAAGAUCUUUAGACAUUAACCAUAUAAACCAAAAAUGUCGCGUGUCAUUCACCUGUUGGUUUGUGUCAUUAUAAUGCAACUGAAGAAACUACUACAUGAUACGAGUGAAGAAGACCCCUUAUCCACUUACCCAUAUCCAAGCCCAUAAGGUUAAAGGCUUUGCCCAUUUUUGUUUUUAAACUUUAGAUUUUUUUUUUUUUUUUUGAACAAAAAAACUUUAGAUUUUAUAAAUUGCAUUAUUUGGGGGUAAUUUAAAAAUGUUUAUUGAUUUGAGCCUACAGUUGUGCAACAGAACAUCAGAAGAAAAAAAUCUAGUAUUACAAUCAAAUGAUGAGUUCAUGGAUGUUUGAAACAUACCUGGAGGACUAGUUUAAAAGUGUCAGCAGAUCGAAUGUCACAAACCUGAUAACAGUUUCCCUUUAACUGUAAAAUACUAUAAAAAAAUUGAGUAUGUUCAUAUAUAACACAUAAAUGAGGAUACGUCUUAGAGAUACAUUUAAUAACAGAACUCACCCUGUAACUUCUAACUUGGAUAGCAUCUUUCUUAAUGGCACCAAAACCUUUGAAUGUUUCAUUUAGCUGCUCUGGUGUCAUUCCAAUCUACACGACAUGCAUUAAUUCACAAAUCUCAGUGUGUCUUACAGCUUAACUAUCAAGAGUUGAUUGCAUAACUUAAAUUUAUUGAAAUGAGUCCAAGAGAAGCAGAGAGUCAAAGUCAAUACCUUGGAAGGAUGGUAAGAGAAGCACAGAGUCAAAAUCUCAGAUCAGAGUGAGAAAAGGACACACACGAGUGAUGACCAUACAAGUGGCUCUUCUAGGGUUUUACUUUAGAAAUCUCCGACGAGAUUUGAGAUUCUUGUAGGCCUUUUCUACAGUUAUUUUUCUAUAUUGCUUGAAAUGUUUUUGAGUACGUAAUAGAAAAUUGUGGCUAAGAAUUCAAAAUGUAGUUAUUUAUAAAAUCAAAACGAGUUAAAAAAAGGGGAAGCCUAAUUACAAAAUGGGUAGAAGACCUCUAUAAGCCCCCGGCGAGGAUCGAACUCGCGGCCUUUUGCUUACGAAGCGAACGCAAUACCACUAUGCUACGGAGGCUUUUGGCACACACGAUCAUUUGUAAUUAAUUUAUAAACUAUGAUUAAAACAAAGAUGAUUUAUCGCUAAUUUGAGUAUUGUAUUCAGUGACAAAAAAAAUGUUUAAAAAAAAAACCAGUGACAAAAAAGGAGAGUAUUAUAUUCAAAUACAUUAUGUGCAUCUACAGUUAAAUAAUGUCUCUGCAUAUUAUACAUUUCUUUGCUUUUAUAAAUAUCUCAACAUUUUUUUUUUCAGAUCUCAAAAUAUUGAGGCACACAUUUAAAAUUUGUAACUAAAAGUGGACAGUUGGUUAAUGUUUAUUUAAAAAAAAAAAAAAAUGGACAGUGUGGUUUUUUAUAAAGACGAUAAAAGCGAACAUACGUCAAAAAAGUAUAGAAAUACAAAUCAAUUCAAAAGAGAGUGAAAUUUAUGUUUCAUUUCUAUAAACUUUUUACAUAUGUCAAAUGCAGAUUGUGUUUUUCCUCCACAAAACGUCAAAUGUGUUGAUGUUUUAUUAUAUUGUUUAACCUCUUUUCUCUUUUUACAAUAAUUUUACAUAUCUUUCUUCCAAUUGCAUUUGAUUUUUCCUAUAUUUUUUCGAGUUGUUAAUUUGUAAGGUAAUUAAAUCAAAAUUUUCAAGAUAAUGUUGCUAAUAAUUAUUUUAAUCCAAAAUUUUAAACUACACUAUAAAUAGCAAUGAUUACUAGCUUAACUACAUUAUCUUAAAACUUGAUGAUAUUAAUCAAUCGUAAAGUUGAGAUCGAAGUUGUCAUACGUCUGAGAGAUCUAAAUGAAUAAAGUUUCUUUCUAACUCGUGCUAUUGUUUUUCAGUUCUUCUUACCUUCUUCCCUAAGUAUAUCUACAUUGCAUUUCCUAUAUAGUUUGAUAUAUAAUACACGUGAAUGCCGUACGUUUUUAUAUACCUGAUUUCUUUCAAUUGAAAAACGUAAAAGAGGUAUUAUGCAUUACUUUUAUGGGAAAUGGAAAAUAGUCUCGUUAAAAUUGUAGCCACAUUUAACCAGCGGCAUUGGGCUAGUGGUACUUGAGGGGAAAACCCCCAAUACAGUACCCGCAGUUCGAGUCCCGCUAGCCACUCGGACUAGGGUUAAAUCCCAAGAAUACGUGGAGUGCCGUGGGCCUCGCGGGAAUAGUCGGUUGACCACGGUCGCCGAAAACCCGCGGUUACCAAAAAAAAAAAAAAAAAAAAACACUUGNNNNNNNNNNNNNNNNNNNNNNNNNNNNNNAAAAAAAAAAAAAAAAAAAAAAAAAAAAUUGUAGCCACAACGUUGCUCACAUUUAAAGAACCAAAUACUUUCUAUUAAUCUUAAAUGCGGUUAAAAUUUAUAAUUAUGGCCUAAAUUUUGAUUUAUUGGUGAAUGUAACCAUGUAGAACAAGAUCUUGCAAGUAGUAUUAAGGCUGGAGCGACAAUCUCAAAUGAUCAAUAUCAGAACAAUGGUGCUAGUUGUAAAAAAUGCCAUUUUGGACCGAAGUGUAAGAUAGAUGCUCGACAAAAGGAUCGAGUUAUGCUUUGUAAAAGAGAACUCCAAUGUUCGAAACGCAAAGGUGGAUUCUACAGUAACCAAAGAAUUUGCGAAUGUGUCAAGUGAAAUCAUUGAGAGAAUGCAAAGCUUUGUGUAAAGAAAAGUUAUAUAAAUGAUCGAAAAACAAAAAUUAGAAUGUUGAUGUGCCUGCACGAGUCUCUGCUAUAUAUUAUCGGCCCAAUAAAUAACUAUCUGAUGGGCUACUGUUCGCAGAGUCCACAAAUCGGAGUCAGGAUACUGUUUUGAUUGAAUACGUUGAGCCACCCAUCAAACUCACAAACCAUUCACUUUCACAUUCACCAUCUAGAUACCAAAGGAUAUUUUAAUAGUUUUUGGUAAGAACGCGUUGAAUUGUACGAUUUAACAGCAUAUUAGCGCAUGGGAAAAGAUUACAAAGACAAUAAAACUAUAGUUUCAUUUUCACCAACCCGCUAAAAUAUCACCAACACGAUUUAUUUUUAAACUGGUUUUUCAUAUUGUAUUAUUAUACUUUUGGCAAUCUUAUACAUUUAUCGUAUUGUUCUUUAUUAUCACCGUUAUAACAGCGUAAUAUAUCAUGAAAACUAUUAUUGUUUGAAAUAUAAUUUUCUAACAUUUUCAAUUUUUAACAUAUAUACAGGGGCGGAUCCACGUGGAGAAAAAAAAUGGUCAACUGAGACUAGUUAAAUAUAAAAAAAUGAUAAAUUAAUUUUCGUAAGGUGCUUGAACUCUGUUGGUCGCAAGUCUCUUAAAACUCACUAACCCGAGGCACCCCUAUUUAUUCUUUUUAUUAUUUAUUUGUUUUUUUAACAAAUUAUUUAUUUGUUAUUAUUUGGCGUUUUCGGAUCUAAAAUUCAAAAUUAUGACUACAGUGAAAUCUUCUUAUGAGUCCGACUCUGUAUAUAUAAUUAUAUAUAUAUUGUGAAAGUAGUACAUCCAUAAAAUGAUAAUAUAUAUAUGUGAUAUUUAAAUAUAUGUGCAUGAGUGUGUUUAUUUAUGUAACCAAAAAGUAAUCCAUGUACAUCUUCGACUACAUGGCAAACAAGGGCAAGAAGAACCACAAGAUGAUGACAGGGGAAGAACUAUAUCAAUUUGGUUAUGCUCAAACCGAACCAGAAGUCAUAACUGUAAGAUCUCUCGUUGUCCCGACAUGGACUUGAUUGGCCUUUCACUUUUCAUUUCCUUUCAUUUUUGUUGUUCUUACUUAUGCCUACGCGUCACCGUAAAAUCAUUUUGGGUUCCAUAAUGAACAGUUGUCAAUAGUGAAAUAUUCUCCUGAUGUUAUGUCCUUUUCAACUAAAAAUGUAGAACAUGCACCUUUUUCCCUUAAACUGCUUCAGUGUUUUCAAAAGUCGUAGUUCUAUUUCUAUGUAUUUAUGUAUUCUUUUGGUCAAAGUUUCUGGAGUGCAUUGCAUAAGCUGCUGACCAAUAGUUGAACUAGUUUUUCUUUGAAAAUAAGUAACCUCUUAAAUGUUUGUAUAAGGUUGGUUUUUGAUGGGGCUGGUAACGUUUAAUAACGUUUAAUGUUUGUUUAAGCAUACAGAUUAAGCAGCACAAAUGCAGAUCAAGCGGAUCAUACAAGAAAGAAGUAGAUCAAACCGAUCAAAUAAUUUAUUAUAACUUAUGAAUGACAAAAUCAGUUCAAAACUAUACAACAUAUAUUAAAACAAUAAAAAUUACACAUAGAUAUCUAAACAAAUAUUUUAGAUGUUAUAGGAUCGGCUGAAAUGCCUGUAAAUAUUUUAUAAGAUACUUAUACUUUUUAAAUUUUCUUUUUAGGUGAUUAAGAUUUUCUUGAGAGAACCGGUAGGUUACACUAAUAUUGAAUUUUUGGGUAAAUUUACCACCGGAAAACUCUCUACCAGUGGACGUAAGAUAUUUGAAAUAGUGAUUAGUCAUGAAAAUUAUUUGAUUGUACAACUCAAUAAAUACACGUUCUCGGUAAAGAUUUCAUUUAAAAUUGUUGUGUUUUGUCGGCAAUUGAACGUCUUGCUUAUAAUUUUAAAACAACACAAAUAGUAUUAAUAUAAACUAUAAAGCUAAUCAUUGUACAUAUAAAUAUAUUUUAAAGUUAAAUAUUUGGAACAAAAUUAUUUAUUAUCAAAAAGAAAAAAAAAACAGAUCAACACCACCAAAUGUUAGCGGUUGAGAUCUCAUGCAGAUCUCCCGUUUUUUUCACAAAAAAAUAAAAAUAUUGAACUGCAUGCAGAUCUCCCGCUUAAACUGCUUUUGCAAACAAAAAAACGUGAAUGUUGAAUGUAUUCCGGAAAAACUACAUGUGAAGGAAAACUACAGUUGUCUUGUCUUUCCAUUCAUAACUAGAGGAACUCUUGCUUGGCCAUGCGUUUUGGGUUCAGGGAUUUGCGUUAGGUUCGGGAUGUAUUAUUAUCUUUCCCCUAUAUUUAUAAGAUCACGCAGUUGUCCAAAAAAUAUUGAAAGGUUCUUUAACAAAAUGUUUAUUAGAGUAUUGGGUUGUGUGUGUUUCUUUUAUGCUCUGUAAUAAGUUGCUUUUAGCAACAUUGUAAACUAUUUCAGAAAAUGGCAAUCUUGACAUCUUAUCCAAAAAAAAAUGUUUGUAGUAAAAAGAUUUUAGAUAAUUCAUCUUAAAGCAAUUUUUAACCUAGUGGCUAUUUUCUAAGCCGACAUAAGUAAAAGUUCACACUUCAUGCAGUAAAAGGGAAUUGUAAAAUCACUAUUGUGCAUGUUUUCAAGUUACUAUCGACACUAUAGUAAAUGUGAAAGGGAACUGUAGACUUCGCUGUCAAAUACUAUAUAAAAUACGAAACAGUAAAUCAAGCAGUAGAAGUAGCUGAAUGAAGCAGGCCUACGCUACACAAGACUACAUAACACAUUACAAAGCUUUUACGUAUAAAAUGUCAGCUUUCUUCGCUUCCUGUAUUUUCGUUUUAUCAUCACUGCCUUUUGUCUCCCCUUUUAAUCUCUUUUUUUUUCCCUUUUUUACAUAUCAUAGUACAAUUAUUUGUUAAUUUAGUUUUCCUCUACAGUCUAUAUCCUGUAAAACAAUAAAAUUAGCAAUGUAAACUGUACAAUAUUUAUAAAAAAUUAAAGAAGCACAGUGAUUUUACAAAAAUUACAAGGACCACGCGAGGCCUUUAAAGAUAAAAUCACACGGCAAAGAUUUUCUUUUACAAUUAUGAUAUUGAUAUUGACUCCACUACCGAUCUGACUCCAUAUACGUGUCUCAUAAUUUAACUCGUUUGAUUAUUUCUUAAAAUAUCGAAUUGUGAAGUAAAAGCUCGAACAUGUGAGCACGCCUUGGAAUUAAAUGCCAGACGUAUUAACUCCACCUUUUGAUCUAAACUACAUGUAUUUACUCAUAUUUAUGAGUGUAAAGCAAAAAGUAGAACUCGAAUUAUUUAUUUAGGUUUUACAUUUUGAUUACAAAAAGCAAAAAAACUGCGUCAGUUCUGUAAAAUUAGACUCAUUUUAUUAAAAUACUAGAAGUUUUCAUUGAAUACUUCUGGCAUUCUGAAAAUUUAAAUGUUUUAAAUAGAAGUUUUGUUACCAUUUCGGUUAAGUUUUCUUCAUUUUCUUUUAGUAAUAUUAUCACAAAAAUGCACCAAUAAAAUACUAAUACAUCCGUACCAUUAAAAGAGCUUUGAUAAGAGUGGCAAGGACGGCUGUGAUUCUCAUUUCGAUUCUCUUCUUUAGUAAGUAUCCUUUCUCUUUUCCGACAAUACUAAGAGCAUUAUUAUCCAAGUUUUUAAAGGGUCUCUUAGAUUAAUUUUGAUUUAAAACAAAAUCAAAAAUAAAUAUUAAAACAAAAGAUGUAUCUUAUUUAGGGGAAGCAAGGGACGUUUUUUAAUGUACACGUGUCAAAUCUCCAACAAAAUCAAUCUCUCAAAAGCCAUCACCACCUCCCAUAUCCUCUUCGAUCUCCUCUCCGACACCAUGCUUUUUGACCUCGACAUGAGGUACUCUCUUCUCAUGUACAUCUCCACCCUCCGUCUCCACGCUUUACCUCUCCGCCUCACGAUUUCCGAACUCCGAUCACUCCCCAACGCCUCUUCCGUCCUGAUCAAUCUCUCUGCGCAAUCCUCCUCCGUCCCGACCUUCAUUGUCAUCACCUUCUUCUCACUCGUCGCAAUUGAGUUUCUCACCCUUCUUCUUCUUGGACAAACGAUUGUUAUCAGAAAAGAGAACCUGGAACUCGGCCUCCUCUAUGCAACUCUGACAGUGACCCAAAUCAGGUACGUUCUUUUAUGGACUAAAUUGAUUGUUGAUUGGCCGAAAAUUGAUUUGAUAUGCUUCAAUCUGUCUCUGCUUGGUCUUGGAUUGUAGAUCAUAGGAUCAUUGUAAUGAAACAACUUGUUCUAAUAAUGUGGUUUUGCGAUAUUGUUGUGUUUUGUUAAACCAAUGGCUAAUUACCUCAAGUUCGAUGUGUUUUGAUCUUCAGACCUUUUUAUGAAUUGAUUGGAUUAGAAGGGUGAAGCUGAUAUCUCUGUUGUGCUGAUAGAUUCAGUGGCUCCGUUACUCUCAGUGGCGGCCAAGAUUGGAAGGCAACGUUGAGGGUCCCACCUCUUGAUACUCGUUAUCAGACUGGUGCCUUCUGCAUUCCAGUUCUUGAGAAAAUUGAUCCAAAUACCAAUGUUAGUAUGUUUGUUUAUUGUUAGGAACUCAUAUAUUUGAGAACAAAUAUAGUUACAGUCUUGACUGUGUUUAUUUUUUAUACAGCCAUGAUUCUAGUUCCAACGCAUGAGCUGGCUCUUCAGACUUCACAGGUUUGCAAGGAGCUUUCCAAAUACUUGACCAUCCAGGUUAUGGUCACCACUGGCGGUACCAGUCUGAGAGAUGAUAUCAAGCGGUUACAUCAACCUGUACAUCUGCUCGUUGGAACUCCUGGAAGAAUAUUGAAUCUUACCACAAAGGGAGUGUGUGUUUUGAAAGACUGCACGAUGUUUGUGAUGGAUGAGGUAAGCUCUUGUACUAUAUCUUCGUUUUGUGAUUUAUUGCUAAAAGCGUGAUGAAAAAACUGUAGGAUUACUGCUAAAAAUAAGUUUUCUGAUUGAUUGCAUUCUACUCUAUAUAAAAUGCAUUGCUAUACUUACGACUUAUGUAGUCAGUUUUAAAGUUUUAAAUAGAAGUUGUUUUAUUGUGCCAUAAGCUUCAAAGUUUUUAACUCCUUACAAACUAUCUUACCAGGUCGACAAGCUUUUGUCCGCAGAGUUCCAAGCUUUAGUCUGCAGAGUUCCAGGCCGACUAUCCUCUUGAUACUCAACAGUUUACAAUGUGAGUAUGCACAUGUUCUGUUUCAUGUUACAUGUUCUUCCUUUGUUGUUCUUGUUAUUGAUUAUGGUGUGUCAUUACUUGCAUUGUGAAGAUAUAUCAAAGCUUAUUCUCAUUGAUGUGUUGUUUUAUCAUAUUCUUUUUUUAAGAACCUUUAAAUAAAAGACUUGCAAUGGAGGACAUAAAAAUUGAAAGUUCUUAACUAAGUCUCUUAACCAAAUUUACUACUUAAAUAGUAUUAAAAAUUAAUUAAGAGACCCUUAAUGGGUCUCUAGGUUAAUGAUGCUCUAAGAGCAUGAUUAAUGGGAGGUUCUUAGGGUAGAGUUUUUGGCAGAAUAUAAGAAUUCGUCUCUUAACUUUUAACUAAAAAAUCUAAGAGCUGGUUCUUAAAUAAGAAAUUUAAGAGCCGGCUCUUAACUUUUUUAGUUGAAAGUUAAGAGACGGGUUCUUAUAUUCCGCUAAGAACUCUGUCCUAAGAAUUCUCCAUAACAUUAAUGCGAGGUUGAUAUUACUCCUUGACGUUAAACUGUUGUAAAAGUUUAUUGGAGUGAAGUAUUAAAAAUAUUUUCUGUGUGUUCUCUGUCAGUAACAUGUGGAGACAAGGAAUCAUUUUACUCAUGUUCAUAUUCGAGUGAUUUGGCAGAGAUUGGUGCGAUGUUUGCUUCAAUCUAGAUACACGGAAUAUUGGGAGGAGAUUGUAGCUCUUCUGCUGGAUAAUAGAUAGGACCGUAUAAGGAUGUUCCUGCUGAGAUACACUUUUCAAGCAUCUGUUCAUGCCCUUGGAGGGAAAUAAAUAGGUGUAGGCAUGGUGAAAAAGAGCUUCCGUAUACACUUUUGCCCAAAACCAUUGACAAAAUGUUGGAAACAGACUAUUUACUAUCAAGAGACAAGGAGAUCAUAAAGAUAGAUGCAGGGAUGUGCGUAUGGUUUGGAUCAAGAGGAUGAUCUUGUCUGAUUAUCUCUCCCUGGUGAAGCUAUUGAAGGGUAGAGGCUCGGUUCCAACUUUGUUCGGUAUUUUAUUUGACAUCUAUUACUUUAGCUCUUUGUUUGAUGUUAUUUCCUUUCCGCAUGUAUCUUGGUUGAGUAAUGGGAUGGAUGAUUUAGUGGCAAAAUCAGCUAUUUCAUUGUUAAACUUCAUUGGAGAAUAAAUUCUUUAAGUUAUGAAAUGAACGUGUGUUUAAUAAAAAAAAUAUAGACGCUUAGUCAAAUUAUUUACAUUUCGAUCUCAAAGUUAUUAACUGUACAAAAGUUUUGGAUAAAUUAAAUCUAACAUUUAUAAAAAAAAAUAUUUUCUAUGUAUGUGGCAGAAAAUAUCUUGACUUUGUUGCAAAAUUAUUUGCAUGACACACCAGAUCUUUAGCUUUUAAAUUCCCACACAAUCCAUAUGAAUCACAUUUUACUACAUGCUAACGAUUUUUCAAAAAAUAUUGGUACUGGUUAGAAACAUUCCCAAAUCAUUAUAAUAACAACAUAUAUUAGAGUUUUUUAAAGUUUCUUUUAAGUUCAAAAAAACAACAUAUAUUAGGACUAAAAAUUUUAACAAACGAAUUUAUUUUGUUGUCUAACACAAAGUUAGCAGAUAUCAUUACAGUAUAAUUUUAUCAUAAUACAUGUUUAAAGGACGUCUAUUUAAACAUUAAUACUCCCUCCGUUUCUAAAUGUAGGUAGUUUUAGCGAAAAAAAAGUUUGUUUCACAAUAUAAGUAGUUUACAUAUUUCAAUGCAUCUUUUUCAUUUAUUGGAUAUUGUGUGAUCAAUGAAAUAAUAUUAGGUUUUUAAUAAUUGGUUGAAUUGAUUGGUUAAAUAAUAUUUUUUUUAAAUAACAAUUUUUUAAAUAUUAGUGAUUUUAAGCAAAAUUAGUUACAAUUAGAAACGGGAGGAGUACGUUUUUAAAAUGGUGAUUUUCGAAACAAUUUUGGAAAUAACAAAGUUACAGCAAUAUCAAAGAAUCACUCCAUCAUUCCGUGGUUUCAUCAGUAAAAGUUAAUGACUUGCCUUUGACCUAAAGACAACAUAAUCAAUGCUAGUACAAACUUUUUAAAAAAUAAUUAAUCCAACAUUAACAGGCCAAUAAAAAGUAAAGUAAUUAUUUUUAAAAAUAAUUAAAAUAUUAAUGAGAUGUCUCCAGAACCUUACGUUCUGUUCUUUGACUCUCUCAACCUGGUCACCUUCGAAACCUUUGCUUGGCUUUCUCUCUUCAUAGCCACAGUUGCUUUCAUUCUCUCACCAGGUGGCCUCGCAUGGGCCUGCACCAAGUCUUCCAAGUCUCGGGUUUCGAUUCCUGGUCCAUCUGGUUCUCUUGCCGUCUUCUCACGCUCCCACCCUCACCGCGUUCUCGCAGCGCUUGCCCAACGCUUUAAGGCCUCUCACUUGAUGGCGUUCUCCGUUGGUUUUUCACGUUUUGUCAUCUCCAGCGAACCGGACACCGCUAAAGAGAUUCUAAACAGCUCUGCUUUUGCUGACCGGCCGGUUAAGGAGUCAGCUUACGAGCUUCUCUUCCACCGCGCCAUGGGGUUCGCACCGUAUGGUGAGUACUGGAGGAACCUGAGGAGAAUCGCUUCAACGCAUCUUUUCAGUCCGAGAAGAAUCGCGGGUUUCGUAGGUGUUAGGGUUGGAAUCGGUAUGAAGAUCGUGAAGAAGAUCAAGAGUGUUGCUAUGUCUUCAGCUGGUGGUGAAGUUGACGUGAAGAAGGUGAUUCACUUUGGUUCAUUGAAUAAUGUAAUGACGACUGUUUUUGGUGAAAGCUACGACUUUGAUGAGGUUAAUGGUGAUGGGUGUUUUCUGGAGAGGCUGGUGAGUGAAGGUUAUGAGUUGCUUGGGAUAUUUAACUGGAGUGAUCACUUUGGUGUUCUUCGUUGGUUUGACUUCCAAGGAGUGAGGAAGAGGUGUAGAGCUUUGGUCUCCGAAGUCAACACUUUUGUCGGCAGCAUAAUUGAGAAGCACAAGAUGAAGGCGAGCAACAAUCUCGAUGGAGAGGAAAAUGAUUUCGUUGAUGUCUUGCUUGGCUUGCAAAAGGAUGAAAAGUUGUCUGAUUCUGACAUGAUUGCUGUUCUUUGGGUAAGCUCUUUUACUAGUAUUUGUUUUUAGGAUAUAAGUUAUUAAAAAUAAUGUGUUUUUAAUACAGUAUAUGUUAUCUAAAUUUUUUAUAUUUUUUUAAUAUGGGUUUUUGAUUUAUGUUUAGGAAAUGAUAUUUAGAGGGACGGAUACAGUUGCGAUUCUAGUAGAGUGGGUACUUGCAAGAAUGGUAUUGCAUCAAGACAUUCAAGCUAAACUCUUCAAAGAGAUAGCUUCCGUUACAAGUAACAACACUAGAUCCUUGUCUGAUUCUGACAUCUCAAAACUGCCGUACCUUCAAGCUAUUGUCAAAGAAACCCUGAGGCUCCACCCACCUGGGCCGCUCCUCUCGUGGGCUCGUCUCGCUAUCCACGAUGUCAACGUAGGUCCCAACCUUAUCCCUGCAGGAACCAUAGCUAUGGUCAACAUGUGGUCCAUCACACAUGACGCCAAAAUCUGGACCGACCCUGAAGAGUUUAAGCCUGAGAGGUUUACUGAAGGUGAGGAUGUAAGCAUCAUGGGUUCAGAUCUUAGGUUGGCUCCAUUCGGGGCAGGUCGUCGGGUUUGCCCUGGCAAAGCAAUGGGUCUAGCCACUGUUCAUCUCUGGGUUGCUCAGAUGAUUCAGAAUUUCGAAUGGGUUAAGGGUUCUUGUGAUGUGGAUCUCACUGAGGUUCUCAAGCUGUCUAUGGAGAUGAAGAAGCCGUUGAAGUGCAAGGCUGUUCCAAGGAAUGUUUGUUUUGGUUGAUGGAUCCGAUUAUCUGUUGUAUCGGGUCGGGUACUUGUUUUAAUAACUACUACGGGUAGUCUCUUUUAAUAAUUAAUAAUUUUGGUUUGCGUCGGAAGUUAGGGUUUUGGCACGUUUUGUGUUUGCUUCAAGUAACGUAGCGUAUCUCGUUAUCGGCUUUGGUUUAGUGGCUAUAUAUUCAAUAAUAUCAUAUCUAUAAAUUUGAUUAGUCAAGUUUAUGCAAUAUGAAUUGUUGUACUAUUUUUCCAGCAAAGAUCACGUACAAUUAUAUUUUAUUUUCCCCUCUCGGACAAUUAUUCAGUUAUGAAAACCCGGAUGUCAUCUUAUCCCAUAUGCAACUAGUUCCAGUAUUUGAUUAAGCUAUUGAAAUAUUUCAACUAGCAUAUUCAUCAACAUUGAAUUUGGCUCAUCGGAGGUAAUCCGAGAGAAUAUGUAAAUGUAAAUUUUCUUUCCUGGUUUUGUACAGUACUAGUUAUGUAGCUAUUAGGUCAGAGUUUAAUGAGAACAUUAAAAUAUACUGAUAAGAUCCGACAUAAUACAAGUCAUAUGACAAGGUUGAGUUUUGCUAGAAAGGAAACCGAGUAAUCAAAUGAUCAUUGAUGAAAAUUAUCAGUUGGAUCAUGUGUUAGCAUCUCGAUCAAGAUGAUCCAGAUUUCGAACAUGUGAGUAAAUCAUUGGAUAUUAGGCUAUUUAACUCACUAUAAUAAGAUUGUAGAUCAAUGAGCAACUGAUUUUCUCUUCUUACACAUGCUGAUCCAUCAUUACGACAUGAUCAAAAAUUCCAACUAGAAAAGCGGGAAAAAAACCAAGGAAAUACACCAUAAAUCUAUUGUAAAUUUGUGAAACUCAAUGUUUUUACGCAAGUUUAAUGGCUGCUUUCUUGAUAAGAUAUUAUUUUUCGAGGACUAAAUUGUGAAAUAUAUGUUUGAUUUUCAUUAUAUAAAAUAAAAUAUAUUUAGAAAUAACCCGAAAAAAUUGUAAGGCUUGAAUUAUUUUUCCGUUCGAAGCUGUAGUUGCGUGUAGGAUGCUGAAAUUCUAGAUUUUCAUUUUAUAUAGAAAAUAUCAAAAUAACAUUUAAAUAUGUAACUGAGAAAUAAAGAAAUAACAACUGUGAUCUCUCAAAAAUAAUAUUCCAUUCAUUUUUUAAAAUAAGAUGUUUUGCUUGAAUUUACAAAAAUUAAGAAAUUUAUUUUUAAAGAAAUAAUAUUAUUAAAUAAUAUAAAUUAAACCUAAGUUAACCAAUCAUAAAUAAUGCAGUAAAAUAUAAUUGAUUGACCGAUUUUCAUAAAAGCUAAAAUAUAUUAAAAGUAUGAAAACAUCUUAUAUUUUGAAAUAUCAAAACUUUUUCAGAACAUCUUAUAUUGUGAAACAGAAGAAAGUAAUAUUUAUCUUACCUUUGAAUUCGUAUUUUUUUCACAUCUGAUAUAUCAAACGAUUAAUUAGAUUAUCUACAAUAAUUUCAAAAUUCAACAUUUACAUUCUCAUUUUUGACACUCUACAUCAUAUUUUUUUUCCUUCCACUGUAUCAUUUAAUACACAUUUAACUUUUGUACACUACGAUAGUAACACAUUUAGCUUUCAACAUACCUAUUGUAAGCAGCAGGUGGUAAGCAGUCUUAGAUGUUAGGUCUCAGUCACGUAUAACCCCUUAACUUUUCUUCAACAUUGUUGUUUCUGUUGUUCUUGUGAAUUGUCACAUUAUUAACAAUAUAUUCAAAGGUACAAAAAAGUAAACUUAAAAUAUGCUAAAAUGACGUAGAAAACCAACGAAACAGAAAUUUAACAAUCAUAAUUCGACAUAUUCUUUUACCAAAAAUAAUAAUUUCGACAUAAUCCUCUCCUUGUUUUUUUUUCUCGAAGAAUAUUGUUUGUCCGAUAGGAACUCAACACCAUUUAAAGUUUGCACUAAAGUUAAUACCUAUCAGCAUACAAUGUUUAAUGGAUAUAUGGAUUAGACCGAAUUUAAUUGUAUUAAUAUAUACUUCAAGAUCGUAUCCUCAACGUCCUCUUUUUCGUUCAUGAAUCUUCCAUCGCUUAUUAACUAUUCAUAUUCAUUAACAAAAAUUCGUUAAUGUGAAGGAUCCCUGAUUAAAAUAUACUCGAAGAAUAAGCGUAUAUAUGGGGAAAUCCCAUCAGUAAAAUAAGAGGAUGAUGUUUUGGCCGUAUUUUUGUACGUAUCUCAUUUUCCUACUUGUUUAUAUACAAAAGACAAAUAAUAAUUAUGUGCAUAAUUAUUAUGCUAAUAUAGCAUACUGUGUUUGGUUUUAUAUGAUAAAUGCGUUUUAUGUUUUGUAAACAUAUUUGAAUAAGUCCAGAAAAUGGUAAUUCAUCCAUUGUGUCGGUGUUUGGAUAUCUUUUCAUGUGAUUAGUAGUUCGUCUACGUAAUCACAUCAUAUAUAAAAGCUAAAAUAUCUAGAUCAAAUAUCAUAGUGAUAGAGAUAAAUGAAUUUGGAAUGUUAGGAGCGGUGGCAUAUCUUUAGUAUCUUUCAAAUCAUUGAAAGAUUGAAGUUUAAGACUAUUUGUUAGCCUUCAACUAAGGAUUAAUAGGCAGUAUAAUACACGAGGGUAGCUAGGGUUUUAUGCUGGAAAAGAAAAAGACGUUUACCUUUAUGAUAAAUAAAAGCGAUAUACUGUAAUCAGUUCAACAUGUUUGGACAUGAUAGUUUCAGCUGUAUUGUAUUUCAAUUCGAUAAUAGCGUUGUUUAGGAGUCGCCGAUGGUUCACAAAAACUUAUAUUUGGAAAUAAUACUAGUGAAUAUAUAUUUUACGUAAACGGUAGCAUGUUACAACUUGCAUGUAUAAUUAACAGCUGAUAUCGGAGAUGAAAACAUUUUUAUUGAAAGUGCUAAACAUCUCAGUAACAACAUAUAAAAUAACGAUAUGUAUACUUCUUAAUAUCCAAUAUAUAAAACUUUACACUAGUCCAAAAUAAGUGCAAGUUGCUUUCCUUCCCAUCUCUUUCUUUCUUUAAAAUUUCCAUAUUCCAUUGAAUCGAUUCUUCGACUCCUUCAUUAUAGAUAUGAGUGAUUCACCACCAAAUCGAGAGUGGAACCAAAGAAUCGAUGUUGGACACAGGAAUUGAAAAGGAUGAUUAUGCGGUUGCUAUAUAUAUGCUUUUAGAAGAUUCACUAAUUUAUUAAAUCGUUGGAUGCUCGCUUAAUCAAAAUUUAGGUAAUAUCUAGACUAUAUUUUCACAAUUAUGGUUCUCCCCUCAUACACUAACCAUACUUAUUUGGUCUGGUAUGACUAGUCUAUUUGUUAUACACUGGUUUUUUUUUUUCUUUGAAAUACAUACACUGCUUGCUUAGAAGUCAUCUUUCAGACUUUAACUUAUUUCAAUAUGACCGGAUGUUCAGGAUACACAUUAAUAAUUCAAAUUCUCACCUAGAAAGCAGUCUAAAAUUACCUAAGAGAAUCUGCCAAAAACAAAUCACCCUAUAUAAGGGCAUCUGAUAAAUGGUGGAUUUUUUAUAAUGCUUGAAAUUGUAUCCAACUUUCACUGUCCAGUUUUUUAAAUCGUCAUCUAUACCAAUAUCAUGAUAUAACAUAGGAAAAUUCAUGGGCUAUGAAUCAUUAGCCCUCUUGGAUUAUAUCUGCCUCUCAUUGGGCAAGAGAAUUGGAUCCUCUGUCUUAGGGUUGUAGACACUAAUGAGAUCAUUAAUUAUUCAUACUUUUGUUGAUUUUCAAGUGGCUUAAUUAAUGAUUACGAUUCUUUUUGUAAAGCCGAAUUUAGAUGCUUUUGUUAAAGCCAAAUAUUCACUUGCAACAACAAUCGUUUUUAAAUAUUUUAAAAUACAUUAAAUCCCAAAAAGGCUAUGUAUUUUCUGCGCCACUCAUUAAUAGCACUCGCAUGAAUUAAAAAUAAGUGUAUACAAUCUAUACAAGUACAUCGGUCACCACAGUAUGGCCGAGUAUGUAAAUCCUUAAUCGAUCAUUACAAAAUAUGAUAGGAAAUAAGUUUGGCUAAGAUUACUUCCUGCGUUUUAGUGUGGAAUAGAUUCAUGCUAUGUAGAUAAGAGUCAUCAUUUUUAUAUAAUACUCACGGCUCCGUUUCGUUAACUUAGAUGUUUUAGAAAAAAAAUUGUAUCACAAAAAUAGAUUUUUUGUAUUUUUUUAUAAAAAGUUGUGAUCUUCAAAAAAAAUUAAUUGACUUUAUUGAAUUACUAUUAGUUAAAAAUUUUUGAAAAUUAAAAAUUAUAGAAAAUGAUACAUUUACUAUAUAAUUUAGUACUAGAUCUCGAUCCGCGCAACCGCGAAUUUUUGUUUUCAUUUAUUUUUAUAUAAACAUUUUGUUUUCAAUUCUAAAUUAGUAUAUAUUAUAAUAUAUUUGUGUCUAUCAGUUUUUUAAAAAUAUCUUAAGUUUACGGUAUAUUUUUUCAUUGAAUAGAUUGUUUCAAACUUUCACAUGUAUUUGUAUCUUUUUCUAUAUAUAUAUUUUGGAUUAUUAUUUCAUUAUUAAAAUCGUAACUAUAUAUAUAAAGAUUAGUAAAAUAUUUUUUUACCGUCAUAUUCAAAAAUAUUGUAACAUUUCACAAAUUUAGAAAGUUUUUAAAAAAUUAAACUUUUCGCUUCACAGAUUUAUAUUAUCGAGUAAAUAAUUAAACAUUUAGUUUCUAUUUAAUUUUUAAAAAUAAACUAUAUAGUUUAAAAAAAAAUUUCAUUGGUUUAAGGUAGUAAAGAUUAAUCAUUGUUAGAUAAUAUGAUUUUUGUUAUUUAAAUUUAUUUUUUUAUAAUUUUAAAUUUUAGCAUCGAUAAAUAUUUAAAUAAUUAACGUAUGGAGGUAUAGUAUUACAAUAUCUAUUUAAUUUAUACUAUCUAUAAAUCCAAUAGAUCAUCUAUUGUUUAAAUCCAAUUAUUGAUAGCCCAAUAAAAAUUUCUGGUAGGCCUAAAAUUUAAAUGAUAAGAUUAGAGAUUAAAUGUAACAUGAAUUUCUAAGAAUAGGUCUAUUAGGUCCAUUUUUUUUAUAAAAAAAAUCACACAUAAAUCAAGGUUGUGAUUUAUGUUUUAAUAUAUAAGAUGUUUUCUUAAUAUAUAAGGAAAUACUAAGAAAUCUAUCGUUGUGAAACGGAUAGAGUAUACGAUAGUUUCUUUAGAUUAACAUGGGAUACCAAAUCUAUGAAAAUGCCUAAACUAAUCUAUUAAAUAGAGAUGUAGUUUAUCCAUAAAUCUUUUUAUGUAUUUAAAUGAGAUCAAAAACCUGAUUAAAUAUUUAUGUAACUAGACAAAUAUAAUAUAAUGGGACUGUUUCAAAUCCGGGUCGUUUAACCGUUCAAAAUCCUCCCACGUCAGUUAAUAUAUGCUAAUAUUUUGUUAACAAAAUGCAUGCGAGGAUUUUUAUUUUGAAAGUUAAAGACUAAGGAUAAUAAUAUAUAAAUCCUUGUAAUUAUUAUAAAUUAAUAAAAUAUGAGAUGAGAUUUUAUACUUUAACAAAUGUUUAUUUUGGUCACUAAAGUUUCCUCUGGAAAAAUAUUUAAAUUGCAUAUCUUAUUAUAUAAACUUGGUUUUUCAAAGUUGAUAACUAAUUUGAUCGCGACACAUGACAAUUAUAUAUUUCAAGAUUGUGAUAUGUGUUAAUCAAUCUCAUAAUUAAAAAUAUAUAUACUGAGAUAUUAACAAAAAUGAAUUUUAUUAAAAAGUAAUUAUAAAUAUUAUUUAAUAGUAAUUUUUCUUUUUAGAAACACUAAUCAAAAGAUAAUUGCAAAAGAUUAUUUGAUAAAAAAUUUCCUUCUGAUAUUGUGACAUGUGUUUAUAUAUAUACAUCUUAUUAUAUAAAGCUUGGUUUUUCAAAAUUGCUAAUUAACAUGAUCGCGACAUGUGUCAGUAAAUUUUUUUAAGUAAAAAUCACAAAUCCUAAACAUAAGAAAAUUAUUUAAUAAAAAUCAUAAAUUAAAACUAACUAAAAAUAAGUAAUUUAAAGCCUAAACAAAACAAAAUUGUAAAAGUAUUACUAUUAUUUUACUAUAAAUAACAAACUUUCCUUUUUAUAGAUAAGUGUAUGUUAAAAAUUAUAAACCAAAAAAUAGCUACAAAUAUCUUACAACUAUAUUUAGGUUUAAUCUUCCACAUAUUAUUUUCACAAAACGAAAUAUUAUUUACGAGAAAAGUAUUACCUAGGUAUUUUUUUUAAAAAAAUUUCUUGAUACAACUCAUUUUUUAUAAUUUUAAUACAUUUUAUGAUGCUAACACAAUUUUUUUUUCAAUUAUGAUGUGUUGUCGUACAUGAGUAUGUGUGAAUAUGAAAAUAUGUGUUUGUACGUAUAAGAUAAAAUAUAAAAUCAGUUAAAAAGAAAAUUUUAUUAAAAAUAAAUUUGUUGUUUAAUAAUUUUAAACAAAGACGAAUAAUAGUAUCCUACCAAUACAAGAAUUUUUUUAAUGAAAACUAUUAAAUAAAAAAUAAUUAUAAAAUAAGUAAGUUUCCUUUUUUAAAAUUCUAAAUAAAAUAAAAUUUUAAAAAAUGAUUUUUCUUAUAAAUAACUAACUUUCUUUUUUCAUAGAUAAUUUUAUGUUAAAAAAUUAUAAACCAAAAUAAUUUCAAAUAUUUUAUCCGAUACGAUUGUUACAUGUGCCAAUAAAAAAUUAAAUUUUUAAAGUGUCAAUAAAAACCUGCCAUUAUGUGAAAAUAACUUUUUUUUUUCUAAAAUCGUAAAUUAAAGAGAUUUGUGAAAUAAUUUUUCCUCUUUUAAUCUUGACAAAAUAAGAUUUUUUUCUUUUAAAAAAAAAAAAACAAAUCCUUACAAAAGAUAAUUGUAAAAGUCUAUUUAAUAUUAAUUUUCACUUUUAAAAUUUAUUGAUAAACAUGAUACUAAAAAUUAUUUAAUUAUCAAAGAAAAAUUGUUACAAUGUUAGUGAUAUUAAAAUACGAAUUUUGAAAAUAUCAACUUUUUAAAAUAGUUAAUAUUAACUGGAAAUAAUUGUUUUUUUAUAGUAAUUUUAUUUUUCUAAGUCCUAAAAAAUAUUAAAUUUUAAAAUAUUAUUUAAUAUUAAUUUCCUUUUCUAAAGCCCUAAAAACUGUAAGAGAAUAAUUGAUAUAUUUUUUAAAUAUCAUAAACAAAAGAGAUUUGUAAAUUUUUAAAAAGUUAUUUGGUAAUAUUUUUAAGAGAAAAUUUGAUGAUGAACAUGAAACUAAAUAUUACUCCCUCCGUCUAAAAUUAGUAUAGAUAGGAAUUGUAGAAAUAUUAUUUUUUAAACUUAUUUAAUAGUAACUAGAAAUAAUUAUUUGAUAAAAAAAUUAUUUUACUAAAAUUUUAAACAGAAGAUAAUUGUAAAAUUUUAUAUGAUAGUAAUUGUGAAUUGUGUGUCAUUUCAGUUUGGAAGGUGCUCAGAAAAAGGAAAGGAUUCAAAAGAGGCUAGGAAAGAAACACAAGUGUUGUGGAGACAUGCUCAUAGCGACAUAUCCAUAGUGACAUGCUCAAGUCGCUACAGUCACAAGGUAAGUACUCUAAUCCGGUUUAAAUUCUCUCCACAUCUCUAGUAAUUUUUAUUUUACUUAUCAUGUAAACCACUCCAAAUUCAAAGUCACACAAGAGACUGUGUGAUUCGAGUGUGGUGGGGGUACUAUAAAAACUGAUCAUUUUGCUUGUUUUUAUUUGGAUGAUUUGCAUUUGACAUAUCAAGCACUUUGCAUCUGUGUGGAUUUUAAUGAUUUGCAUUUUGGAUUUUCUUGUGAU